rnacentral:lncRNA from 1 species
UUAUCGUCUUUUAUGUACUGAUGAAUAUAGAGAUGGAGCGAUCAGAGUUUGUUUAUGUACCAAAUUAGAGUGAGUUGAGAAAAAGUGGAUUUACACAAGGACGAAAUGGCUGGCUGCUGCUUGUUCAAAACUGAAAGUUAGGGUGACCUUGUUUCUCAUAGGGACUCAGCAAAUUAAGGGGCCUCCAAGUCUACUUCUUGUCUCAUUAUACAUGCCAUUAACCAUUCAACGUUGAAAGUCCAUAUCCCUUUUUCUACGGCCACCAAGGCUUCCUCCACGUCUUCCUCACAAGCCACAAAGAUCAUCUUCCAUACGUUGUUUACUUUAUCUAGCUCAUGAAUCACCUAAAUUUUCAAGCAUAAUGAAUUUGCCAAAUGAGAGAAAAAAUUAUGUAUAUACGACAAGGAAAUUGCAAGAAUUCACCCUAUCAAAAAAUAUUAAACAAAUUCUUGUUCUAGUCCCUAAAAUUUUCCAUCUUUUCCCAACUUUCAAAAUGCUUCCUAUGAGAUAUAUUCCAAUCACAUAUAGCAGAAAUGACCGAUGAGUAUUGGAUAAAUGAAUAUUAAUUGAUAAAAUAAUUUACAAAAUACUAAAACCGUUAGUUGGCUACGUUUUGGAAGCUCGAUGACUAAAAUGGAUGUUUUGAAAGUUCUAAGGCUAAAAUGGAAUUUAAAUCAACAUAAUAGUAAGUUCAAGAUCAAAGACAAGCUAAACAAUAAAAUGUUGCGAGCAGAAAACAAUCUAAUCAUAAUUAGAAACAUGGAUGUAUGUAUUUGUACACCAAAUCACAAAAAAUAACUCCAGAUUUUGAUCUAGAGACAAUUAAAAACUUGAACAAAUUUGAUAAUUAAAGAAACACGGAGAUGGCCAUAUGACCCCUUGUGCAUAGACUUUUUACAUUACAUGCUCAAUUCCUAGGAUCAAAACAAACAUAAAUAUUAAAGACUUAAGAAGCACAUACACACAAGUUUGGCUAGUGUAUCAAUAAACAAUAUGUAUGGAACACUCGGAGAACACAUGUUGAACACUAGUUAGUACAGUAGAUGUGUUAGACAACAAGUAUUCCAAUGCAAUAAAGGUCAAGAUUGGUCACACACACAUAUUAAACUCUUGGCUUUGAAUAAGUUUUGAGUGAAGGACAAGCUUAUUUUUAAGCAUAUAAAUACAUAAACUUAUUGACUUUGAAUUUCUAUAUAAAUAUGAUACAUACUUUUUAAAUUAUAUAUAUUAAAACUGUGUUCUAGCACUAUCCUAUAUUUUUAAGAAAAAAAUGACACGUCACCAUGUCUAUGAUUUAUUGACCCAUGUCUAGAAUUCGUAUACGUGCUUGUUUGUUGAGAACUUCACGUCUUCAUUAGAUGGGAGGAUAGCCAUAUUAUAGUGGUUGUAUAUGUAAUAUAGAGAACCAAACCUAGUACUCGAGAUUUGUACAAUAACAGAGAAAUUACAUUUCCACCGGCUGACUUGACUAUCAGGGAUAGAGUUUUAGGUGGUGGUUGAGCGUGAGCUGAUAUGCAAACAUCAUACCCUUCAAAUAAAGCUCAAGAACAUGCUUUUGCCCUGAGAACUGCAGCUUUUAGGCUGGCUCGAUACUUCGAUAUGUAGUCAUCAUCAUUUAGUAUGUAAGGCAACUCGUCUGCAGAUCCAUAAGGAAUUAAUCAAUCACAAAAAUUAGGUAGGAUGAAAAACAUAAGUGGAAGAAAAUACAUUACGCUUUGAUACUAGCAAGCCAUUCGAACUUACCAACAAAUCUGCCUUCCCGGUAGCUUUCCUUUAACCAACUGGAGGAGACAAUCCAAGCUCUGAGUAAUUUGCAAUUAUGAGCAAGAGCACACUGACACGCUUGAAGGCACAUGGUAAUGCAUAUGCUCGAUAAUCAUUGAGAACAUUAACAGGAGAAAAUAAAGUUAAGAACAGUAGCUUGAAGAACAAAAAACAUUCUACAACAUAAAAUCUUCAAAAACACAUUGCUUAAAAUCAAGUUUACUAAUAUAAAGGUAAGAUAUUACGUUCCACUCUCCACACUACUGAAGUUCAACAUUUCACAUGAAAGAAAUGAAAUACUAUUCUCAAAUAUAACUAAAAAAAAGCAUAAAUCGGUAAAGAAAAAGCAUAGAGAAAUGCAAAAGAAUCCUUGGCUUUGAUAUAUUGAAAGGUAAAGAAUAUCAACCAUAGAUGCCCGGAGAAGAACUCCUACAAAUACACACUUAACGCAGAUUAUCAUUCGCUAACAUGAGACCUUCUAGAGUUAUUCUGUUAGGAUACUUCCUAACAAGAACAAGAUCUUAAUUUAUUAUAAUGAACUAUAAGAAAAUACAAGAUAAAACCAAGUAUAAAGCACUUGGAACCUCCCUCUUGAGUACUCUCACCCAAGCCCUAAAUCACUCCCCAGAAUUCUCCCCUCACUUACCCUCCCUCCAUUUAUAAUAAGAUGUAACCACACUUACAUAAUAAUUACUAGUAACUUUCUAAAUAUCUAAUUACCCUUAUACCCCUAACCUUAUACUAAUCUAGGUAUCUAACAUUACCCGAUCCUUCAAAACACCUUGUCCUCAAGGUGUGCUUACAAACAUGAAAUAGUAAAACCCAAGAUUGUUCCUUUUGUCCUAAUCCUCUUUCCUACCAAUUUCUACCACGUCAUUGGAACCAUCAUGUGUGCAGCAACUUCUUCCUCGUCACGUGAUUCACCCCUAUUUCAGACCACCUUCUCGAGCCUCUGUAGACGGUAACUGUCGGCUUCUUCUUUCUCCAUUGCAACCAGCCAUUUUGUGUUUCUUUGAGCAACAAAUUUUUCUUCACUCGAGUCUUCAUUUCGAGCCUCACAAGUAAUCCUUAUCGACCUUCCUCUAUAGUUUCUUCUUGGUCACUCUUUGCCAUCCUCUUCACCUUCAUUGUAUAACCGUUGCAAUCGCGUUUUCCUCGAUUCUUCUAUGGAUUCAGCAACUUCUUAGAGUCCAUCGAUUUAUGGACCUGAAGAUUCCAAUCCGUUCUAAAUAAACACAAUCCAGAUCAGUGCCACUGAACACAGGCAUUUCAACCUUCUUGAAUUUGCUAUGAUCGUUCGAGUUUUUAUCCCCUUUCAAACUUGUUUGUUUUACCUUCUACCUUUGAUUUCCUUCAAUGUCUUACCUCCACCUUCGAUGAUACUCUCAAUCAUUGGUCCUUUGCUCGACGAUCCUUCCAUUCUUCCGGAGAUUGUCGAAUAAAAAGAACUUGACUUGGACCCUCUACUUCUCCCGAGCACGAAAGACGGCAGCCUCUACUUCUUUGGAAUAUUUUGUCCCUUUCUCCCUCCUCUUUCCUCCCUUUUAUUUUGCUUUACUAACAAACUAAUGGGAAAGAUCUCCUCCGAUAUUCUCUCCUUAUAAUCUCUCCUAUAUUCUCGUGUGGGUCAAUAUUACCCUUUUUAAUUCUUCUACUGUAUUUAAAUAAUAUUGGAGACAUAUACUUCCUAACAAGAACAAGAUCUGAAUUUAUUAUAAUGUAACUAUAAGAAAAUACAAGAUAAAACCAAGUAUAAAGCACUUGGAACCCUCCCUCUUGAGUACUCUCACCCAAGCCUUAUAUCACUCCCAGAAUUCUCCCAACUUACCCUCCCUCCAUUUAUAAUAACAUGUAACCACCCUAGUUACCACACUUACAUAAUAACUACUAGUAACCACACUUACACAAUAACUACUAGUAACUUUCUAAAUAUCUAAUUACCCUUAUACCCCAACCCUAUACUAAAUCUAGGUAUCUAACAAAUUCCAUAACAUAAUGUAUUAGGGGAAGAAGGAAAUCGAGGAUAAAAACACUAGCUAGCCAACAAAUAUCUUUCAUUAGUGAGCUUGAGCCAUUUUACACGUAAAAUGAGAAAAGUAAGCCUGAAACCCAAAUUAGCCUAAUGGUUGUCUUAACAACCACUACCCACCAUCACGAUAGAAACAACUGAAAAGGAAGAGCAUGAUACAAUCCAACUCAAACAUAAGAAUUGAUUUUGAUGUUUAACUAAAAGUAAACAGGCAGUAGAAUAAGAAACUAUACCCUUUUAGAUCUAGAAGGUUCACAACAAUUUCUAGCCUAAGCACAACUACGAGGCAAUGGAAGAAUAACGGCAAAGGCCUUGUGUGCAUGGAAUCGCUAACUUUUGUGCAAAUGAGAUAAUUAUCGGUAUUCAAAGGCCAAAAGGACACAUAGAAGAGUGUUCGUCUAAGGUGCAAGACUAACCCUAAAAAGAGAGCAAUACAAAAAUUUAGAGUUUUUCGCACUUUUCCUGUAAUGACAUGAGUGCUUGUACUCCCAUCAGCAGUGAGAGAACCACCAAGCUCCUCAAUCAUCUGAAUUAGAAAACAACUGCACAUUAGAGCAGUCACAAUUUGGAAUAAAUAGAACUUUUAAUUGUUAGAAUCUUAGAAUAUUUAUGAAAAGUUUAUGGGAAUAUUUUUCUUAAUUCCUAAAUAUUUUCCUUUUUUAUUCCUCUGUAUAUUCUAUUUAUUCUCCCUUGUACCUAUUGUAUUUUUCAUCAGAAAAUAAUAAGAAAAAAAUAUAGUGGUUUUUCUCCUGGUACACAGGUUUCCACGUAAAGUUGUGUUUGUUUGUCUCCCUUUCAAUAUGGUAUCCGAGCAGGUGGUCCAAGAAGGUCUUGUGUUCAAGCCUCGCAUUGUCGUUUCCUCCCCAAUUAAAAUCCAUUUCCAGUUGUUGGGCCUUUCAAAUAUUUCAAGCCCACAAGUGAGGAGAGUGUUGGUGAUAUAUAAUUGAAUUUUCUUUCUUUUUUUAAAAAAGGAUACGAGUCUCACUAUUAUUAAUAUAAAGAAAGAGACAAAGCUCAAUGUACAUGAGGAUUAUACAAAGAGCAAAAAGGGAGAGGGAAGAUCAACAGGCGCAUCCGGGCAUCUCAAACUAGGUUGACACCCCCUUAGUGCCCUCAAAACAUCCAAAAAGCGACAACACAAGAUCAAAACAAAAAGCCACAAAAACAGAGACAAACAAAAUGAUAAAAAGAAUCUUUCCAAAGCAAAAUCAUAAUCAAAGGCAGCAUGCUGAGAACAAAGAAGAAUAAGCCUUGAUUGGUUGAGCAAAAACUGUUUGAAGCAGAGGGCUGAUCCGAAAGUCCUGAUCAUCAAAGACUUCAAAGUGGGGAUGCUGUAAAGGCUGGCCAAUAUAACACAAUAUCCUACGUCGAAGAUCUUCUUUUGCAUUACAUUUUCUAAAAUUUCCAAUCCACUCUGUUAAAGGCCUUUUCAAGGUCUAAUUUAAUGAUCCAUCUUUUCUUUUUUCGGAUACUAUAGACCUCCACAGUUUCUUUUGCUAUUAAAAUAGGAUCCAAGAUUUGGCACUCUUCCAGAAAGCCACAUUGUAAUGGAGAAGUAUGUUAGAUUCUAACAAUAAAACACAAAAUAUCCUAACCAAAUGGCUAAACAGAGGCAGCACUCUGUAAUUCUUUAUUUAUGUAAAAGCCAAAACACAUUCAACAGUAGUAGAUAUGAAAAAUAAAGGAAGAACAACAUAGAAAACUUACCCAACUCCUUUAUACGGGGCUGGAUACCCUCAGGCUACAACAACCUUUACUCUCCUUGAAAUAACAAAAAAAGACCUAGCCUCCCCUACCCCAACAUUACAUAUUUAUACCUCUCUCUCUCUUCCCUCCUGGCGGGCCCCACCUACACGAUCCUCUCCCAUUAUUCUCUCAUAAUUGGUUGCUAAGGAAUUUCCCUUUCUACCCUUCCUUUUAUAGGUAUAGAUAAUAGGAGGUCUUACAAAGUAAUACCUGGCCUGACUUUCUUUAAUCUUUCUGCGAGAACCUUUCCAAACAACUUAUAAAUUAAUGUUGAAACAACUUAUAAGCCACACUGUAAUGACCUUCCUUCUCUUGACCGAACUUCAAUAAUCGACAACUUAUAUUUAUCCAUAGUGCCUUUAUAAUACAACUGGCAAUCUCUUCUCUUUUGGUCUCCGGAAUCAAUGCUCUAUCUGGAUUAGCUUUCUUCAAAAGAUUUUUAAUAGCCAAUUGUUUCGAAUGGCCCAUGAAUCCUCUAGUGUUCCAUGAUAUAAUCUCCAUCUUUGCUACCUCUGCCCUUAUAUCAAUUCAAUUUCACAUGCUGCCAAGAAAGGAACCAACUCUUGAGGGGGAAGGAUACUUGCUGACCUGCACAAAAUUUCUUUUUAUGGGGAGGAAAACAAUUUAAUAAAAUCUGGACCGAGAGUCACUGUCCUCUUGUUUCUCUGUCUCUGAUUGAAUUAUUUCUUCCUCAACUGUUUCAAAUUCUGCACUACUUACACUGGUGACUGAUUCAACUUCCUUGAAUUCAUCUUCUAGGUUCUCAACUUUUUUUAGAUAAGAAGUAUCUUGCACAAAAUUAAAGAAUGAACCAGAAAGUUUGGAGGAGGAUUGAGAAAAUUUAUUACUUAAGGAGGAAGGCAGUACUGACCUUUUGCCAACUGAAUUUUGAAUUUGUAUCUUCACACAACUUUCCUCUAAUAAAUCAGAAUUAGUUAAGCUCAUCCAAAUGUUGCGAAAAGUUCUCCCUUUGGUAUAGGUCUUGAGGUGCUUAGAAAAAUUUAUGGCAUGAAAUGGAAUAGCUUUCAUUGCAGAGGAUAUUUUAGUCUUGGGAGAGGCUGGUAAUUUUGGUUGAGAACUGAAAACAGGAGAUGGCCCGCAAGUGAAGUUCCUUGAUGGAGGAGAGGACUCUGAUUCUUCCUCCAAUUCGUCAGAAUACCAAAAGCCAUUGGAAUUCUGUUUAAUAGAAUUCUUGGGGCCUACCAUCUGUGUGUCAGCUUUAAAAAUGUCUGCAAAUACAUUAAGUUUGAAAAAAUUUGGUUGGGGAGGGCUAGGUGAGCUGUUUUUUGAGAUAAUAAAAUGCCGACUGGCUGCCUUUUCUUCUUUCGAGGUCUGUUUUUCUCUCUUUUCUGUUGAAGUCUUUUCCCCUUCUAAGUACAUGGAGAUGCCAGCUAUACCCAAAUUUGAAUUUUGCCUUCUGAAAAUUAUUUUUUUCGGCGAGGAUUCAAGGGCUGAAACUCUUUCCGGUCGAACAAGGUUUUCUUCUUCAUCACCCAACUUCCUAAGUGCUUCGAAAGGAUUUCUUGAGAUGGAUAAGCCAUUCUGUUUGAGAAAAUUAAGGUAUCUGGGAGACCAUCACUUUGGAGCCCUUCAUCUAAAAUCACUGAAUUUAUUCUACAUAAAUCAAUAGGAUUGGAAAAAUCACUUUGAAAUAGAUCAUAUUGGAUUAUUACAGGAGCUUCUAAGGGUUCAAAAUCCCCAAAAUUAAGGGAAAAAUUUCCUCAGUUCUCACUCUUUAAUUCUAUAGUUGCUGGUAAGAAUCCGCAAAGAUUUUUCCGAACUUUAAUUCUUGCUUCAGAGAACUUGAUCAGAUUGAGUGUUUCUAAGAUUAUACUUUCUAGUCCACCAAAGUAGCUUAAGCUUAAGGCUAUAAUUGAAUUUUCUUUCAACCAUCAGCUUAAAAUUUUUGGUGAAUCGGUGGUUUAAUAUUUAUAUUAAUAUUUUAUAAAAAAAGUAUACAGCUAAUGCCAUAUAAAAUAAAUAAAGAAAUACUAUAAAAUCUACAUCCAUAAAAUAUGCAUGUGAACACAUAUCAGAAGAUGGAUAUUCGUAAGUUAGAAAGACCGAUAACAAAAUGUCAUAAUUAAACAACAACAUUAAUAUUAUAGGUAGUUUCAAGCUUCAUUUGUCUAUUCUAGGUAGGGAUAUUGAAUAACUCUUAAAAAUAAUAUAAAGAUUGAAUCCCUAAACUUCAUGUUAAAGAAACUGAUUAAUCAUUUUUGGCAGGAUGUCAGAUUCGCCUUUCGAAAUCCUACAUGAGUAGAGCCAGCCAAAUAAGCCAAGCAAGAUAUGCCUCUUAAGGAAUAUGGAGAAGUUCAAUGACUGGGUAUGUAUAUGAUAAGCCUUAACCUCAAUUUUAUUUAUCAAUAAUGGAGGGAAGGAAUCAGAAGCUUCUCUAGCUCUCCCAAUUAUUCUAAGAAACCUGAUACAAGCUAUGCCAAAACAUACCCUCCCCAAACAAUCAUAAUAGUAUUUAUAUGAAAGCAUAAAAGACUCAUGGCCCCCUUAACUAGCAGCAUUCAGACCAACAAAACAGCUUCCCAUCCUCCUCUCCUGAAUCCUUUCUUGUGCCUACGGGUGUACACCUUCACUACCAUGGGCCUAUCAGUAUGUAGAGAUCGUAGAGGCUGUAUGAGCCAAGGAGCUGGAAGAGUAGGAUUAGGGAAGUGUGGAGUUUUCCGCUCUUUGUUUGGCCAAAAGUGUUUGUGGACUCCCGACAAGAAAAUUUCAAUUUUAUGCCUUAUUGACUUCGUAUGUCCUAGGCCCUAAGAGUUCAAAACUUUCUAGAUUUCACAACUUCUUGGACCACUCCUUGUGCCAAACACCCCUUUAAAGAAUACUAAGCCAAGGAUAUAAAACUUCAAUACUAUCAAUAGAAAAUCUCAUAAAAGAAACAUGAAUGAUGAAUAUUUUAGAAGACUAUAAAUUGGUACCGUACCUUCAUGAGCUGAGUUUUCUUAGUUUCGUCUGCAAUGUUCAUCAGCAUAAUUUUAAAUGGUUUUCCUAAUGUGUUCUCUUCAGAAUUGAGGUCCUCUGAUGCCACAUUUACACUUCCAAAUUCUUGACAGAAAUUUUGUGUACACUGAUUGGUUGGAUUUUUAGGAUAAAUACUUGAUAAAAUCUCAUGCUUUGAAUUGGCUAAAGAGCAUCCUUGAGAGCAGGUAUCGUAUACAUCACUUUCAGGAUCAAGAUUUUUGUUAGAGUGAGAAUGAAAAUGGUCCAGAUUGACUCCUUUUACUUUCUUUGACUUCAAGGAAGAAAGUGAUGCUUCCCAAACUCUCUUUGCGCUAUGUUUAGAGCAAGAACAAUGUGUCUCAUCCAAAUUACCAAGAGUAUUGGAUAAUUCUACAAUACUAGCUGUCGUGUUGUUCUCUAUUUCUGCAAAAGAAACCGGACCGUUGCUAUCAUGCACUGCAUCCUGGUUUAAAUAAACCGUUAUGAGAUAAUUAAGCAACAUAUGGAGAAUAAUUUAAAUUGUACUAUCUUGUGGAACAAAACCUGAAUUACAUAUACCCUGAAUUUCAUUUUCUUCUCCAAGGGGCACUAAAGUUACAAACUCGUCAUGUUGAAAAUUCAAAUUUUGAAUGGUAUGCUGAUCAGUUGAAUUUGAAACGUUGCAACCUCGAUUGGCAACACUGAUUCUUGCAGCAUACGGGGCUUCAGGCUUUAGUAGAGAAAGUAACUUUGGAAAGUCAGUCGAACACAUUGAAAUUCCCUGAAUGUGCGAAAUCCAUGGAUUUUAUUACACAUCCCAAAGGUUAUAAUCAAUUGGUUCUCGAAGUACGCCACCUUCAUCCCCAUUACAAAACUAUGUUCUGUCGAGCUGAUAGCACACUUGUUCUUUAAGAAUGUCUUGAAGUGAUGGGGAGUUCCAUCAAGCAUUGUGAGUGACAGGGAUGGUAGAUUCAUUGGUACUCUCCGGACCGAACUAUUCGCCUUCUUGGGGACACGCCUAAAUAUAUCCUUAAGCUGCCAUCCUCAGACGAAUGGCCAAACUGAAGGAUUCAAUUGUAUGCUUAAGGAAUAUCUACGACAUUUUGUUGAUUUUGGACAAAAGAAUUGGGCCUAGUUGAUGGAUGUGGCUCAAUUUUGUUUUAAUGCACAAACUAGUCUAUCCACAAGAACGAGUCCUUUCGAAAUCUUGAGUGGAAGACAACCUAUACUGCCUCAUAUUGUUGAUCAUCCUUAUGCAGGAAAAAAUCCUCAAGCUCAUAACUUUACGAAAAAGUGGGAGAAGACUACGAACAUCACUCGAGCAUACUAAGAGAAAGUCUCGAAGCGUAUGAUAAGAAGCAUCAUCCUCUCAAGUUUUGAGCUGAAGACCAACUCUUCAUAGAGUUUAAAGCAAAGAAAAUUUGAUUUAGAGGACAUCAACAUCAGCAUCUCACUAGAAAAUACGAAGGGCCUGUUGAAGUUCUGAAGAAAAUUGGAAAUGCAUCCUAUGGGGUAUCGUUGCCUGCAUGGAUAAAAAAUCAUCUAGUAGCUCAUGUGAGCAACUUGAAACCUUACCAUCAAUAUCCAGAUGACAGUAGUGCAACAAUGGUGUAUGGUCAUCUAGUGACCUAAAGCAGAAAGACGAUAAAGAAAUGGAAGAAAUCCUUCCUAAGAGAGUGAGGAAGGGUAUACCCAUGAAGAGGAUACAUGAAUUCCUACUGAAGUGAAAGAACCUCCAUGUGGAAGAAACACGUUAGGAAUGUGCUGAAGACCUUGAAGCGUGAAAGAAGAAGAUCGAGGAAUUCUAGCUUCGCCAGUCGACAGGGACGUCAAUUGUUUAAGUGGGGGAGAAUGUAACAAGCAUGCUUGUCCAGGGCGCUGUUUGCUUAUGGCCGCAUGCCCAAACACCCCCAAUUUACAUUGUUUUAAUGUUUUGUAUUUAGUUUUACUUUUUGCUUUCCUUUUUAUUUCAUAAACCUUGGGUGUGACUUGGCUUUUUCUUAUGCAAGCCUACCAGAACUAAAAAAGUCUAAAAUGUACUAUAGAUGGGACAUAGUAGUUGAGUCCCUGCCCAAGCCUUGUUGCACUCUUCGCAAUCAAAGUUUUUCUUUGCAAUUGACAGUCUUCAAUGCUUGCUUUAACGAUAUUUUCAUUGAAUUUCUUUCUCCUCACGUUUUAUAAAACAUUUUCUCAAGAACGUGAAGAGAGGCUACAUCGUAUCAUGUGUUUGUCCGUGGUUUUUGGAUUUUGAUCAGCUAACUUGUUGUCUACGUAAAACAAGUGCAACAUAAUCGCUCCUCUCGUGUUUGAAAGCUCGCGAUUGUGACACAAGAAAUGCACUAGCCAAGAAUGCACACGAGGAGGGCUACACAAAAUGCCAAGCACGCAACCAAGUGAGGUUCACAAUGUGCUUGUGUGUGAGGUUAGCACGCAGGCAUGCCCAACGCGUGUGAAAAGCCUCUUGUGAGAUUCACACACAGUAGCCAGCGCCCAACCAAGGCCCUGCCGCCCACCCAUUCGUGCCAGGCAAUGUCAUAUUGCGUGUUGAGCUAUUUUUGGUAAUUUUUUGAGUUUUUUAAGUAUACUUUUGAUAUUUUCUUGGCAAAAGAUAAUUAAUUGUACUAUUUUACCAUUAUUUCAGGACAUGAGAAGAUCGUACAAAUUUAUAAACCAAGGAUUUGAGCUUGUAUCUGUGAGUGGAAAAUGUUUUAUUUAAAGUGAUUUCAAGCAUGUUCUUAAGUCAUGAUUUAUGACGGAUUUAUGAUAAAAUGUUUAAGUUAUGUUAUAAAAAGUCUUUCAAGCGUGUUAUUGUUUAAAGGUAUUUAUUCAAGCAUAUUGUUUACUCUUCAAAAUGCAUAAUAUUCAAAAUGUUUUCCCACUUUCUAGGUAGAGAUCGUGUCCUCUAAGCCUAACUUGCUGCUACCUGUCUACUAAAGGAUUUCAUUUUGUUAUCGUAUGUGCCCUGUUAUUUUGCACUAAUGAUAAAUUAGUCUUUUGUGCUAUCAGACUUAGGCUUUUGGGAAGGUUUUAUAAGGUUUUGUUCUAGAUAAAUAAGAUUACGUUUUGUCUAUGUAAAACUUGUCUAAGGUUGUUAAAUGAAAAAGGUUUAGCCCAAUUGGUUUUAGUAAAAUUUAUGUGUUAUGUUUCCGCUGUUAUUUAGAGUUUAAAGGUUCAGGCUAAGGGUCAGAUGGUGUCGUUCUUGACGUGGGUGCUAUCGAUUGGCUUCACGCCAUAUCUCGAGCCACGCAAGUAGGUGCUCGUGGUGGGUGUGAUAGCCUAAGUUGGCUUAUUAACGGUUAAAAUGUAAACAUGUCCAUAACAAAAUAGUCGGGCAAGGCCCAUGUGGACCGACUGGUAAAGGUUGAAGAUCAAAUGCUCUACCUAAUGAAAGUUCCUAACUCAAUUCGCUUCUUGGAAACCCGCCUUGAAGAAUUUUUUAGAAAGCUGAUGCUAUUAAUUAAACCACCACCCAAAAUCUUAAGCUAGUGAUUAAAAGUAAAUUUAAUUAUAUAUCACUAACAAUCCCCCACUUAUGGGUUCGAAAUAUCUAAAAGGUCCAACAAGUGAAAAUCAAUUUUAAUUGGGAAGGAAACACCAAUACAGGGACUUGAACAUAGGACCUUUUGGACCACCUGCUCUAAUACCAUAUUAAACCCCAAAUUCACCCAAAAGCUUAAGCUAGUGAUUGAAGGUAAAUUUAAUUAUAUAUUACCAAAGUAUGAGGUUUCAUCACAAUACCAAUUGGCAAUGAGAGGAGUAGCUCAUCUAUUUUAUAAGGAGUCUAAGUUUCCUUGGUUUUUCAAUUGUGGGAACAUGCCCCUUCAAGAUGGUGCCUCUUUGGUUUCACCUAUCUUGAACCAAAUAUCCGUUUAGGCUUAAUGAGCUCUAAUACCAUAUUGAAAGCAAUAUAUACGAAACCAAAGCUUACGUGAAAACGCAAGAAUCGAAAGAAAAGCAUUGUGUUUGUAGUUUUAUUAUUUUUAUGAUAAUUACAGAGGUACAGUUGGUGGUUUAAUAUAUAUCACUAACACUAUUGCUGCAAUGAUCGAUCAUCUCGAUGGAUUACCCAUUUAAGAGUUGUUGACAAGAGUUGACACUCUAUAAUCAAAAGUUGUAAGAACUAGAUGUUGUAAUUUAUGUCCUAAAACUCGUUUUAAUCAUAAUCUAUUCAAUAAAGUCGUUAUUGAUACUAUAAUCUUAAACCUGUCAAAGCUCAAAAGUCUAAACUGUACUAUAGGAGAGACCCAAUAGUUGAAUCCCCAACCAUGUCUUAUCGUAUUCUUUAUAAUCAAAUUUUUAUUUGCAAUUGAAAGUCUUCAACGCUUUCUUUAAUGAUGUUUUUAAUGAUAUUCUCUCUCACAUUUUAUAAAACAAUUUUUUCAAGAACGGGAAGGGAGGUUAUAUCAUAUCGUGAGUUUGUUCAUGAUUUUCGAAUUUUACAUGACUGACUUAUUGACUGAGCAAAACAAGUGUUCUUCAAUUGUCCGUUCCAUGUUUGAAAGAUUUCGAUUGUGGCACACAGAGUGUCACAAGUGGGCUUGUCCAAGGCAUUAUUUGCCUAUGGCCACAUGCUCGAAUAUCCUCAAACCACUUUAUCUUUAUGCUUUAUACUUAGUUUAGUCAACUGCUUUCCUUUUGUUGUCACCAACCUAAGGUGCGUCGUUUCGCAAUUUUCAAAGCUAAAAAAGUUUAAGAUGUAUUGUAGGGGAGGCAUGGUAGUUGAAUCCCCAACUAAGGCCUAUUGUGAUUUUUGCAAAUCUAAGCUUUCUUUGCAAUUGACAAUAUUCAAUUUUUUCUUUAAAGAUGUUAUCAAUGUUUUUCUUUAUCUCUCACGUUUUAUAAAACCAAUUUCUCUCAAAAGAUGAAGCGAGGCUACAUCGUACCACAAGUUUGUCCGCAACUUUCAAAUUUCACAAGGUUGCCUUGUUCAUCAAUUUAGAACAAGUGUUGCACAAUCGCCCGUCCGUAUUUGAAAAGUUGCAUUUUGUGACAAGUGGUAUUAAAGCUUUGUUAGCUCCUUGGCUAAGCGAGAUGCAAUUAUGUCGACAAUGAAACAACUAUCAAAGUUGCAAUCUAAGCGACUGACUGAGAUUGAAGAGGAAUUCUUGGAUAUGAAAGAAUUGCCAAAAGAAGUAAGAUUUCUCCAGACCCGGCUUGAGAUGUUUAAAGAAAAAGUCAGAGAAAUAGACGCAUUGAAUGCCUAAAUAGACAAACUACCCAUAAAUGAAUUGGCGCUGAGGGUUGAUUCGUUAGAACAUAAAACCACCAAAGUAGGUAGUUUUGAACGUGGAAGUAGCUCUUCAAGUUCUAUCGCACAAAUGGAAGAGCGUGUCGAAGAGUUUGGCUUUUGACAAAAUCCAACAUAAUCAGUUAUAUUUCAAGAAAGAGAAAAGUGUUUUUGCUAAAUAGCGUAUAAAUUUUCUGGGUCACAUCAUCGAAUGUAGAAAGAUUUGAAUGGACGAACAUAAGUUGUGAGCUAUUAAGGAGUGGAGAGCCCCCACUUCCGUGAAAGAGUUACGUUUCAUCCUUCAAUAUAUUCUAAAAUAGGGUUCACCUACUAUCCUCUAGACUCAGUACCGGGAGAAAGAAAUAGAUGGAAAAAGAAAUGGGCUUGGUAAUUUUUUUUUCUAUGUAAAUAAGAAAAAGAAAUCCAAUUUGGUACAAAGCCCAAAUUCAAUAGCCAGCCCAUCAAAUGAGGUCAACGACCCUAUUUAUAAGGAUUUUCCAUACAAAAUUGCAUGUCCAUGGAAUACUAAAGCCCAACAACUCAAAGAUCUAUUUCUAAUAUGAAAUUCGAUGGCUAUAACACAUAUACUUGUCAGUUUCUCUCUCUUCUCCCAAUUCGAACAAUUCGACUUAUUCCAUCACACUGUUUUAAGUUUAUUCCAUAUGAGCUAGCAAGGGAACCUAAUGGACCUAUAUAUCAUGGACUCCAAUGAUUCAAGAUUAAUUGACUAAAUUCUUAUAGACUGAGUUAAUCAACAUUCGUUAACUAACGGGUCAUUCAUGAAUGUACUGGAACGAUUCAGAAUCACCUCAUUUGUACUAACUACAAAGCGGACGCAUCCACAGUUUCUCUGAAAAAAUCUGGGUUACUACAACAUCACCACGAUGUACAAUUUUCCUGAUAAGAUGGUACUUACGUUCGAUAUGUUUUCCCCGUUUACGACUUUUAUGUUCUCUUGAAUUUGCAACUGCACCACUUUUGUGACAGUAUAAAGUGAUUGAUAGAUGCAUAUUUGGAACGACUUCCAGAUCUGUCAAGAAUUUUCUUAGCCAUAAUGCUUCUGUUGUUACUUCAAAAGUUGCUACGUAUUCUACCUCCAUUGUGGAAUCAACUAUACAAGUUUGUUUUAUGCUUCUCCAAACUACUACUCUUCUAUUUAGAGUGAAUACUAAUCCUGAUGUAGACUUUCUAGCAUCUUUAUCAGUUUGAAAAUCAUAAUGAGUGUAUCCAGUAAGGAUCAAAUCUUUUGUACCAUACACGAGAAUGUAGUGUUUUGUUCUUCAAAGAUAUUUUAGAAGAUUCUUAACGGUUGUCCAAUGAUCACGUCCAAGAUUGGACUGAUACCUACUGACCAUCCCUACUAAGUAGCAAAUGUCAAAUCUAGUACACAACAUUGCAUAUAUCAAACUUCCAACAGCGGAAGCAUAGGAAAUUUUUCUCAUAUCCUCAAUUUCUUGAGGUGUCUUAGGACAUUGUUCCUUUGACAAAUGAAUUUCGUAGAUGUAUAAUAGCAUACCCUUUUUGGAAUUCUACAUUUUAUAUCUAGACAACAUUUUGUCUAUAUAAGAUGCUUGAGACAUGGCUAGUGUUUUGUUCUUGCAGUUCUGUACAAUUUGGAUCUUAAGAACGUAUUGUGCAUUUCCCAGAACUUUCAUUUGAAAUUGCAUAGCUAGCCAUUUCUUGAUAUUAGUAUGAAAUCCUAUGUCCUUUUCCAAUAAGUAGAAUAUCAUCUACAUACAAGACUAAGAAUACUACAAUGGAAUUGACGACCUUUUUUGUAAACAUAAGGUUCGUCAACCUUUUGUAUCAAAGCCAUAAGAUUUGAUCAUAGUAUCAAAUCUUAUAUUCCAGGAUCUAGAUGUUUGUUUUAAUCCAUAAAUGGAUUUUUGAAUCUUACAAACCUUUUGUUCUUGAUCUUGAUCUAUAAACCCUCUAAUUGAGUAAUAUAGAUACUCUCUUCAAGAUUGUCAUUCAAAAAAAGUUGUCUUGACAUCCAUCUGCCAAAUUUCAUAAUCAUAAAACGUGGCGAUGCAUAAGACUAUUCUAAUUGACUUUAGCAUGGCAACGAUAGAGAAAGUUUCUUCAUAGUCUAUGUUAGAAAGAGACAUGCGCAGUAGAAAAAUGGAAUACAAAAUUACCCUAAUUGCACCUAUUUAACUUGCAACCCUAAAUUAAAAGAAUUAGGGUUUAGGAAAUAUUAUACCUUUGUAUCUAUUCGAAUAUGAACGUCUAUACCUCUCACAAAAUUCCAAAAGUUUUUGAAACCAAAAUGUAACACCUUAAACUUAGGAUUUGGAAUUCGUAUCUCCAGCAUUCUCUGCAUCCCCUGCGACCUGGCAGCAUCAUCCUUACUAUUCUUAAAAACUUAUUAGAAUGAAAUUCCUCUUCACAAACCAACACGAAAUCUUUCAGCAUGCUUUUCCUCACUCACAUGCAUCCUAGGAAAAUUUCCAAGAGGUCACCCAACAUAGAAUUUCUUCAAGCUAAGCACGCUUAACUCUGAAGUCCCUAUAAUCGAGCCACCGAAAAAAAAAGGUUCACAUUGUUGGUAUAGGUAUUAAGUUUUAAUUCUUUUCAGUCUUUCUUAACAUGACUUUCAUGUCCUCAAGGUGCACCUUGUCGGUAUACUUGUCGAUUUCUCUCUUUUCUCUCAAUUCAAACAAUUCGACUUAUUCCAUCACAAUGUUCUAAGUUUAUUCCAUAUGAACUAGCAGGGAAACCUAAUGGACUUAUAUAUCAUGAGCUCCAACGAUUCAAGAUUAACUGGUUAAACUCUUUUAGACCGAGUUAAUCAACAUUCGUAAACUAACGGGUCAUUCCACUAAAGUCUCGCAGUUGCACUCCCUCACUAUAGAUAUAUUCUUGUCCAUUUAAUAUAACCAUGAUCAAUAAGUUAAUCCUUCACAUGUUAUUCGUAACCUCGAAUGGAUGAAAUUACUGUUUUAUCCUUGAGACUACAUCUUAUUUCUUAAGUCUCAUUGAUCCACUAUUGAACAAUUGGUUUAAGGUCCAACCUAUAAACUUAAUCCCUCUCGGGCUAAUGUGAGGGUGGGGCCCCUUGUUCAAGACUUGGAUUCAGUGCUUAAGAGAACAACCUAUCUACUAACCCUAAAACAGGUAGAAAUGAAUUUUGUCUUGCAUCCUAUGUUCCCAGCCAUUCAUCUGAUCUUACCCUUGAAAUAGGAGGCUUAUUGGGAGAACGUUGAUGAGAUACCCUCACCUAUGCAGAUGUAACCCUAAAACAAGUAGAAGUGAAUUCAGUCUUAUGUAAGUACUUUACAGUGCUUAAGAGAACAACCUAUCUACUAACCCUAAAACAGGUAGAAGUGAAUUCUGUCUUGCAUCCUAUGUUCCCAGCCAUUCAUCCGAUCUUACCCUUGAAAUGAGAGGCUUAUUGGGAGAACGUUGAUGAGAUACCCUCACCUAUGCAAAUGUAAGGAUAAUCUCAUGUGAACAGGAGUUCAUAGUUAGCUUAGGAUUAAGAUUAAGCUACCUAAGUCAUCAAUAAACGAAAUAGUCAGUUCUAAACAGUAAACGGUGUUAUAACGUAAAAGUGACUAUUUCAUGGAUCAGUCUUAUGUAAGUACUUUACAUAGGAUGCCCCCACUUUCAUGUCUCUACAUGAACAAUUUAGGAUCACCUCGUUUGUACUAAUUACAAAGCGGGUCACAUCCGUAGUUUCUCUAAAUAAGGCACUAUAGACUAUUUAGGCUAUACACUCGAACUUGAUCCACGUUUAUGUCUCGACAUAAAGUUCAAAUGUAUUAAAAAAUAGCAUUAAGACUUAGUUUAUUGGAUUUAAGAUUAUAAUUUUAAAUUUUUCAAUAACGAUUUUAUUGAACUGAAUAUGAUAACAAACUACGAGUUUUAGGACAUAAAAUCCCAACAUAUGUAUUUUUGCCUCUAAUAAUAAUGUUGAAAGAUGUUUGUUGUCAUUUCAUAUGGGUGAUAUCUCUUCUGGUUGGACAUAGUCAGGUUUUGUAAUGGGUGACUUUAACGCUAUCAAAAUGCAUUUUGAGGCUUUUGAUAGGUCUUCUGUUCCUAUGGAUAUGGAGGAGUUCGAUAUGGCUAUUUGCGAGGCUUAUUUAGUUGAACCUACAGUACAGGGUAACUGGUUCACCUGGACUAGAAAGGUUCAUGGGUCUGGUUUGAUAAAACGGUUUAAUCGUAUUCUGGUUAAUGGUGUUGGAUUACCGCAUGCCCUUCGGGUAUUUCUGAUCACUCCCCUUUUAUUUAUAUCCCAACUUUUAGCAGAGACAGUGGGUAGUUUCUUUUUGUUUCUUCAACCAUUGGGUUGAGGAUUCUUUGUUUAUUGAUGUUGUCUCUUCGAUUUGGAGUCACCAUGUAGGAGUUUCUCUGAUUGUGAGUUUCGUGAGAAAUUUACAUAACCACAAGCCUACCCUCCAUAGACAGUUUGGUAAGCACAUUUAGAGCCUAAGUGAGGAGGUUCGUAUUGCUAAAGAGUCCAUGGAUAAACCUCAGAGAAAGGUUGGGCAAAAUCCUAUGUCUGAUGUUUUGAGUCGCCAAGCAGGUCUUGCCAUUGAGGCCUUUUGGACGGCUGUUAGAUUGGAGGAAGCCUUCAUGUGUUAGAAGUCCAAGAGGUUUGUGAUUUGCCUUAGAACUUGUGUUACCUCCUCGAUGUUCUCCAUUAUGAUUAAUGGCUCUUUCAAGGGUUUUUUAAUGGGAGGAAAGGUUUGCGGUAGGGUGAUCCUUUAUCUCCUUUCCUUUUUAUCAUGGUGAUGGAGGUCCUCUCUCGUAUGUUCAAUCGGCCUCCUCCGAGCUAUCAGUUUCACAGGCAUUGUGAGAAGGUUAGCUUAACUCAUCUGACCUUUGCUAAUGAUCUUAUGAUUUUUUGUACUGCUGAUGAUUCCUCUCUGAGUUUUAUUAACGAGACUAUUCGAAAGUUUGGUGAUCUCUCGGGGCUAUUUACUAAUCUUAGUAAAAUUUCUAUGUUUGUUGUAGGGGUUAAUAGUGAUGAUGUUUAUCGUUUGACUACCAGUUUGGGUUUUGUCCUCAGGCAUCUCCCUGUUCGUUAUCUUGGGCUUCCUUUACUUUCUGGGAGGUUACGACCUACUGAUUGUGCUCUCUUAUUCAACGUAUUACUAGUCAGAUUCAUUCUUGGUUUGCUAGAGUUUUAUCAUUUGCAGGUAGAUUGCAACUGGUUCGAUAUGUGCUUGAUAAUCUUCAGGUUUACUAGGCUAACGUGUUUGUGUUGCCUGUGAGUGUGCAUCAUGAGGUUGAUAAAAUCUUGAGGUCUUAUCUUUGGAGGGGUAAGGAGGAAGGUAGAGGAGGUGUUAAGGUGGCGUGGGCUGAGGUGUGUUCCUUUUAGGAGGGUGGUCUUGCUAUUCUUGAUGGGCCUUCUUAGAAUGUUGUGAGUACUAUGAAGAAUCUUUGGUUGUUGCUGACUAGUUCGAGUUUUCUACGGGUUGCUUGGGUGGAGGCUUAUAUUCAUAAAGGAAGGUCAUUGUUCGAGGUCGAUUCUUGUGUUGGUCGGUCUUGGUGUCUUUGCGCUAUCAUGUGUAAACGAGAUAGUCUAAAAGAGCAUGUUCAGAUGGAGGUUGGGGAUGGUAGGCAUUGUAAACUGUGCCUGGAUCCGUGGUUGCAGGGUGGUCAUAUCCUUCAACAAGUUGGUGAGAGAGCGCUUUAUAAUGUAACGAGUAGAUAGGAGGCUAGGCUCUCUAAGUUUAUUGGUUCGAAAGGGGAGUGGAGGUGGUCGAGGGUAUCUUUGGAUUUGAUUAAUUUAUCGGAUAGGGUUCAAGUUGUAAGUUCGUGUCCUAAUGUUGGUGAUAGGUGGGUUUGGGUUCUUGGUCGUCAUAGUGGUUUUUUGAUUGCUAGUGCAUGGGAUACUAUUCAUCCUCGUAGUGUUAAGGUUCGUUGGAUAGGUUUCUUGUGGGGUGGGGAUUGAGAGUCUCGUUAUCAUUUGUUUUUUCAUGUCCUUUUGGGUGUGAUAUUUAGUCUCGGGUCCUUUAGGUUAUGGCUUCCUCUCACAGGAUUGGGUAUUGGGGGGUUGAGUUGUUUGGGUUUGUCAUUAGAGUAUUGGUAAGGGUGUGAGAAGGAAGUUGUGGUAUGUUCUCUGGUGUGCUAGCGAUUUAUUUUAUUGUGAAAGGAGCAUAAUCAUUGUCUCCAUGGUGGUCAAGCUCGUGAGCUCAUUGUUCUGUUUCAGCUUAUUCCAUAUUGUAUCAGUGCUCGUGUUGUUUAUUUGCGUGAGGAUGCUCAUGGUAUUAUUUAACUUGUUUUCUUUUGAUUUUUGUUUUAUCUGCUUGUUCUCGGGGCUGUGGGGUUGUUUGGACUUUUUAUGUUUUUGUUGCUCUUAAUUUUGUUGGGUUUAUUAUUGUUCUUUCUUUUGAUACUUUGGAUUCUUCCUGUUUUUGUGAGCAUUGUCCGCUCUUGUGAGGUCAUCCUUGUUGUAUUAUGAUAUUAACUUUUCAAAAAAAAAAAAGAUAAUGCAAUUCAACUUUAGAUAGAAACAUGAUUCGAAUUUUCAUUUCAAGAAAAUACAAGGGGACAGAACUCAAGGAUUAUGUGGAUCACAAAACUUGAAUUACUAGAAUCUAAAUUUCCAUAUGUUAGAUAUCAUUAGAAGCAGUUAGACCAAAAGUUAAUUAUCAAUAUGUUAGUUCACAGGAACUGCAUAAUCAAGCACAUAAACAUCCACAUUGUCAUUCAUUGUAGGCAGCUUUGAUACACAAAAAAUAUGGAUAUUUUCAGAAGUUCAAGCAUACACAAAAAACAUAUCCUUGUCAGAAAAUAGCCAACUAAGAAAGAGAAGUUCAAGAUUUAUAUACAAAGUGCAGCUGCAAAAGGACAAGCAAGAUGCCAGAAUCUAUAUAUUAUGCAGUCGGAUAUUAAUUGGCAAGUACUAACAGCAAAGGUACCAAAAUAAAACUGUAUCAAUUUAUCUUGUCUAAAACUAAACAGUAUAUGUAAAUCUUGCAAACAAACAAGUUUUUUGAAUCAAAACUGUCAAAAGAUUUUGAUUCAAGUGAUAUGUGGAUUGUGAUCUUUUGUGUCACCCAUCCAUUCCUCCUGUUUUAACCAUUUAAAUCAAUAAAUAAUUUUAUGUUCAAACAUAAGUUGGACAACCUUUGUUAAAGAACUGCUUCCCACAACAAAUAGCAUUAACCACCCUUUUUUAAUUCAACAGAUGGGAAUAGAGAUCGAAUCUCUGAUUUUUUGGUCUAAGGUACCUUUCCUAAACUUGUCGAAUUCCAUUUUCUACACCAACUUUAGAACGAGUAUAUAUACAUCAAGUAAUUUCAUGUUCAACUCAAAAUUGGACAACCAUAGUAUUACUCCAAAGCAAACAAUACUAAUUGUUCCAUUAAAUGUUUUUUUAUAGCUCUUGAUUGUCUCACUUUUUUGUAUUUUGAAUUUACAAGCCUCUUUUUUCUUUCUUUGGUAUGAAAGGUGGCAACUAGGCCUUGCUAGAACGAGUGGGGUAACCUUUCUAUGGUUCUACACUUAGUUUCGAAGUUCGAAGUUUUCCUCCUACAGUGGAUCAUCGCUAUUGAUUCUUCUACUGUUAAUUCGACCUCCCACGAAUUCUCUUCUUCUAAGGAUUCACUUUUCUCUAAGGCUAUGCACUCUACUAAAAAGCCUUGAUCUUCUUCCCCCAAUGUUUUCAUAAACUUCUUAAGACAGACCCUGACCUUGGUUAGGCUCGGAUCUCCUUGGAUUAUCACCUUCUUCCCCUGAUAUGUAAAUGUUAACAUCAUAUUCUUCCAAUCCACUCCAGUCGUUCCCAAGGAAUACAAUCACUGCAUUCCAAGUAUGGCAACUACCCCUCCCAACUUCAAGGGUAAAAACUCAUUCACUACCUUCUAGUCUCCCAGCAUUAACUCAACAUCUUCACAAAUUACCUUCCCUUUGACUACAGUGCCCGAGCCCAAAAUAACUCCAUAAUUCGACGUUUCUCUUAUACUCAGUUGCAACUCUUUCACUAUUUUUUUCUGAAAUGAAAUUGCGUGUGACUCCACAAUCAAUUAGUACUAUAGCCACCUUCCCUUGUAUCAUCUCUUUUACCUUCAUUUUCCCUAGGUUGGAUAAUCCCACCACAUAAUUAAUGGAUAAUUCCACCAUCACUUGACUCUCCUCUACGAUCUCAGGGGCAUUCAAUUCUUUCUGAUCAAUUCCUCCUUCUUCAAUAAUUUCAUACUCCUCGCCUUCUUCCUUCACAACAAUCAUUCGCAAUUCCCUUUGCUCUUUCAUCUUGCAUUUGUGGUCAUGAGAAUAUUUCUCAUUACAGCGAAAGAACAAUCCCUUCUUUCUAGAUUGAAAUUCAGCAUCAAAUAAGUGCUUCGUCUGUCCCUCUUUCCGUACUUCCUCUUUUGUUGUUCCUCGUAGAGUAAUAGUUCUCAUCGGCCAAUUCAUUCCUCCUUUACUUUCUUCUGUAUUCGCAAUGGUAUUAGGCUUGGUGCUAUUAUGGGAGUUUAUCACCUUUUCUCCAGAAUAUCUAGAAAGAUUUGCUUCCUGACAUAUAUCUUCCUUGUUCUCUACCUUUUGCGCGAUUCGUAUCAUUUGUUUUUUUCUUGUCAUUUUGGGUGGGAGAUUUGGUCGAGGAUCCUUUUGCUUAUGUCAUCUUCUCAUAGAAUCGGUUAUUGGGGGGUUGAGUUAUCUUGGAUUUAUAAUCAGGGUAUUGGGAAGAGUGUGAGGAGAAAACUGUGGCGCCUUCUCUGGUGUGCUACAAUUUAUUUCAUUUGGCAGGAGCGAAAUCAUCGUCUUCAUGAAGGUGCUAUUUGGGAGCCUAUGGUUGUAUUCCAGCUCAUUUGGUCGUGUAUUAAAGCGCGUGCUGCUUCUUGGUCGGAUGGUGUUCAUGGUCUUAUUUAAUGUUCUUUUCGUUUGCUUGUCCCCGGGUUAUGGGGUUUCUCUUCUCUUUAUUAACUUUGUUGUCUUUCUCUCUUCUUCUUGUCCUUUUAAUGUUUGGAACACUAGUUGGUUUCUUUUGGUUUUAGUUCUUGUUCCCAAGAUGUGGGGUUGUUUUGGGUACUUAUGGGUUGUUUUGUCUAACUACUUGUUCUGUGAGUGUUGUUCACUCUUUUGUCUUGACCUCAGGAUGUGAGGUCCACCUUGUUGUUGUAUAAUAUUAUCAUUACCUUUUCAAAAAAAAAAUCAAACUCAAUGCUAAGUUUGACUGCUCCCUUCGAAGUGACAACAAGCCUCAUUUUCGCCCUACUGUGGAUCGAGGAGGAUUCCUCCUCUUUUCAAAGCCCUCAAUCAAACUUGACGUUAUGUUUAAAACACUAUGGUCUAGUUUUGGUUAGGCCAAAAGCGAUGUUUUCCCCCAAAAGCUCUAAUAGCUAGGGAACUCAACAUGUUCUACUUGACCUAACCAACUUGACUCUGUAUUUUUUAUGAGCUUUUUUUAAUGCAUAUUGCAUAUGUUUUUUUUAUAAUUGUUGAUUGUCUCACUUUUUUAUGGUCUGCAUUUACGAGCCUCUUUUCUUUCUUUGUUAUGAACUGCGGUAACUAGGCAUUGCUAGAACCGAUGGGGUAACAUUUCUAUGGUUCUACACUUAGUUUCUAAGUGUGAUUGCUCACCUCUAAUUUUCAAAACACUUAAUUUCUAAGCACAUACAAUGUUCACCUAGAAAAAAAUGAAAAUUGUUGUACUUAAGAUCAAAACUAAAUAGUUAUGAAAUAAGACAUAAGAGAUUUGAUUUUAACAACCUUCUCGUUGUACUUGGGAUCCACUCUGGCUUUGUGCUGGAAAAUUGGUUUGGAGCUGAUCAUAAGCUUUCGGUUGCUCUUCUGUAACCUUUAGAUACUCUUCAAAGCUAUAAGCUUUGCUUCCUGACGAAGAAUCUUCUACUAUUACAAUACAUAAGAAAAUUCUAUUUCAUAAACCAUGUAUCAUAAUUGAGGCUGAUAGAAUGAUUAUUCUAUAACCCUACCGAUAGUUUCAUUCUUAACAUUCAUAGACACGAUGCAUGGCAGCUAUCCAAUUCUAUUUCAUAUUCUCGAGAAUGGCUCGGUUUAACAAUAAUGUUAAUUUUUGUUUUCUAUUUUAAAAUAAUAACGCUGCUUACUAAUCUUUUUUUUUCCAUUUGGCAUUCUACUUUUUCUACUCAGCUUUCUUUCCCUAGUGAUAACAAAUAAUACGGGUGAUAAAAAACUUAAUCACUCACUUGUUUCAGCCACCGAAAGCCCUUCUGCUUUAGAAAUAGAAAUACGGGUGAUACGGGUGUGCUGUUCAUUGAACUCUCAAUUUCAUCAAGACCAAUUUCUCACUCAAACAUGGUCUUGCAUUCUCUAGAAACGUCCUACAAACAAAAAUGAAGAACAAAAAACUACAAUAAGGUCUAUGAAAAAAUUACAAAGGAAAAUCUCAAAAACUGAUAUGUAAGUCAUAACAACCUUAAGUCCUCUUAUCAUGGGUUAAAAUGCACGUAAGGUUUUUCCAAGAGUCCGAGCAACCAGCAUGUAAAUAAGUUAAGUCAACUAAAUUUGCUAUAAAUUUACUCGUAUUAACAUUAUCAUUGUUAUAGACUUGACAACUUCAAAUUUAUCAAUAUAAAAUAUGCUUUAACAAAACGUACCUUGAGGUUCCUCAAACCUUAUUAAAAAAGCAAAUAAUACAACAAUUUAACAAAUUUAUAGUGCAUAUUAUGUAUAUCAAUUGAUCACAACAAAAUAAGAUCGAACAAAUACCCAUGAGUAAUAUUUAGCCACCAAAUGAAUAAUGAUGAAAACCUGAAAACAAAAUCGAGAAAAAAAAGGGAACAAUUCAUCAACAAAACAAAUUUAGGGGACUAAAAAAUUGCUUACCUUAUUACACACUUCAAAAUAUUAAGAAAAGUGGAGGGAAAAAACCAACCAAUAAUCAACAAAUAAACUUCAACACAAAUAGCCAUAAAUUUUCUUCUUUAAAGGUAUCACAAAUAAGUCCAUCAGUAAUACCAAAAUAAAAAAGGGCAACGUGCAAUUGAAUUCUGCAGUCGUAAAGCUAUGCUAAAGGCAGUAUGAAAUCAAACUUGAGCACUAACAAGAAAAUUUGCAAAACAAAAAUUACUAGACAUCAUUAACUAAAGUACCAGCACAACAAUGAAUGUGUAACCUCCGCAAGAGCAAACCCGAAUGGAGAAGAACAUGAAGAAAUAUAUAAAUAGAAGAAACAUAAAAGACAAACAUGAAACACAUGGAAAUAUACAAAGGGGAUAAAUAAAAGUACAAUUAUAAAGUGAUGAAGCACAAAUAUAGGUAUCAACAGAACCAGAAUACAAGUCUUACCCUAUCUCGACUGUCGAGGAGUGUUAACCAACCGUCGGAAGGUUGGUUUUAUUUUUUAGAAAAAUUAAUGUUGUCUGAACUCUUUUCCAAGCCACUAACCAGCCCCUCCUUAUCUAUGAUCGACGAUCAACUCCUCAACCUCUAAUUACAUUUAAAAGAGUGAUGCGAACAUUGUGUGAAAUCCCAAACCUUUGAUGGAUCCCACCAUCACUCUCUUUCUAUCCCCUUCAAAACCUCAUUAUUUUCAAGAGAGGCCUCAAAGCUUUCUUCCAAUUAACAUAAAAGAAGAAUGAAAGAGAAGGAGAGAAAGGGAAAGUGGUUCAAAAGCUAUGGAAAAAAAAGUAAAAGAAAAUGGUCUACUCAUUGGCACAUCUUACACAGAUGAUAAUGUUAGGGCAAGGCAAUGAGAGACAGAAUGCUUUUGGAGCCUUCUCCUCUACUUUCGAAGAUUUUAACAAACUAAAAUAUGCAAAUGUUACAAGAAAGAUCUUUGGAGAUUUGAAAUAAUCCAAAAUAAAGAAAAAGGAAAACCCCAAUAUGUACAAAUUUCAAAAUCUAAAACUUGAAAAGUGAUUGAAUGAUGAGAUAUGUUUGUACAAUCAAUUAUAGAGACAGUGAAAUAUUAAAACAAAAAUGAAACGUACCAAGAUAAAAAGAAUAGCAACUAGUAUUAUGACCUUUGUAUGUCUUCAAAAUACAAACAUCAAAAUGAAUCAAGAGAUCUACCACACAAAUAAUGGUAUCAACACAAAUAAAGCAAUUGUUUUAGUAACAAUAUUUGAGUACAAUUAAACUAAGCAUGCUAUUUUCCUUGACAAAUUUACAUUCUUCUAAUCGAACAAAAUCUGACCUUUAAAUAGUGAUAGAAACUGAAGAUGAAAGCAAGUUUAGCUACAACUUCAGACCGUGAUAUAUAUGACAGAAUCUAUAUAAAAAAAAAAAAGAGUACCUAACUAUAUAUACACAGAGGAGAACUGAUGCUUACUAGCACAUCAGAGGCUCAAUCGAUUUAUAUUUAAUUGAAAAACAAUCCCUAUAUUUUAAUGCAUACACAUUGAAUAGCCCCUGUUUCAAUCCAAUUUACAAAACUACCUCCAUAAAAUUACAUAAUGGGGGAAGUUCGACCGGAUGCACUGUGCUUUACCAGAACCACAUGAAAUUAUUGGAACAUAGUUCAUUCAAUUAACUUUCUAUUCAAUAAUUGAAACAAAUGGAAAGAGGACAUAUGAAUAUUAAAUAAAGAUGGAAUUAAUUGGGAACUCACGGAGUAAUGCGAUUUGUUCGGGGGCUCACUACUGGAGUUGGAAGAGAGACAAGGAUUAGAAAGGAAAGGAAGAGGAGCGUCUGAUAAUCCAGCGGAUUCUUUGAUGAGUGGAGUACUAGUAGUAGUAGUGGAGGUUCCAAGGACAUUGAAGUCAAUCCGGUGAGAGUGAGGGAAUCCAGAAGGUUGAGGUUGAAGAGAGUAGAAAUUGCAACCAAAAUCGGUGACGAUGGUGGAAUCGAAAUUGCGAGGGAAGAAGAAAAGAGCAUCACAGGUCGAAGUAGAGGAGGAAUCAACACUGGAGAAAGGAGGAAGAUGAGGAGAACCUGCCAUUAAUGGAAGAGGGAGGAAGUGAGAGAGAAAGGAGAGGGAAUUAAUUAAUUAAAGAGAAUUAGGGUUUGAGAAGAGAAAGGGAAAAUGGAGUGUACGAACAAAGAAGAAGAAGAAGAAAUGGAAAGGACGCGCUAAGAGAAGAAGAUGGAUCGGUGAAAUGGGUAUGAUAGGGUUUCUUCCUUAAAGAAACGGAAAUUCAGAGAUAGGCCUUAGGAUUUUGAGAAGAGAAAGGAAAACUGGAGUGUACGAAGAAAUGGAAAGGACGCACUAAGAGAAGAAGAUGGAGAUUGGAUCCGCAACUAAGAGAAGAAGAUGGAGAUGGAUCCGCGAAAUGGGUAUGAUAGGGUUUCUUCCUUACAGAAACGGAAAUUGAGAGAUAGGCCAAAGAAGACAAGAGAGCAAGAGAGAAUGGGGGAGGAGAGGGAGGAGAGGGAGACUUGGCCGUUAGAGAAGAGGAUAAAGAAAUUUUAAAUGAGAGAGACUGUACAUGUAGGGUUUUUAUUAGAAUUUUUUUUUUUGAAAUCUUGCUUAAUUGGAUUUAGAGAAUUUUGUGUAUUCGGUUCACUGACUCGUAUUAGCUGUCCAUUGGUCCAUUGUUUUGUCAUUUUUUUUUUUCAACAAACUAAAUGUUUUAAUCCAUUUACAAAUUAGAUUUCGAUAAAUCGAUAAUCAUAUUUUUUUACAAUAUAGGACUAAAAAAGAUAACUAAUUUAUAUAUAUAUAUAUAUAUAUAUAUAUAUACAAUACAACAGUAUUUAGUUAAAUUACAAAAAAUUUGAAUUUUGUAGUUUGUGUAAAAAAAUAACCUUAAACUUUGAAAUGUUAAAAAAAAUUGUUUUGAACUUUUAAAAAUUAUUCAUAAAUACAUCUACAUACGUAGGAUGAAGGUAUUGGCAUGCUUCUCUAAAAAAACUUUCCAAAAAGAUGUUGUGUGACUUUUGAAAAGAAAAAUUACAAAUGGGGUCGUUUUUAAACAAAUUAGAUAUAUCGAGUUAUGUUUCUUUAAUUUUUUUUCCUUUUUUCACAUAUUAUCAAUCACAUCUUACUUUUUUUCUUUUUUCUUUGGAACCCUGCAAAAAUAACAAAAACAUUUAUAAUCACAUGACUCAUGUCACUACAUUUUCUAAAUUUUAAAAGUAGUAAAUUUAAAAGUUGAUAACCCUAUGAUUAUCGUUUGAUAGUCAUCUAAUAUCACUAAUUUUGUCAUAUUCGUAAUAUCCAAAUAAGGUUUCUUGGUGAGUCUAGAGUCGAACGUGAGGACUUAUACUAAAAAUAUAUAUUAUAUUUUGAAAUGAUCUUAAGGUGAUUAAUAACAUACGCCUAAGAACCAUAGCGGUAUCAUCCACUUGUAGGGUGGGAGGGGAGUCAUCCACUAUAGAUAAGGUCCACUUGUCUCCCUCACCCAACUUCAUAAGGCUGCCAAAAGAGUUAGGCAUAAUCACAUCCACACGUUUACCCUUCUCUCGAACAUAAACCAACUCUCUUUUCUUCCUAAUAACGAGUAAUUUCAUUCCGAUUACCUACCUCCUUUUCCUUAAUAUGCCUAAUGGGGGAGCUAUUAGUCUUACUUUCCUCCAACUAUUUAAAGUCUAACACCACAUCCAACAAGACACAAUUGUCCGUUCCUCCUCUUUGUUUGAAACCACCUUGCUCACAUCCUCUCUCUCGAUGAACUUUGUUUUCCACAAUCUUAGGACACUUACCACUAGAAUGCCCAAAAGACCGGCACAAAUUACACCUUCGAGGCUUCCACUCAUAAUUCACAGUCAUAACGAAAUCCUCUCCCCUAAGGUGAAUUGUAAAUUCAGCAGGCAUAGGAGAGUCCAUAACUAUAGUUUGCCUAUAGCACUAGCCACAACAGUCAAUCUGACAUCUGUCCAUAACUCCAUUGGAAUCCUACCUAGUUUAAUCCAUAUAGGAACAUAAUAAAAAGCAAAGGAUUUAGGGACAAUACCUAGAGUCCAUUUACGGAGGAGCAUACUUUUGCCAGCAAGAUGUCGCGAUCAACGAGAUAGGAUCCAUUCAACAAGUUUUGGGCAUCUGAAUUGGAAACAGAUGAGUCCGUUCUCAAGAAUUGUAAUCGUUGGCAUUUUAAUUUUAUCAACAAUAACAACGAGCUAAACAAAAUCCUCUAUCCAGGACGCACUAAUGAAAACUAAAAUGUAAAAUAAGUACGAAGUAAUUAAUUAAAAUAGAAGACAAAAGAAACCCAAAGUAAGUUGACAAAAUGCCCCACAAUAAGCUUCAAGAUGAGUGAGAGGGAACACCAAGAGAAACAUGAAUAGCCUUGCUAACUUUUCACUACUAGCCAACUACAUAUUUUUUUACAAUACGUGUUAGGGAAAUCUUUCCCUUUGCAAAAUCGACCAAUAUAUAUAAUCAAUCAUUGGCUCCUUAUGGGAAAAUACAGAAGCCCUAUACAUGUCUGUUUCAAGCCUGUGUUGAACAACUUUUAAUUCCCUAAGAUAAGGACAUUUAUCUGAAGGUUCGAGAAUAAUGACAUGACCUAAACUAACCCACCAUUUCGCAACAGUGAACCAGUUUGAUCGUUAGGGGACAACUUUUGAUAAUAAGCGCACAACCAUGCCCCAAUUCCAAUGUUGCCCAAAAGUAAAGGCCUUUCUUCACAAGGCUCCAUAAAAAAAAAGUUUGACUUUCACAUAAAGAUCUUAUUUCUUUUUUAUUGCUCCAAGAGAUCUAAUAGAUCUAUUCUCACCACGCAAAUCCCUUUUGUUAUCAUGGAAAAUAUGUUGGUUGUGCUCAAACCAAAUCUCUGCUAGCAACACUUUUAUCAAAUUAACCCAUAUUUUUUUUUUAAAAAAAAGGAUAUGAGUCUCACUAUUAUUAAUAUUGAAAUAUGAAGAGACAAAGCUCAAUGUCAUGAGGAUUAUACAAAGAGCAAUAGGAUGGAGGAUCAACAGACGCACCUGGACAUCUCAACUAGGUUGACACCCCUUAGCGCCCUCAUCACAUCCAAAAAGCGACAACACAAGAUCAAAACCAAAAGCCACAAAUAGAAGGCUUUUUUUGUGUUUGUUUUGCCUUUGGACAUUACUCCUUUGUUAUGGGUUUUAGCUUGGUUGGAUAUGAUGAGGGUGCUAUGGGGGUGGCAACCUAGUUGAGAUGCCAAGGUGCACCCCCUGAUCCAUGGUUACAUGUUCAUUGUAUAACUCUCUUGUACUAUGAGCUUUUGUCUAAUUAUUAUUAUUAUUAUUAUUUUAAUAUUAAUAAAGAGGUUGUCUCCUUUUCAAAAAAAACAAAACAAAACAAAACAAAACAAAACAAAAGCCACAAAUAUAAAACCAAACAAAAUGAUAAAAUAAUAUAUCCAAAACAAAAUCAUAAACCAUAGGUAGCAGGUCGAGAACAAAGAAGAAUAAGCCUUGAUUGAGCAAAAAAAACCAACAAAUAUUGAAUGUUUGGAGAAGACGGAACCAACAUUUUGAUACAAAGACAUAGUCAAUUAAAAGGUGCUAAAUAUUUUUCAUGUUAUCAACACAAAUGGGGCAGACAUGAGGUGAGAGGACAUGAGAGGGAAGUUUUCUUUGAAGUACUAAAGCACAGUUUAAUUUUCCAAACAACGUAAUCCAUAUGGGGAUAUUUAUCCAAAGAGUGAGCUAAAUAGCCCAAUGAGUGAUUGUUUUAUAAAACAUCGUUUUGAAAUAAUAAGUAUUUAACAAUUAACUCUUAACAUAAAUGAAAUCAAACUCAAACAAUAAACUAGGCAUAGAAGCCCUAUCCCGUGAUACGAUACUUACGAGAUGAAAAUCUAGGCAUCAAUUGUGCCCUAUCUCGUUAUAACUACAAUGAGAUGGAAAACUAGGCAUUCGUACAGGCUUUCGUCCCUUGAGAUGGGAAACUAAGCAUCUUUAGAAGUCUUCAUCUCUUAUCUAAUACCAAUGAUGGAAAGCUAGGUAUUUACUGAAUAUCCAAAUCAAAUGACCUCUAUGCACAAGAAAAUCUCUCCCGAAGGGUUGCUAUAUAUCUUAGAAUAUUUUAGGUAUAGACUAAAACAUGCUAAUAUUAUUUUCAAGCUUAAACAUUUUGAAAACUUAGCACAAUCAUGAUUGCUUAUAAUUUUCAUUAGUAAAUUCAUGAAUAAAAACAUGUUUACCAAAAUGUUUCUAAAUUCAUGCUUUGGAAAUACUUUAUAAGUCAGUAUCCUCAAAUAUUCAAACAUCAAAGCAUGCUUGAAACAUUUGAUAGUAAAUUCAUGUAUAGAAAUCAACUUUAAACUCAUUUUUGUCACUUAUAGAGAGUAGCUUGGACCCUUGGCUUAUAAACUUGUUCGAUCUCCUUCAAAUCUAAAAUAAUGAAAAAUAAUGGGAAAUAAUUCCAUUUAAUUCCCGUUGAUCAUAAAAAUAUCAAAACUUUGCUUAAAAUUUCCAAAAACCACAAAAACAGCCUAAAGACAUUAGCUUGCAUACAAAAUAUUGUGGCAGAAGUUGGCAGGCGCGCGUAGGGCUUGCCUUGCCAUGUCUCGUUCUAACCUCAUGUGCAGCGUGUCACAAUCACAACUUUUCAAACACGGAACAAACUAUUGUGCGGAGCUUGUUGUAACUCGAUGAACACGUCAGUUGUAUGAAAUUGGAUACGAUGUAGCCUCUCUACAGGUUUUAAGAGAAAUUGGUUUUAUUAAACACGAGAGAGAAAGGAAAGCAUUGGAAACAUCGUUAAAAAAAACUUUGAAGACUGUCCAUUGCAAAGAGAGCUUAAAUUGCAAAGAGUACCUCUGUGAUGAGAUUGGUUUGUGGAACCAAUUGGGAUGGGAAAAAGUUUAGAGAUAUUUGAGAGAAACUCUUUUCUUUUUGCAAAGAGCAAUAGCGUUAGCCUUAUUUUUUCAUUUUUUAUUAAUUCAUUUUUUUAAGAAAAUUGUUUUCUUCUAGAUAUUAUAACUCUCUUUCCUUCUAGGAAUAGAAAAUGAAGUAGAAGAGAACCAUGAGAUUCUAUUAAUUUACAAAUAAUUAAAUUAAUAUAUAUUUCAAAUCUACUGAUUAAUUAAACAUUAAUCAAUUAGUUAAUAAUUAAUGAAAUCGAAUUUAAUUAAAUAAUAUUAAACUAAACUAUUAAUUAAUUCUCCAAUUAACUAAUAACACUAAAUUAUUUAUCUUAUAUUUAACUUAAAUUAAAUUUGAAUCAUAUUCAAAUAUAAGUUUCUCUCAAUAAUUUUAAUAUGAAUCCAAUUCACAUUAAAUUAAUAUUUGAACUCAUUCAAAUAUUUUAACUCUCAUAAAUUAAUUUUGAAUCAUCCCCAAAGUUAAAUUUAUAUAGUAAAGUUUGAUAAACUUUAUAUUACAAUGUAUCACUAUACAUUAUACUAAUUCCCAAGUUAAAUUUAAACAUUUUAAAUUACAACCAAUAUAAAUAAAUCUCAUUACCCUUUACGAGCUAGGAAAGGGACCUAAUGGACCUACAUAUCAGAAGCUACAACGAUCUAAGAUUAAUUGGCUAAACUCAUUAACCACAUUAAUCAAUAUUCGUUAGCUGUGUGUACACUCCACUAAAGACUCACAACUGAACUCUUCUCACUAAAAAUAUAUUUAUGUGUCCACGGAUAUAGACCAAUAAUAGUAAGUUAGUCCUUCACGAGUGUUUGUAACACCAGUUGGAUCAAUUUACCGCUUUACCCCUAUGUUACCUCUAAUCCUUAAAAACCAGUGCUCCUCUAAUGAACAACUUGUUUAUGGUCCUACUAAUAAACAAAAACCCCUCUCAUGUCAUAGAGAGGGUACGGGCCCUUUGUUCAAGUUUUGGAGACACCAUUUAAGCUAACAUUCAUCUACUUACCCUAAAGUAGGAAAUAAGUGAAUUCCAUUUUGUGCAAUUAUAAUCCCAACUCCCCACUCAGUCUUGUCCCCAAAAACACUACUACAAAAACAGGCUUUUUUUACGUUUAAAAAACGCCAAGAAUAUUUACGAAUUCAACAUUCUUGACGUUUUUUAAAUGUCAAUAAUAUAUAGUUUUCCUCGACGUUUUAAAAACAUCAAGUAAUUUAUAAAAAAUUCUUAACGUUUUUAAAAUGUCGAGAUAAUUCUAAAAAGUUCUUGACAUUUUUAAAAACGUCAAGAAAUUUAUAAAAAAUUCUUGACGUUUUUAAAACGUCAAGAUAAUUCUAAAAAAUCAUUGAUGUUUUUAAAAACUUCAAGAAAUUUUAAUUUGUUUUUGACGUUUUAAAAACGUCAAGAAAUUUCUAAAAAAUUAUUGUGUUAAUAUUCUUUUACAAAACUCAACGUUUCAAUUAGAUCACUUUCCCUUUUCUUAAUUAAACCUAAUUCGCCGCGACUCUGUCCCUUCUCCACCCGAAAUCAAAAGUGUCGUUCACCUAACCUUCCCUUUGCGUUCAUUUGUGCAUUCAUCUGCGUUCAUCGCCGAAAAAGACUUCCCUUCGCGUUCAUCAGCGUUCACCUUCAUUCAUUUGCGUUCAUUGUCCGUCACCGUUCGUCUGCUUUUCGUUCCCUUCACCUUCGUCGAUUUGCGUCCGUCUGUUCACCGUUCGAAAUGCGUAAACACAUUCUCUGUUCGAAAACGAGUAAACACGUUCACCGUCCUUCUGUCGCAUUCCACUUUCGCUAAACCUCUAUUCGUUUCCAAAUCCUUCAUGGUUACUCAUUCAUUUUCUUCCCUUUCUAAAGGUAAUAAUUUUCCUUUUUUCCUUUGUGAUUAAAAUUUGUAAUUUGUAAUUUAAAAUUGGAAUGCAAAAUUAAAGAAGAGGAAAUAUGCCUUAGAGAAUGGAAGAAAGGUUUUGCAUUUUAGGCUUGAAAAUGGGGGAUACAAGUUAUUAUAAUUGUAAUAUAUAAUAUUUUGAACAAGGCUACCAAGCGUGCGAAUAUGAUUCAUUGGUUAGUUUAGGGAUUGGAAAGAGAAGGAUUGUGGAGUUUGUGAUAAUAUUUUGGUACACUGGAGCUGGAAACAGAGAAUAUUAAAAAACACAUACUGUUAUACACAGUAUUAUAAUAAUACGAAUCACUAGCUUUUCUUCUUCGUUUUCUUUUUCUUCUCCUGGAAUUUUUGUUAUGGGUAUUGUAUUGAGUUUUGUGUUUUAGAUUGUGAAGUAUGGGGUAGCUAAACUCUUAAUCCUAGGGAUAGAUGUAGACAAAGUUUAUGAAUUAUUCUUUGUAAUGCAUCUGAUUAUUUGCUCUUAAUCUUUUCAUGUUUUUAUGUGAAUAACGUUCAUAAUAUCUUAAUCACAGAUUAAUUGUUGAUUGGCCAUGAACCUUAAUCUUUGCAUGACUAGAGUGGUUAUGAACUUGGAAAGAGAUAAUUAAGGAUCCUUGAGGAUGUUGUUGAAAGAAGUGGACCUAAAAACUUUUGUUUGUUAAUAAAAAGAAAAAUGAACAGAGAUUCAUCUUCGUCAGGGGUCUUGAUGUUUAAUUUAAUUUAAAUUGUGUAUGAAUUUUUAAUUACGAGAAUUUUAAUAUGUUGCAAGAGCACUAUAGCCAAGGUAUAGAGUGAGGGAGAUAAGGUUUAUAUGUCUUAGAGAAUGGAAAGAUGGAAUUUGUGCUAAAAUCAUUAGUGUUCCAAAUACAAUUAUGAAUUAGGUAUAGUUGCAUUCCCCCUUCUGGAUUGCAUAGCACAUAAAUAUACUCUCAUGGAUUGCAUAGCACAUAAAUAUACUGUAAAAAACAAUAACAUAAAACACAAACUUGAUUUAGUUUCAUUCACACUUGUACACCAACAUGUUUCAAGUAAUGAUCAUAUAUUAAAAAUCAUUUUCAAAUUUGGUAAUAUAAAAUGGAAGAAGUGAGACCUUGAGGUUUUGACCACCAAUACUAUCUAACUGAUGAGUUUAUGAUUUUUGUUUCUACUGUGUUCUUUCCUUAAGCUUUAACUUGUUUUAGGGGCAAGAUGGUGAAGGUCUAGUCCACAACCUUUCCCAAGAAUUUAAUGAUGUUUGGGUUGACCCAAUUAUUGUUAUUGGACACCGUUUUAUGGUAAUUGGUUGUUAUGGUUUUUAAGUGUGUUUUGAUAUCUUGUGUUAAAAAAUAAUUGCAAAAAGUCGGAAAAGUUUGUUAAAGAUUAGGUGUUUUUAAGUUUGUCAUUCCACUUUAAUUCUCACCAGUACUUGCUGAAUGGAAGCCUCUUGUCUAAGACAAUUCGAGUGGAAUAACUCUCGUGACUACCACAACAUUUGGGAACUCACCAAAUGUAAGACUAUUCCUUUAUCCUAGCAUUUGAUCUCUCUCUAUAAUUUGGUUUGCUAUCGUAAGUUUGAUUAAAAUAAAUGCUGAUAAUUCAACUCCAAUGUUCUUAUUUUCUUAACUCCCAUUCAGUCAGUUAGAAUCAAAACUCAUUUAUUUAUCUUGUCUCCAUAAUUUGGAUUCAAAGAUUCAUCACAAUAAUCUUCUCAACAACAUUCUUGAAAAGGUAUUGAAUUUUCAACUGUGUGACCUUUAUACACAAAUUUCUUCAAAGAAAUUUACAUUCUUUAGAGUUUAGAGCUUUGAAUUCUAGUACAACUUAUAAAGCUUUUGAUACUUGUUAGACUUUUUUGCUUGGUGCGGAUAAAACCUUAUUUACAUUCUUUCUUUCCUGCAUGUUCUCUUUUGAUAUUUGUUAGACUUUUUUGCUUGUUGUCCUUAGUGUUUUCCUCUUUAGCUGAAAUUUCUCUAUCUUGAAAAAAAUAGAGCUUUAAAAUUCAACUUUAACUUUAUUUGAUACUAUCUUAGUCCAUACUUAUUUUGGUAUUUCUUUCAUUUCUCACAAACACAUCUAAGAGGUUGCCUUCACAAUAUGGCCAAAUUAACAAUAUGGCAACCUUUUUCAUUGCAAAACAUAUUAGAGGUUGGUUACUUAGUUAGCCUUAUUGGGUAAAUAAUUGACAUUUAGGUACUUUUUAGUUUGUAUAUUUAUAGAUGCCAAAUCGAUAUGUGAAUUUUAAUUGUUGCUUAUUUGAAACAUUGCAACCAUUUGAUAAAAUGUUGCUAUGUGAAUCCAUCUUAACUUGAUAUAUUAUUUUAUUUUGGUUUAGGUUGUGGAAUCCAAGUUUGUAUUUGAAGUCAAAUUCAUCCAAGAUCAUUGAGUUUCAAAGCUUCUUUAAUUAAGAUUUUGUUUCUUGAACUAGAAUUGUAGUCUUGUGAUUUUUGGAAUAGCAUAGUUGGAUUGGUUUUGUAAUUUUGGGAUUAUCAUAUUAGGUUGGGGUUGACUGAAGUAGUGUUUUGUAUAUGACAAUAUCGAACAAACAUGUAAAGUUUUCGAAAUGUUCAUACAUAUAUGAUUAAAUGUUAAUAUAUGUUAAAGUUUUGGAAUUGUACUCGUGCAUAUUUAUGAGAUUGUUGGGCCACACUACAGGAAUUAUAGAGACAAUACAGGAAAAAAAUAUAAAUAAAUUAUAAUUUAGAAAAAAAAUGAAACAAGCUUGACGUUUUUUAAAUGUCAUAAACAAAUACAUUCUUGACGGUUUUUCAAUGUCAUUAACAAGUAAAUUCUUGACGUUUUUUAAACGUCAUAAACAAUUGUGUUCUUGACCGUUUUUAAAUGUCAUAAAUUACAUUCUUGAUAGUUUUUAAAUGUCAUGAAUACUCAUUCACUUGACGAUUUUUAACUGUCAUGAAUAUUUGUAUACUUGACGUUUAUAAACUGUUAAGAAUCGCUAUUCUUGACGUUUUAUUAACCGUCAAGAACUUUGACUUUCUUGACGCUGGCUUCAAUGACGGUUUUAAAACCGUCAAGAAUAGUGAUUCUUGACAGUUUAAAAACGUCAAGAGAGUCUGUUUUUGUAGUAGUGAAUGAUAAGCUUAUUGAGUCGGCGAUCUAGCCACUCUCACUCGUACAAAUCAAAGGACAAUCUCUCGCGAACAAGAGUUCAUAAUACACUCAAGAUUAAGACUAAGUUAUAUAGGUCAUCCUAGUGAAAUAGAAACCUAACUAGUUAAUGUAGUAACACCAAGUGGUUACUAUUUCACGGUCUGGUCUAUUGCAAUCUCAUUGCAUAGGAUACCUUCACUCGCAUGUCAACUACAUGAGCACAUUGGAUCAUUGUAUUUGUAUCAAAUACAAAGUGAGUCGUAUUCAUAAUGUUACCAGGAUAAAGGUACCCAGUCUUAUCCCUAUACUAUAGACCCUUUAAGCUAAUCUCGAACAUUGAUCCAUGUAUGUCUCUACAUACUAUUCAAUACUUAUUAAACAGUUUAGGAUGUUAGUUUAUUGGAUUUGAGUUAUUAAGACAAAACUAAUAAUAUAAUCAAUAACAAUUAUUACAAUAAUAACACUUUAUUAACAAUGGUCAAUGGAUUAUAUUUACAAUCUACGAGUUUUAGGACAUAAAUUCCAACAAACUCCCACUUGGACUAAAACUCUAGUCUCUUUGGGAUGUUCAUAAUAAAGUAAUCCUCUAACAUUGAAAAUGGUAAAAUGUACAAGUGUAUUACAUAAAAUGUGUAUAUACAAAUACAAUAAACUAGGGCAUCCUCAUACCCAUUACACAUCUGCCACUUUUCCUAGAUUACCUAAUGUACAUAACUCGCAGAUCUAGACUUUCUAGAAGACCCUCGAACACUUUAGCCAUGAGAGUCUUUGUAAAUGGAUUAGUAAUAUGCCCCACUAUUAUCACAAUAUAAAGUGAUGGGGCAUGUUCAUGUUUGGAACAACUUCCAAAUUAUGCAAGAACUUCCUCAGCAAAACUGCUUCUUUUGCUGCUUCACAAGUAACAAUAUACUCAACUUUCAUAAUAGAGUGUGUAAUGACGCGUGGCUCAGGCUGCUUGAUCAUGCCAGGACAUGCUUCUUGCAUGUCCCAAGCCUAAAUAACCUCUUUCGCUCAAAACACACGCUCAUCUCACCUUGUCAUCCUGGCAAUCAACCCACCCUUGGCCUUGCCUAGAAAUAUGAUUUUUCUACCAGAAACUUAACUCGACUUUGAAGCUUAAAUCAAUAAGAUUCCUUCUACAAACUUACUUAGAAUGUCUUCACUAGCUUACCACAAAGUGUCACUAACAAAUUCCAAAAUACUCUACAUUGUUCAAGUUUUUUUUUUUUUUUUUUUUUCUGAAAAUGACCUUUGAGUCUUUCUUCACUUCAAUGCCUUUCUUCCUGGUAGCCUUUCUCCUGAUACUACACUCAAUUUAGGAGAUUUUCGAAGUAGAGUUACCCAAUUAACACAAGUUGCUUGUUAACAUAAUUCGUCCAAAGUUGUACAUAUAGUGAUCCUUGCAUGCUCUUUGGUUGACAACUUUUAUUCUCACCUCUUACGCCCAUACUUGGCACUUUCCACCUCAUGCAAGACACUUAUUUGGCAAAACUUAGGUAUCUUGUAUGUUGUCCACUUGUACUCUACCGCACAUCUUACCUCAUAUUGCUUAAGUCAUCCUUGGAUGCAUAUCCCUUUUUCUAUGAGGGUUCUUUAGUAAAUUCUUACUGCCAAGAAUGCCUAAGACUUUUUUUUCUCGCCUAAUCUCCCAAACAUCCCUCAAUGCCUUCAACAAACCAUGCCAUCUUGACUAGCAUUUGGUUGAAUUGCCCCAUUGGCCGCAUGGCCUAUGUCCACAUAGCCCACCUCUUUGUUGCAUGACAUUCCUUAUCCACGUUCUAACUUCUUUAGAGUUUCUUGACAUUUCCUAGAUGCUUAGCUUCCUUGCCUAGCGCAUACCCUUGGUCAUAUAGCCUUGUCUUAUAGAGGUUGUCUUGACACCUUUCGGCCAUACCACAUCUCAACCUUUGGCCACCCAACAUGUCUCUUUAGAGGUUCGCUUGACACUUUUGGCCGCCUAGAGUAUGCAACAUGCCCUAGACAACACUUAGCCAAUUUUCGAACACCCUUUAUGCCUUUCUUUGUUACGAUGACACUUUUCUUUUGUCAUCUUAAAAAUAUUAACACAUCUUUCAUAACACUUCAACUAAACUAUCCAAUCUUAAACCAUCUUUCUCCUAACAUCAACCCCUAAUGUCCUAUUGAGUUCUUUAGAUGAAUUAAGGAUUAUUAGGUAUCGGGGUUUACACGCGAGAUGUAAGUCUUCCUCCUUGGAAUUACGUAUAUAGUAGUGUGCGGAGGGAGAGGAAUGUGAUGCAGGUCUUCCUCCUCAACCCUAAGGAAUUCUUCUUCGCUAACAAUGCCCUUUUGAUCGGGUAAGGGCUUGUUCGGUCAGGUCGUGAGGUGAAGGAUGUUGUUAUAAUGAUGGGGGAUUUGGUGGUGAGAGGAUAAUAGACAUGCGAGAAGACUUGGGUAAGAUUGAUGACAGGGAGUUUCAAUUUUUGGAUGAGGACUGGAAUUGAAGGAUUUGGAUUUUGGAGGAGGCGAUGAGAGAGUUAGGGGUCGGAUUGCAAGAGGUUUAGGGUCGAUGGCCACGUCUAGCUUUCGUCUUUUUUCCUUUUUAUACGAGUUAGACGCGUCAUCGUGGACCUUUCUCCUCUUUAGCAGUGGUGGCAACGGAGAAGCCUCUUCUUCUUCUCUGCCAUUCCAUUCUUCUCCCUUAACUUUAUUAAAGGUUUUGAGGUGUCUCUCUUCUUCUUUAUUUUGAUGGAGUGUUAUGGUUUGGUUGAGAUUCGCCUGAGAACAUGCAUAAGGGGUGAUUGCAGAAAAGCUAAAAGCUUAGGAACCGUCGGAGGAAGGGCAGAUCAUUAAUUGUAUGUUACGCCUUCCUCUGACGUGGUGGCAGCAACGUUGAGAAUAGAUUUAGGGAUUCCCGACGUAUCAUUAAUUGCGUGGGAAUAUGUUUAGGGAUUUCUGACGUUUAACAAAUCAGGUCAAGAAUAGGGUGCUAUUCCCGACGUUUUCGUUGUGCGUCAGGAGUUCUCUGUCUUUUUUAACUCCAUUCUUUAUAUAAAUGAAACAUAAAGAGAAAGAAAAUGAGAGAGGGAGAGGGAGACCGAGAGGAAGAUUAAGAAGAAGAGGGCAUUGUCAUCUCCAUUGCCGUCCCUGUUGUCGUCCUGUCGUCGCCGCCAUCGGUAAGUGGUUUAGUUUAGUUAUUGUUUUGUUUUAGUUAAUUAGUUUUAGUAUUUAGAUUUCAAAUUUGUUUUAGGUGUUAGAUUUUAGAUUUCAAAUUAGUUUUAGUAUUUAGAUUUUGAAUUAGUUGUAAGUUUUAGUAUUGAAAUUUAAUUUCAAGUGUUGUUAGAAUUUUGAAUUAGUUGUAGGUUUUAGAAAUUUGAAUUUGAAGUGUUGAAGUUGAGGUUGAAGUGUUGAAGUUGAGUUUGAAUUUAAAGUUUUCAAUUUGAAUUUAGGAAUUAAUUGAAGUUAUUUUUUUUAAAAAAAAUAGAGGAUCUCCCGACGCAUGGUUCCUAGACAUCUCUCGAUGCUAUAUUGACAACAUCUUCGACGUUCAUACAACGUCAGAAGAUGUCUAGAAACUCUCGACGCACAACAUUGUGCAUCGGGAGUUCCUCUCCCGAUACAUUUUUCCUGACUUGUGUUCCAACGUAUAUUAGUAUGUCAGAAAAGCCUUUUCUGAUGCUUUUUAUAUAUCUCCCAAUGAUUUUAUGCAUCGAGAGAGCCCUCAUUUCUUGUAGUGUUAGACAAAGAGCUUCAAUGUGGUAGAGGGGAAAGGCAUGACACCUUUAGGUGCUUUCAUCAAAGGGAGGAUUGAGGUUCUGAUUAUGGCGCUAAGGUUAACUGCCAUCUUCUUCUUAAUGCAAUAAAUCAUCAUUGUGCACUCUAGUGGGAUGGUGUUGUUGUCAACCAGGCAGGCGGUUUUGUUUUCAAGUCUUAGUUCUUAAUCCUUAACAACCUUUAGUAUUGAUGCUCUACCCCAACCCUCAUCUAAAACGAUAACUAACACAAUGGUUUGGAAGUUUUUGUGAAACAUCAUCUAUACUUUUUCUUUAAUGGUCGAUGAAAAAAAAGUCAGGAAAAUGGUAUUUCUGACCAUUUUAAGUGUUACCAAAAUAUCACAUUUGGUGUAGUAUGGUAUUGUUUUGAAUAUUUUUGUAAAAUAGUGGAUCAAGAAGUUUUACUAAGAUAAAGUUUCAUGUUGGACAAGAGGAUAGUGGAUGGGAAUUAAGUUGAAUGGUCCACUUUUUUUUUAAAUCCUUUAAGGUUUUAUGAAAACCUUUCACAAUACCUUUUCAUAAUCAUUUUGUAAAAAUAAUAUCAAAUCAUUUAAAUAUACCGAAAAAUUAUUUCAUUUCGAAUAAACCUUUCUUUAUGCUUAAAAAAUCAUUUCAUUUUGUCAAGGAUCCCGAAUCAUUCUCUACGCUUGGUGUCAUUACCUCGCGUUUAGACUACUGUAUCAACAGCAUCUGAGAACAUACAAAUUCGUCUUUGUUGCUCAUACCGCUAAGCUUUAUACGCUCAUUUCAAUGCAUAAGUCAGCUUCUUAUUACCAUGUAGUUCGUACACUCCAUAGUUGCCUUCACUCUUUAUGUGCACACAAAAGUUAGCAUCAUCUCAAAGAAACAUAAUAUUGAAAUCAUAGUCAUCAAAUCAAGCUUUAACAUUAUCAAUAAUGCUUGAACACAUAACUUUUCAUAGAAAUCUUUCUGAAACAUUCUCAUCUGAAUUCUUCUUUCAAAUCAGUAAAGAGAAAUCGUAAUAAAGUUUCUUAACAUAAAUUCUUUUGACUGAAAAGCACUCACCAAAAUUUACUAAAGAAGUCCUUCUCACAACCAUCUUUUCGCGUGGCUAAACCAACAACACUUUAACAUUUCAACAAAACUCUCGUCAUCCCCUCCUUAGUUACCUAAAUUCUCCUAUUUUAUAGAUCCCUUAUACUAACUUAGUCAUGCAAAUCCUUAAUAUUUAACCUAGUCAUGCUCAAAUCCUUAAUCUUACAUGUUAACCCAUGUCAAAUCAGAUUUGACAUUUUCUUUACAAACCUUGCUCCCCGCCUAACCCAAACCGUGAAUAAAUUCAACCACUUAACAUUUCUCGUGAAUAACCUUAUCGCUUGAUUAUAUUUUUAUUAUAAGAAACGUUCCACCUGAACUAACCAACUUUUACUCGCAUAAAACUCUUAUCACGAACUUAAACUCCAAGGCUUCCUCGUAGACUUCUUCUCCACGAAACACUUGGUUCUUCUCGCGAAGACCACCCAAAACUCCUAGUCUAACACUCAAAACUUUCAUUUCCUAACUUACGCAAAGACUUUUUCGCUUCUUAUCGCACAACUUCUUUCGCGAACUACCCACUUAUCGCAAAAAAGUAUACUUAACCGUAAAAGAUCUUAUCACUUAAUCUUUCCAUGGAUUUAUUUGAACACCAACUUCUUAAUUCUUAGCCGAAUUUUACUUCCUUACUCGAAUUAGAAAUGGGUCGCACAACUUCCUUCGCGAACUACCCACUGAAUCGCAAUAACGUAUACUUAACCAUAAAUUUUUUUAUCGCUUAAUCCUUUUCGUGGAUUUAUUUAAACGCCAAAUUCUUAAUACCUAGCCAAAUUUUACUUCAUUACUCAAAUUAGAAAUGGGUCUCAAAUUUAGAGCCUAUCGCUUCUUUAAGAUACAUGAUCUUACCGAUUCAGAGAAAUUAACCACAAGCGUUAUUAGUUUUGAUGAUCUGGCAUUGGAUUGGUACCAAGCACAAGAAGAGUUGGAAGUUUUUAAGAAUUGGGCUGACCUGAAAGAACGAAUGCUUGUACAGUUUCGAUCAAUUCGAGAAGGAACUUUGGUUGGAAGAUUUUUCUCAAUCAAACAGAAAAUGAAUGUAGAAGAAUACCGCAACCGAUUUGAUCGAUAUUUAGCUCUGGUAGCAUUUCUUCAAACGGUAGUGUUAGAGGAGACUUUGAUGAUUGGGCUUAGCCCAUGAAUAAAAAUGGAAGUGGAAACCGUGGAACCGAUUGGGUUGGCCCAGAUGAUGAAAUUUGCGUUGAAUAUUGAGAAUAAGGAACUAGUGAGAAAAGAGUGUGGGUUGAGCAGUGCAUUUCAUGUAAAACUGCAACUCACCCUAUCUAUUGUGGAAAACAACAAUAUAAUGAUGACUAAGGAAGAAACCAGCAAUGGAAAGUCUGCUGAUGAGAGUUAUCACCCUGAAGGGAGUUACUGAUAGAACUAAGACAUGCACAACAGAAAAAGAAUCGAAAUUCUACCCUAAUUGGGCUUAAUUAACGAGACUAAACCAAAAAAUAAGGUUUUUAGAAUACUUACAUUUGAAGUUGCGUUUUAUUCGAACAACCACUAAGUUUGACUUAGUACUUCUAGACUCAUAAUCGAGUUGUGGGACCGUUGGAUGAAAGAACCGGACGAAAGAAAUAGAUGAAAAAAAUGGGCGUGGUAAAUUUUUUUUUUUUUUUUUAAGUAAAUAAGAAAAAGAAAUUCCAUUUGGUGUGAAAGCCCAAAUUUAAUAGGAAAAUGAAAGGGAAUUCCUUGGAAAGUUGGUUUGUGUGUCAUUAAAAGUCAAGGUGGAAAACAAAGUACAACAUAUGGCUAAAUGUGAGAGUAGGCGUGCAAGUAUAAUAAAUACCUACCAAGAUGUUUAUUAAUAACAUGUGUUUGAUACAUAAUUACAACACUUUGACCAAACAACCAAUGCUUAACUAUUUUCAAAACGUCUGGUCAUCUCGCUGCAAAUCCUUCAACCUUCUUCUCUACUUGGCCUAAACACCUCAUCUUGGAAGAUGAAUUUUUGAAAGAAUGUCUAAAAGACUAAGGUUUUAUGAAAUCCUUUUCGCAAUACCUUUUCAUAAACAUCAUUUCGCAUAAACAACAUCAAAUAAUUUUAUCUCGCAUAAACCUUUCUUUAUCCUUAACAUACUCAUUGAACAAUUUCACAUAAACACACAUUAGUUAACAUUCAUUCUUUCACCAAGGAUUUUGAAUCGUUCUCUACACUUUGAUGUAGAACAUCUCCCUUCUUGAUGUUUCUUGAGUUUUAUCCUAGAGGAGGGUUUGAAUUACCAUUUUUAUAGUUUAGGAUUAGUUAUUUGAAUUACCAAUUUUGUAUCUUGAGUUAGUUAUAACUAACUCAACUCCAAGUUAAACUAACUCAACCCCAAGUUAGUUUAACAACAAUUAUAAUCUCCAGCCUAUAAAAAAGCUUCUCAUUUUCAUUAAUAAGACAUAAAAAAAAAGAGGCAUUAUACAUAAAGAUUUCUAGCUUUGCAAUUACUGCAAUCAAUUGGUAUCAGAGCGUGAUCCUAGCUCACUCUUCCCUAAAAAAACUUGGAUCCUACCACUCUUAUCCAUGGACGCGGAAGCCUCCUUCAACCAACGCUUGCAGUUGGUAGAACAAGCUAUUGAAGAACUUCGAAAAGGGCAGUCAGAUAUACAGCAAUCGUUAGUAGAAUUAACAAACCUUUUUACCCGAUUUCAUGUCCAACCUUUAGAAGAAGCAAUUCAGCCCCCAAGAAACCCAAUUGCAGCAAACCAAGAAAGACAAGAAAGACCAAGAAACCCAAUUGCAGCAAACCAAGAAAGACAAGAAAGACCAAUAAACCUGUUGUAAACUAAGAACUACUAAGAAAUCAACCUAUUCACAUCACAAUAAUCGAUUGUAUGGAAACAACGUACUGAAAUUUCUUAAACGAUUCUGACUCUUCGAUGAAGACAACUUGCUGAACAUUCAUCAAGAACCUCAACAAAGGCUUGGACUUCGACCAUACUUUCAAGAAGAUCAAGAAAUACGUAUGAAAGUGGAUCUCCCUACCUUCAAUGGUCGAAUGGACGUGGAGAAGUUUCUUGAUUGGAUCAAGAACGUAGAAAUUUUUUUCGACUAUGCCAAUACACCCGAACACAAGAAGGUUCGAUUAGUUGCUCUCAAACUUCAAGGUGGCGCAAGCGCUUGGUGGGAUCAAUUACAAAACAAUAGACGAUUAUUUGGUAACCAAUCUAAAGAUUAGCUGAAUAUCUUAUAAAAAGAUGUUGCCGUAGGCUUAGUGGUGACAGGUGAGAAAGUAAGUUGUGUCUUUUAUGACUCUUAAACGUUGAAGUCAAUCAAUGAGUUCCAAAUGCAAUAUUGGAAGUUUUCUUAAAUAUUUUGAUGCUUUUGCAUGUUGUGAAAGAACUUGGUUAGAUGUGAGAAAGGGGUUUAUGAGAUUAGUUACUUACUAUUCCCUUUUUCACUGUCAUUGCUACUCCGUAGACAUGCUAUGGGCUCGUGUUUCUGUAGAAUAUAAUUUAUAUGUUCUCUCUACAAAUUUGAAGUAAUUUCUACUGUUUUUGCUAAUAUUCUCUAAAGCUUAUUCAAAAUGUAGUUGUUUAAUGACUGUUCAGAUUUAAAAUAUAUUAUAGAGUUAAAUUUAACACAGUUAAUCAGCUUAAGCAUUUGACUCUAGUGUUCUUAAGAUAUAAAUUCAAAUCCCUAUAAUUUUAUCAUGUUGAUCUUUUCAAUCUUCUCACAUACCGUCUUCAUUUCAUAAUCUUGCCUACUAGUUGCGUAUCAUCAAUGAAAUUACCAUAGGAGUCCACAUGUGGUAAUUAUGGAUCUAGCACGAUAUACUGCGUAUCAUGUUGUUGGAGAUCAUUUUAAAUGAUUAACCAGUCUAUUGGUGGUUUGAGUCUUUCCUUUUGAAUCUAUAGGUUGUUCAAUGGUCUAAUAUUAACUGUGUUUAGAUUUAUGGUAAUUUUCAUUCUUUUACAGCCUUAAUAACCAAGAAAAGGUGUGCUUUUAUAAUCUUUUCUUUCUCUUCGGCAGGUUGGUAAUGUAGAAAGAUACAUGUAUACUAUGCCCAUGGACUAGAUAGCCCAACCUUUGUUCGCCGGUGUUAUUGGCUCCUAGAUAAGUAUGUUAUGGUUGAAAGAAAGUUGUUAAAUUGCUUGCUACCAGUUGUUUCAGUGGGGUCUAUCCCCAUCAUGCCACAAGCAAAGAAAAAUGAAAUUAGAUAGUGGCAGUAUAUCGUGUUCUACUUAUAUAAUUUAUGACUUGCUUCUGCUUUUUGUUCAGGACCUUUGAACACAUUGUCCUUGUUCAUUACCGUGAAACACAAGAGGUUAGGUUCAACACAAUGCAUUUGCAGUUAUUGAAAUAUUAUCUUGAGACAAACUUUUAUCAUUUGGACUACUACAUCUAUUUAAGAUUUGCUGAUUUUUCCUCCAUGGUUGCAAUAUUAGAACUUCACCAAAAUAAUGUUGUCAUGUGUGUCUUUAAAUUUUUACUGGCAGUAUGGCACCAUAUAGAUCUAAUAGUUGUGCAUGCAUGUCUUCCUCUCUAUCCUCCAUUGAAAAACUCGAUAAUUAUCUGUUUGUGUUUUAUUUUGAUGAUUUAAUCCAACAUUUAUUAUGGAUAAAGUCAGCCAUAAAAUACAUAUGUUUACUACUGCUCUUUAUACAUUUUAAAUACUAGAUUUCUUGAUGACUGUUGUCUUUAAGUUGCUCUUAAUGUUGUUGCAUAUCGAGAAAUGCACUGUAAUUUAUGUACCAAUUUUAUCACUGCUUUUAACUAAAUCUUCAAAAAUCAAGGCACCACCGAAUGUAGACUGCUAUAUGGUGAUUCAAGUGUUGAGAGUUCUCUUUCUUCUGCUAUCCAUAAAUUUAUGGAAUGGAAAGGCAAUGAUCAUGACACUAUUUUUUGUCAGAUAAACACUCGUUUCAUAUGCUUCAACUCUGUGGUGCUUCACAGCACACAGAUAAAACUACCAAACAUUCUGCACCCAAUAUUACCAUAAUGCAUUUGGACACUUCAUUAACAACUUCUUACAAUUACCCUUUCUAUAUUAAAAAUAAUUCGUUGUCUUAACUUCCUGUUGCUCCUAGUUUCAGAAUUUUCCAUCCACAUCGUUGAACUCAAAUUCUGGUUCUGUCUCUAACCCAUUAAUUCCGUGGCUUUUAUCGAAGGAACUUGAUUCCAAGGCUACUCAUGUUUAUUUUCUUGGUGAAAAUGAAUUGUCAGGUAAUACUGGCCGAACCUGUCAAAAAUAAAUGAGUCAUAGUUUGUUUGAUCAUUCAUUUUCUAAUCUUUCUUCUUUAUAUUUAAUUAGUUGUUUAAUUUCUUAAAAAAGAAUUAUGGUUUAUUUAUAGUAUAUUUGGUAGUAUGCAUGCCUCAUGUCACGUGGUUAAGAUCUGAAGCUAACCAUACGUGCGACACUUGGCUAACUACAAUGCCCACGUAGCCAAGUAAGCCUUUCCCGGAAGGGGUAGUGCGCCAAGCACUAUGACAACGGGUUGCAGCGGAAGUACUAAGGUUGGUUGCAAGACACGAGAGAGGUUGGAAGGAUGAGGGAGUUUGGAUGGAUACGUCUUUGGAAUGAUACAUUGCAUUCCAACAAUAGAUGAAUACAUAUUUGGGUACAAAUAUGCUGUCUUCUUGUCAUGGGGAUACCAUGGGCAAGGAGACUUUGGGUGGCAAGGUGACCUUGCUUGGCUAAGACAUGCCAAGAUGCAAGGUUGCAAGGCUUGAUACAAAUGAGGCCAUCCCCAAGUAUUUAUAGACCAUCCCCACCGACCUUGGGCCUUAGAAGGUCGGCCAAGGGAGAUUCUAGAGAUUACAAGUUCAUUUGGUACAUAACAAGGAAGCCUAGAACAUUCUAGAGAGGACUAGACCUUUCAUGACACUCGCUGACGGUCAUAAUAGCCUUCUAGAGUGUUUCAGCACGUUCCAGCAUCAUCCAGCACGUUUCGGGGCCUUCUCGGGAGCCUCCCGCGCAUUCCAGCACAUUCUGGCACUGUCUCGAACGUUCUAGAGGCUUCUGGGGUUGUCUAGAAUGAGCAUGGGCGGGGCAGCACGCACAUGGGCGUGUCUGGAGCCUUCUGGAAGCAUCUGGGGGCGUCGGGCGCGCGCAUGGGCCUUCCAGAGCCUUCCGCGCGCGCGCGCGUUGGGGCGCACCUUCCCGAUUCUUCUGGAAGCUUCUCGGAGGUUCUGGGGCGGUCUGGACGUUGGGCAGACACGGGCGCGCGCAUUGGGUCCGAUGGUGGGCACUGGUGCUGGGCGCCUAUGGCCGUGUCAACGGGCAUCUGGGCGUGCUAUGGGGUUGUGUCGUGGGCUGACACUCGGCUGUCAUGGGCACUCGUCGUGGCACGCAUGCGGGGCUUGUGAGCUGUCCUCGAGAGGUGCAUGCCAAUGUCGUAGGCACAUGUCGUGGUCGCCCUUAGGCUGUCUUAGGACCACGUUGGGCUGCUCCUGGGCCUUGCUGAAGGAGUCGUGGCAUGAAUUGGCACAAUUUUAGGGGUGAUUUUUGGGGUCAAAAUUUCACACGUGACACUCAGCUCCUUUAAUGCAUGUCUCUUACAGUAUAUUUGGUAGUCUUUUAUAAUGUUACACCCUUUUUUUUAAUUCCUAAAACCUUUUAACUUUCCAAAUUUUCAUUCAUUCUUUUAGAAAAUUAUUUUCAUUAUUUUUUUAUGGUUACAAAACCAUCCAUUAACUACAUUAAUUAUACAAUUCACUCCAAUAAUAAAUAAAUAACUUUUUUGGAUCUAAGGUCUUUUCUCAUUCUACAAAUUUAAUUUACUAUAUAAAGGUUAUUAUGCUAAUUGAAAAAUAUAUUUCUCUCAAGUAUGCAAUGACAGAAAAUUAGGUUAUAAAUAUAAAAAAAUUAUAUUUUUAGGUAUUAUAAUUUUUUUUAAAAAAAUUAUAUUUUUAAUUUUUAAUAAAACCUUGCAUUUGGGGAUUCACAUGUUGUUACUUGUCGAACCAAAAAAAAUUUAUUCGCGGUGAAAACUCUUUAAAAACCCAAUUCGUGGAAGGAAAAAUUGAACUGUGGCGUUGAGUUAUUUUGUUGUUGAAGAAGAUCAGUAAAAAACCCACAGCAUUAAAACUUCUUUUUGUUUCUUUAACUAUAUUUUAGAUUGCAACAUAUUUUCUAUUUGCGUUUAGUUAGGGUUUCUCUUGUUUAUUCCAAGAUAUGCAUGGAUAGUUCAUGUUAGACUAUUUGGAAAGAGGGAUUUAUGUAGCACGGGUAUUAUAUUCUGGUUUUGGAAGUGUCGAGAUAAAUUAAGGACUUUUUUAAUCUUCUUCAAACAAACCUAUACGAAGGCGAAGAAUAAUUUGUGCUUGUAUUUUAGUCGGAAUAAGAAGAAACAUGAAGAGAAUGCCCACGAGGAAAAUGACACGAGAAAAAGUUGUGUAUUCCUCCAUCCAUAACUGAGCUCUCUAAUGUGUAUUCCUCCCUCCAUAACUGGCUUACUUUGGAUUGUUUGGAUAGAAAGAAACAAUAGAAUUUUUAAGGAUAAAUCAAGGUUUAUUGUUAACUUGUGGGAAGACAUAUGUAACUUGAUCGAAGUUUGGUCUAGGCGUCAUUCAUCUUGUAACUAAUAUGAUGUUACUACCAACUCUUAACUUUAAGCUUUGUUAGAUUAGGUUGUUUCAGGCUUCCCUCUAGCCUUCAACCUUGUAACUUUAACUCUAUGUGAAUAGAUAAUGACUUUUAUCCUAGGUUUAUCCUAGUUUGAAGGAUUCGGUUUCUUCUUCUUAAAAAACAGUUGUAUUUCGACUACUAUUUGGGAGGAAAAUGUGCUUAACUAACUAAAAAUCUAAUGACACUUCCAAAACCAGUCAUUUCGAAAGAUGUUUCCUCAAUAAUAUAUUUAUAAUGCUCUUCCUUUAUAGAGUAAAACAGUAAAGCAACAAAACCUCCAUUCAACAUUCUUCAAAAUUUUCAAACGUCAAGAAAUAUGUACUUUUACUUGACAUUUUAAAAACGUCAAGAAUUUUUAUAAAAAUCCGGAGAAGAGUUAUUUUUUAAAUUUCUUGAUGUUUUUUAGACGUCAAGUAAAAUCGUUUUUCUUUACGUUUUAAAAACGUCAAGUGUUAUUAAAUAUAUAUUUAUAUAUAUAAAAGAAAAUAUUGGGUUGAAUCCUUCGAAGCCCUAGACUUGUCUCUACCGCAUUCGAAAAUGCCAAAUUCUCUAUGAGGAUCUCUCACUUCUGCCGUGUUCACCGUCCGUCCAUCCGCGUUCACCACGCCCUCUCCAAAAAUGCGUACUAGGUCCUUCGCUUUCAGUCGUUCACCAUCCACUGAGUACGAGAUCCCUAAGACUUUCGCCAUCUACCAUCCCUAAUACUCUGAAAUCGUCGUCUGUUGUCCCUCAAAAUUGUCGUCUUUCUCUACGAAAACGUCGCCCUUCUUUCGAGUCUUCAUUCCCCUUUAUGUCGUCCUUCUGUAUUUAGAGGUUAUACUUCAUUCCCCUAAAACUUCCAUUGGUUUCCAUAUUUCAAGAAUUUGAAAUUUUUAUAGGAUAUUGCUAGUGGAAAUUAAGUCAAUUCUGUUUGCUCCCAAACUACCUCCUGAUUAUGCUGUCUGGUUGGGAGAAAUAAAGUCUUCAUCAUAUUUCAAGGUAGUGUAUGUUAACCAACACUUAGUGCAUUUUCGUGUUUAUGAGCUUAUUUUAGUUAAUAUGUUUUUGUAGGAAAAAUAUGCUGUCAAUAUGGCAUAUUCUACGAUGAAAUUGUAGUCGUUUAGCACAAAAUUUUGAGGUUCUUUUUCAACUAAUUAUGCUUUAUCUAAUAUAUUUUUCCAAAUCUCAAAGAAGAACUUUUGAUUUCAUUGGAGUUUAUCAUUAGAGGCAUUACUAUAUUGGCUGACUCUUAGUGGGCUAUAGGUUUUCCAAUGGUCAUUUGAGACUGGUUAAUAAUAGCAAAAGUUAGAGCUUGAGAAGAAGGAGCGAAGAGAGUAGUGAAGACAAAUGAAGAAAGAAAGCUGAGUGAAAAACGAAAAUUGACAAGGUAGAGAUGUGACAUGAAAAUGAUGAUGAGAAGUGAAGGAGGCACGACACAAUACAGGUACACAAUAACAAAGCCUUGAUAAUUAAAAAAAGGAUGGUGCCAAGAAAAUUUAAAUACAAAAAAAAUGAAGGUUCUUGCAAGUGUAUUGAGUGAAUGGGAGAAAGAAAGGAUAAAAAAGGUAGAAAGAGAGAAAGAGAAGUCAAGGGUAGAGAUACAUAGCUUUGUAUAUAGAAACUUUAUGUCAACAACGACGCGCUUAGCACAGGUACGGAACCGGACACCAUCUUCUUGGUGUUUGUAUGUGCAAAAGCCUCGAGUGGCUAUGGUCUUCUUCUUCUCUUUGAGGGAAAUGGUUGAAAUUGCUAGACUAUUUCAAUUACUAUGUGAGAGGUGGCUGAAUUUUAUUGGACCUCUCUUCUUGGGCUUACUUUUUACAAUUGUUUAACAAUCUCUCUCCGAAUAUACCUUCGUCCCCUUAGCUGCUUCCCACUUUGGUAUGGAUACAUUUGUCACUACUAGUAAAAUGGAUUUUAAUCAAGACAUUGUGUCGUUGAAAAUAAAAGAAAAAAGAGGUGGGAUGAGGUACAUUGUGUUGUUGAAAAUAAAAAUAUGGAUUAUUUCUUAAAACAAUUCUAUUGACACAAUUUAAUUUAUUUCCACACAAUUUUUGCGUCAUUAAUUAACGACAAUUUUUUUGUCAUUAAAAAAAUUUUCAAAUGAAAAAACCUCAAAUUUCAAAUGUUUUUUAAUUUCCCUCUCUCACACAAUUACAACUAAGUAAAACAUCAAAUUUUCUCUUAAGCAAAAACGAUGUCGUCGAAUGAAGUCUUAAUGCAAUUUUUUUCUCACUCUACCAAAAAUGCAAAAAAAAUCUCGUCGAACGAAGUGGGCUACCGAGUCAUUAUGAAGAACCCUUGCCUUCCAAUUUUUGCCACUUGUCGUCGUCGAUUCCACACUCCAACCACUGUUGUCGUUGCUGCCACAACAAGCCUUUCGCCGUCGAACCCACCAAUCUAGCCACUUUCGUCGAAUAAAUUUAUUUAGAAAUAUAAGUUUUAAUGACACUUGAAAUCAAGAAAAAGGGACAUGAGGGAAUAAAAUGUGUCGUUAAAAAUAAAAAUACAAAAUUUUUCGUGACACAAAUUGAGUUUUCUUGACAAAAUUUUCGCAUUGUUAAUUAAUGAUAUAAAUUAUGUGUCAUUAAAAAUUACCCUAAUAAAAAAUAAAUGUUUUCCUUUAAUCAUUACACCUUUUGAUUUAAAACAAAUAAUUCGAAGCUUUCAUCCCACUUGUGAACAACGACCGAAAAAAACCUUACUUCAUCCCACAUCGUCGCUGUCUUUAGCUCUCUCGCAAAUGCUCUCUGGCGACGUUCCCCCCUCUCUCGCAAAUACUCUUCACGACUUUUCCUCUCUCUCAAAAUUAAGCUCUUCGCCCACCGUUUGAAGGAACUCACAAAUUUGCAAGUAAUUGAAGAAUUCGUGGUCCAUGAGAUCGAUUAAGUCCAUUUAUGAGUUAGUUUGAUUAGAUUAUGUCACAUAUACAUGUAUUACAAUUAAGGGACACUUGCGAAAAUGGCAAAAUAAGUUAUAAUAAUUAAGUCCAUAGAAAACAUACUUUAUUAUUUGAGAAAGUGACAAAAACAAAGACCAGCUCACACAUCAAGAGGUAAAAUGUCACAAAUGCCCUCGUUAUUGAUGUACAUUUGAUACACCUUAUACACGUCUGAUACACCUAAUACCUCUUGAUACAUUAAGUCCAUUUAUGGGUUAGUUUGAUUAGAUUAUGUCACAUAUACAUGUAUUACAAUUAAGGGACACUUGCGAAAAUGGCAAAAUAACACUACUACAAAAACAGGCUCUCUUGACGUUUUUAAAUUGUCAAGAGACGGCUCUCUUGAUGGUUUUAAAAACGUCGUUGAAGCCAGUGUCAAGAAAGGCAAAGUUCUUGACGGUUGAUUAAACGUCAAGAAUAGUGAACGUUGACGUUUUAUAAACGUCAAAUAUACUUAUGUUCAUGACGUUUUAGAACCGUCAAGACUGGUAUUGUUUAUGACAUUUUAAAGCCGUCAAGGAUGAACUGGUUUAUGACAUUUUAAACCCGUCAAGAAUUUUACUAUUCAUGACAUUUUAAAACUGUCAAGAAUGUAAUUGUUCUUGACAUUUGUCAACCGUCAAAAAUGCAAUUGUUCAUGACAGUUUAAAACCGUCGAGCAUGUUUUAAUUUUUUUUUUAAAAAAGAAAUUGUAAUUGAAUUAUGCUGUAAUGGAAAGAAAUAUAUUCUGAUUGUCCUGUAAUUGUCCUGUAAUUGUCCUGUAAUUGUCCAGCAACGGUUUCAUAGAUAUUUGAUAUUCAUCAAAUAUAGUUUCAAAUCUCAAAAUAUAUAAUAAAACCAUUCACCAUAUAUAUUCAAUUCCAAGACUUUACAUAUACAUAAUGAAAUAGGCUUUACAUUAGAUUUCAUAUGGCAUUACAUUGCCAUGAAUCCAAAUCAACUUAAAAAGUCACAAAACAUGCUAGCUAUAACAAUAAUAAAAAAUAUAUACGAAUGAACCCCCCCCCCCCUCCCCCUUCCUCCAUAUGAACAAUUCAAAAGAACUAUCGGCUAAAGUUUCUAUACAUAAAGUUUAGGGUCAUAAAGAAGCGACACAACAAAAAAUUUCCUACUUCAGAAUCACAAAAUAUUGGUCAUAAUCAUAUGUAAGAACCCAAAAAGUCAGCUAACUCAACUCACACCUCGUGUAGUUCUGCCUGUGAGUAUGAUCUUCGUGUAUCAAUCAAUAAACAUACAAAAUAAAUUAAAUGAAUUAACUAACUAUACAAAUAAACCAAUUAACUCACAAAACCAAUAGUUUGAUAUAUAACAUACCGCAUCGGAUAUGACAAUGCUUCCCCUAGUCACAAUUUCUCUCAUAUACCUCAUCACAUAGUAUCCACACUCAAUACUUCCGACUUGCAGUGGACACUAUAUAAAAGCAACAAAUUUGAAUAACAAAGUAAUCCUAAUUGCUAGUAGUCUACAAAAAUUUAAUGACUUUAAAAGUUGAUACUUACCUUUACUGUUAACCAUAAAGUUUGUUUUCUACUUUUUUAAUGUUCUUUUGUGACUGAAACAUCGCUAUUGCUCUGUUUUGACAAGAUAAGAUUGAACAAAUAGUUUAAAUAUUGUGUACAUGCAUAUAAGAAUCAACACUAAAUGAAAUACUAGAUUAAGUUACAUGUCGGUGACGUAUCUUAUAGUUGACUUCGAUGUUGUCCUUAGUGAGUCGAGGUAAAAUACUAUAUCAUCAUAUGCAUUUAUGGCCAGUAGUGUCCAAUGACCCCUAAUUAUACAAAAUAUUAGUACUAGUUUUUUGCAAUGCAAGUAAUAAAAUAACUUGACUUACCCAGGAUUAAAAGGAGCAAGAACUAUUUCGUUAAUCUUUGAGACCAUCAAUCUACUGCAUAAGUGUCGAACUCGAGAUUCUUGUGAGUGUCCGACAGAGGUGAGGGAUGGAUCUACAAAGACAUACUGUAUAGUUUCCUUCGAACCAAGAACAGAUGAAUACAAGUACCUACAAAAUAUUAUAAACUUGUAAACGAGAUACAUAAAUUUAGAUCUAAAGAAAUGAAAUUGAUACUUACGUCAUAUAGGCCACCAAUGUAAAUGUUUUGACCUCAUUCAUGUUACAAAGAUCAAUGAUGUCCUCUCGGAGAACAGAAGUCUUUCGACUAAUACCAAAAAUGCCAAUAGGUAGUGGAAUAGUGAUACUAGAAUCUUUCUCCAUUAUCUUCUCAACGUAUAUGAGAAUCAACUUCAUUCCCAUUGGCAAAACUGACGUCGAUUCACAGACAACCUCUUUUUCCUUAGUCAUUUUUAUUAAGGCUCUCUCCUAAUUCAAGAAAAACAUUCACUUUCAAUAUGAUAUGAAUAUUAAGAAUUUGAGUUUAUUCGAGGAUCGAUCACAUACCUUAAAGAUGUCCAACUCUACUUUGUCGUCAUUUACAUUGAUCUCCUCCACCUCUUUCCCUUCGAUUUUAUCCAUCAACUUACUCUUCCCUUUGAUUAUUUUCAUCGAGUCACUCUCUUCUAAGAUAUUUGGCUUCGAACGCUACCAUGUCCAGAUAAUGGUCUAGACAAGUUUGAGUGGUUAUGUGCUUCUAAUUCGCUUACACGCCUUCGAAGUUCUUUAUUCUCAAGUAUAAUCUCAUUCUCACGUUUAGAUGUCUUUUUUACAUAAUGAAAGUAAUUGGUAGGAGUAACAUAUUCUGAUAGGGGCAAGCUCUGGUCGAAGUUUUAGAUCAACUAAAUCGCGUCUAGCAUUCAAUCCAUCCUUACUUUUUCCAGGAAUAUCAAGAAAUGUACCUAAGAUAUUCAUGCAAACAUUUUUUUCAAUGUGCAUCACAUCUAAACAAUGUCUAACAUGAAGAUCCUUCCAGUAUGGCAACUCAAAAAAGAAGAUAAUCUAUUCCAACAAAUUUUGUCACUUCUGUUCAUCAACCGUUUCUUAUGGUUCUUCUUCCCUCUAGAAAAUUCAAGAUCUUUCAAUUUUAAAUACACAUCCUCCCCAGAAAGUGGCUCUGGAAUUGUAUCAAGUUCUUUUUUACCAUUGAAUGACUUCUUUUGUCAUCGAUACAGAUGAUUUCGUGCCAAAAAUCUACGAUGUCCAAGGUAUGCUAUUUUCUUCCCAUACUUUAACCUUAUAGAAUUUGUAUUAUCUCCACAAAUUGGGCAUGAUUUAUACCCUUUCACACAACAUCCACUAAGGUUACCAUAUGCAGGAAAAACAUUGAUUGUCCACAACAAAACUGACCUUAAGUUGAAUGGUUCUUCUCGAUAAGCAUCAUAACAUUCAACACCACUUUCCCAUAAAAGUUUUAAAUCUUAAAUUAGUGGUGCUAAGUAUAUGCCUAUGUCAUCCCCUGGUUGUUUUGGUCCUGAAAUUAGCAUUGAUAGCAUCAUGUACUUUCUUUUCAUACACAACCAUGGUGGAAGAUUGUAAAUAACCAUCACUACCGGCCAACAACUGUAUUUAGAACUCGUGUCACCAUGAGGAUUUACUCCAUCGGCUGACAAUGCUAAACGAAGAUUUAUGGGUUCAGAACCAAAGUCUUGCCAUUUCAUGUCUACUAACUUCCAUGCUGGAGAGUCUGGCUGGAUGUCGUAACUUACCAUCAUUAAUUCUUUCAGUAGAAUGCCAAGUCAAGUUUUCAGCACAUUCAAUGCUUCUGAAUAGCCUUUUAAAUCGUGGAAUGAUUGGAAAGUACCAUAUCACUUUAGAGGGAAUUUGCUUUCUCCUUUCAUUUGUAUCCUUGACGUUUUUCCACCUUGAUUGACAACAUUCAUGACAUUCAAUUGCAUUAGCAAAUUCUUUUCUAUAGAGACAACAAUUAUUCGGGCAUGCAUGAAUCUUUUCAUAUUCCAUUCCUAAUGCACCUAAUGUUUUCUUUGCUUCAUACAAUGAAUUCGGGAGCUCAUUGGUAUUAGGCAUAAUUUCCUUCAAAGUUUCAAGUAAUUCUGAAAAACUAGUAUCACUCUAUCCAUACCUAACUUUUAAAUUAUACAAUUUGACUAAAGUAGACAACUUUGUGUACUUUUUGCAUCCUUCGUACAAUGGUUUUUCAGCAUCAAUAAGCAACUUCUCAAAUCCAGUUGGGUCUUUUGAAUACUCCUCAUGAGCAACUUCAAUCAUUUCUUUUACACUUCCAACAUCCUGAUCUUCACAUGUAUGGGUGUCAAACUUUGAAGAUUCAUCAUAGAAGGAUGAGUUAGGAAGUUCUUCCCCAUGCCAAAACCAAAAUUUAUAACUUUCAUCAAUACCAUUAACAUACAAGUGAUCUCUAACACCCUUUCUACUAUGUUUUUCACAAUUCCCACAUUUCAAACAAGGACAACGAAUAUAGGAGCUAGUUGUAUUAGAAAAUCCAAAUUUGAUGAAGUUUUCCACACCCAACUCAUAAUCUUUAGACAAUCUACUCUUGUGCAUUCAAGAUUUAUCCAUCAUUGUAAAUCUAAUGAGAAAUAAAGUUAUUGUCACUAUUGAUAAUUAAAGUGGAAGGACAAUGAUAAGUAAUGUCCUGUAUAACCAAUGUUGAGAAUGUGAAUCCAAUCUAUACAAAUCUUCUACAAUUAUGCUCUUCAGUUUCUACUGCUAAGAGAUUUUCAUGCAUUACAAAUGAAACUUAAGAAAAUUAAAAGAACUAACUAAACUCAUUUCUUUUUUAAAGUGAUCAUAAAAAAGAAAGCAAUUGCACGACUGAGUAAAUCAAACAAAAUGAGCUUCACUAAACAAAGGUUCCAAUCAUGAAGAUCGUAAUCAACCAUACAAUAGAAUACCUGAGGAAGACAAGGCAAUUACAACACCAAGUCUUUCAAUGGAUAAUACAACAUAAUCAUUCAAAUAAGAGUGGUUUUACUUUUACCUUAAAAUGAAAUCUAUAACCAAGAUCAAGGUUAUGGUUCCAUAGGAAACAAUUAAUUAUAUUUAGCUUAAAAAAAGUCAAAACAGAAUUCACCCAAUAGAAAAAAGUAAAAACACACAAUUGAAUUAAAAAUCUCAAGCUGCACACAAAAGCAACAAUGGCAAAAAGAGGGUGAAUGAAAAAAUUAGUUAAAACACCUCCAAAUUAUUAAGGAAGAAGGCAAAACCUUGGACAACAUAAGGUAACAAACGAAGAGAAUACAUGAUCUUUUUUUCUUUUUCUUUUCACGAAGGGAGAAGAAUUGACUCAUCCUCCAAAGCUCUCAAUUAGUAGUAUUGUUAUAUGAGAUCUUCAAAAUUACUGAAAGAGGGAAGUUGAUUAUAUGACAUGCACUCUCAAAAAUUUGUUCAUACAUUCAUUUGUUUUCUUUAAAUCCUAAUAAAAUUUGAUGGUGAAGAAAAACUACAGUACUUUAAAGAUUGAAUAAAAGUAUACGAAUUUCAAUCAAUUCGAAGUUUACACCUCCAUCCUUCCUAUCUAUUAUUGCCAAUCAUGCCAUCUGAGUUUAUAUAAUGAAGAAUAAUGAAAUUGUUAUAUGUUUUAGGGAAAUAAAAGCCUAACCUCAACUUAGUGGAUGAUGGAUUUUGAAGCAACGAACGUGAGGCACUCGUUGGUGAAGUCGAAAUGACGGGCACGCAGUAGCGUGAGGCACUGAGGGAUUUUGGAAAGAUGGAAUGCAGCGGACGAAGGACUUUGAAACGACGAACGUGAGGGAUUCGAAGAGGUGGAACUCGACGGUGAAAUCGAACGGACAGACAUUGAAGGCAAACGGAUAGGCGUUGAAAGCGAACGACGACUGCUGAACACACUUUUUUCGAAUGGGAAGGAUUUCGGCUGGAGAGGGAAAGGGGAACACGCGUGUUUUGAGUAGAAAGGGGCUAGGGCUUUUUAAAAAAUAAUAUUUGCACAAUAAUUUUUUCUAUAUAUAUUUAAAGUGAUUCUGAACAAAUAAUAUUAGUACAAUAUUUUUUUUUCUAUAUAUAUUUAAUGAAAUUUUUAUUAUUGUAUCUAUAUAUUUAAAGAGAUUUUUAUUAUUGUAUCUAUAUAUUUAAAGAGAUUUUAAAGAAAUAAAAUUAGCCGAAUAUAUUUUUUCUAUAUUUAUUUAAUAACACUUGACAUUUUUAAAAUGUAAAAAAAAAAUGAUCUUACUUAACGUUUAAAAAAUGUCAACAAAUUCAAAAAAUGACUCCUUCGAAUACUCAGUCGUGAAGAAGAAAAAAGUAGAUUAGGAAAAAUGUUAGAGCUGAAAAUUAAAAUUCGAUACCUUCUCAGUGUAAUUUAAAAAAUAUUCUUGAAUAUUUUAUGAAUUUCUUGACGUUUUUAAAACGUCGAGUAAAAUUUUAAAUUCUUGACGUUUAAGAAACGUCAAGCAUGUCAAAUUCAUACGCUUCUUGACGUCUUAAGAACGUCAAAAAAUUAAUAGAUAUUUCUUGAUGUUUUAAAAACGUCAAAGAAAAAUUUAUUUUACUUGACAUUUAAUAAACGUCAAGAAUGAUGUUUCAAAAAAUUUCUUGACGUUUUUUUAUUAAAAAUGAAAUCUUUCUUGACGUUUUUUUAAACUGCAAACGUCAAGAGAGCCUGUUUUUGUAGUAGUGUAAGUUAUAAUAAUUAAGUCCAUAGAACACAUACUUUAUUAUUUGAGAAAAUGACAAAAACAAAGACCAACUCACACAUCAAGAGGUAAAAUGUCACAAAUGCCUCGUUAUUGAUGUACAUUUGAUACACCUUAUACACGUCCGAUACACCUAAUACCGCUUGAUACACUUGAUAUUUCUUACUGAUACACUUGAUACAUUUGAUAGAUAUAAUUCAUGCACUCGAUACUCAUUGAUACACUCGAUACUUUUUGAUACACACCUGAAACAUCUUCAUACACAUAAUACUUCUCGUUCCACAUAAUACUUCUCGUUACACUUGAUUCUUCUUGAUACACUUGAUACCCUGAGGCCUUAAUACACUUGAUUAGUUUGAUACACUUAAAGACUUCACUUAUAAGUUUGAUACACUUGAUACACCACUAAUAAACUUGUUAUACUUCAUUGGUACACUUAACAAAUUUGAUAUGUGUGCGUGUGUGUGCGCUCGCGUGUGCGCAUGUCCACGUGUGCUUGGGUGUGUGUAUGCGCACAUACAUGUGUACGUGUUUGCGUGUGCAUUUGUGUGCGUGCGGUUUGGUGUGCGUGUGCAUGUGUGUGUUUGUGUGUGUGUGCCUACAUUCGUGUGUGUGUGUGCGUGUGUGCACGCGUGUGUGUGUGCGUGUAUGGGUGCACGUGCGUGCAAGUGUAUGUAUGUGUGUGCGCGUGUGAUUGUGUGUGAAUAAGUUGAUAUUUUUUAAUGUUGAGUUUCUCCCAAUUUUAAAACAAUAAUUUAAUUAUCCUUAUAUUCAAGCCAUUAAUAUUAUUGUGAGAUAAAGAUAGUGAAUAAGUUGAUAUUUUUUAAUUUUGAAAUUCAAUUAAAGUUAUUUUGAUACAAAAUCUAUUGCUGAGAUUAUCAAAUUCUGAAAAAUAAUAAUUUUGCUAUGUUGAAAUUCAAUUUGGUUAUUUUGAAAUUCAAAUUCAAUUAGGUUAUUUUGAAAUGAGUAAGAUUAAAUAAAGUUAAAGUCUUGAAUCCAUUAGUUGAGUCCCGAGAUAUUAAGAAAAAAGUAUAAUAUGAGUUUAUUUAUCUUUUUCAGGUAAAAAAUAAUUAAAAGUUGAUAAAUGCAUAAUAUAAAUUAAUUACAACAUAGAAACAAAAUAAUUUUAGUUGGAGAAUGUGGAUAUUUUGGUAUUUUAUAAAUAUUAUGCACAUGCAAAAAAUGUUAUUUGCUCAAAUUUAAAAAAAAAUAGUUUUGCCAUUUUUCAAAAUGACCCAUAAAAAUGUUCCUAUAUCUCUUAUGACAUAGUGUAUAUCUACUGGUUCAUAUUCGACCUGUUUGUUGCAAAUAGAAUUGGAUAAAAUCGCAUUAUAUUGAAAUAAUUACACGAAUGACACUUUUAAGCCAAUAUUAAUAGAAAUUAUAGUUUAAUUAAUGUUAUUAAGUCAAAUGAACAUGAUUUAAAAGUCCUUCUAAACACAAUUAAUGUAGUUUUUUUUUUAUUUUAACUCAUUUAUACAUCUUUAUGCAUAUGUGCGUGUGUACGUGUGCGCGUGUAGGUAGGUGUGCGUAUGUGUGUGUGCGUGCGUUUGUGCGAGUGUCCGUGUGCAUAUAUGUGUGGGUGUGUGCAUGUUUGUAUGUGUUUGUGCGUGCGUGUGUGCGCAGGCUAUUGCAUGUGUGCUUGGGUGUGUGGGUGUGCUCGCGCGUGCGUGUUUGUGCGCGUGUGCGUAUGUGUUUACGUCUGUGCGUUUGUGCGUACGCGUGUGUGCGUUUGUGCAUGUGUGUGUGCUUGUGCGUGUGUGGAUAGGUGUGUGUGUGCAUGCGUGCGCGUGUGCAUGUGUAUGUGCGUGCGUUCGUGUGUCUGUGUGUAGAUGUGCGUGUGUGCGCGUGUGUGUAAGUGUGCAUGUGUACGUGUGUGCGCAGUGCUUCUAUGCUUGUGUGCGAACAAGUUAAUAUUUUUUAAUGUUGAGUUUCUUCCAAUUUUAAAAUAAUAAUUUAAUUAUCUUGAUAUUCAAGGCAUUAAUGUUAUUUUGAGAUAAAGAUAGUGAACAUGUUGAUAUUUUUUAAUUUUGAAAUUCAAUUAAGGUUAUUUUAAUACAAAAUCUAUCGUUGAGACUCUCAAAUUCCGAAAAAUAAUAAUUUUGUUAUUUUGAAAUUCAAUUUUGUUAUUUUGAAAUUCAAUUUUGUUAUUUUGAAAUUCAAAUUCAAUUAGGUUAUUUUGAAAUUAGUAUGAUUGAAUAAAGUUAUUAAUAUGUGAAUUAAUUAGUUGAGUCUCGAGAUAUUAAGAAAAAUAUUAUGAUAUGAGUUGAUGUAUCUAUUUCAAGUAAAAGAUAAUUAAAAGCUGAUAAAUGCAUAACAUAAAUUAAUUACAAUGUAAAAACGAAAUAACUACAGUUGAAGAAUGUUGAUAUUUUGGUAUUUUAUAAAAUACCAUGCACGUGCAAAAAAUGCUAGUUGCUAAAAUUCAAAGGAAAAAGUAGUUUUGUCAUUUUUCAAAAUGACCCCUAAAAACGUUGUUAUGUCUCUUAUGACAAAGAGUGUAGAUCUACUGAUCCAUAUUCGAUUUGUUUUUUGUUGGUAAAAUUGGAUAAGACCGCAUUAUAUUGAAAUAAUUACACGAAUGACACUUUUAAGCCAAUAUUGAUAGAAAUUAUAAUUUAAUCAAUGUUAUUAAGUCAAAUGAACAUGGUUUAAAACUCUUUCUAAACAUAAUUAAUGUAUUUGUUUUUUAACUUUAAUUAAUUUACACAUCUUUGGCGUGUGUGCAUAUGUGCACGUGCGUGUGCGUGUGUGGAUGGGUGUGUAUGCGUGCGUGUGCGUGCGUUGUGCACGUGUGCGCGUGUGCGCGUGUGCAAACAAGUUGAUAUUUGUUAAUGUAAAAUUUCUCCCAAUUUUAAAAUAAUAAUUCAAUUAUCUUGAUAUUCAAGGCAUUAAUGUUAUUUUGACAUAAAGAUAGUGUACAAGUUGAUAUUUUUAAUUUUCAAAUUCAAUUAAAGUUAUUUUGAUACAAAAUCUAUCGUUGAGAUUCUCAAAUUUCGAAAAAUAAUAAUUUUGUUAUUUUGAAAUUGAAAUUUAAGUAGGUUAUUUUGAAAUUAGUAAGAUUGAAUAAAAUUAAAAUCUUGAAUCAAUUAGUUGAGUCCCGAGAUAUUAAGAAAAAAGUUAUGAUAUGAGUUGAUGUAUCUUUUUCAGGUAAAAAAUAAUUAAAAGCUAAUAAAUGCAUAACAUAAAUUAAUUACAACGUAGAAACGAAAAAAAUUACUGUUGAGAAGGUGAAUAGUAUUUUAUAAAAUAUCAUGCACACGUGCAAAAAAUUCUAUUUGCUAAAAUUUAAAAGAAAAAGUAGUUUUGCCAUUUUUCAAAAUGACCCAUAAAAAUGUUGCUAUAUCUCUUAUGACAAAGAGUGUGCAUCUACUGGUACAUAUUCGACUUGUUUUUUGUUCGUAAAAUUGGAUAAGACUGCAUUAUAUUGAAAUAAUUACACUAACGACACUUUUAAACCAAUAUUGAUAGAAAAUUAUAAUUUAAUUAACGUUAUUAAGUCAAAUGAACAUGUUUAAAAGUCUUUCUAAACACAAUUAUUGUAGUUAUUUUUUAAUUUUAAUUCAUUUAUACAUCUUUGUGCAUAUGUGCGUGUGUGCAUGCGUGUGCGCGAGUGCGUACGUGUGUGCGUAUGCACGUGUCCACGUGUGCGUAGGUGUGUGUGUCUACGUGUGCGUGGGUGUGAGUGUCCACGUGUGCGGGUUUGUGCGUGUGCGUGUGGGUGUGUGUGCGUAUACGCACGCGUGCGUGUGUACGUGAGUGGGCGUGUGAGCUUUUUGUGCUUUUCUUCCAAUUUUAAAAUAAUAAUUUAAUUAUCUUGAUAUUCAAUUCAUUAAAAUUAUUUUGAGAUAAGGUUAUUUUAAUAUAAAAUCUAUGGUUGAGAUUCUCAAAUUCUAAAAAUAAUAAUUUUGAAAUUUUGAAAUUCAAUUUGGUUAUUUUGAAAUUCAAAUUCAAUUAGCUUAUUUUGAAAUUAGUAAGAUUGAAUAAUGUUAUAAAAUGUUGAAUCAAUUAGUUGAGUCCCGAGAUUUUAAGAGAAAAGUUAUGAUAUGAGUUGAUGUAUCUAUUUCAAGUAAAAAUUAAUUAAAAGUUGAUACAUACAUAACAUACUUUUACACUUUCAAAAUUUUAUUUGAAAUAGAGCCCGAAUAAAAACUCUUUAAUGUUGUUAAAAAGUAUAUAUUUUUUUUAAAUUAUAAAGUCUUAUGGUUAAAGGAUGAAUCUAGUCUUAAAGUAAUAACUUCAGCUUAAUUAAAAAAAUUAGGUCGUUACAAUCUAUUUUCAGAAAAGAAAAUCAUCGAUUUUAUUUUGGUUAAGAAAAGCUGUUUUCUUCUACAGCUUAUAACUCUCUUUCUUUCAUUGAGUAGGAGACGGGGUAGGAGAAAAUCAUAGGAUUCUAUUAACUUAAAAAAUAUUAAAUUAAUAGAAGUUUUCAAUCAACUAACUAAUUAACCAUUAAUCAAUUAGUUAAUAAUUAAUUAAAUCAUAUUUAAUUAAUAUUUCGUUUAAAUCUUAUUGAAUGAAUAUCUCUCCAAUACCUUAUACUUUCAUAUUAAUUUAAUUAAAUAAUAUUAAAUUAAACUAUUAAUUAAUUCUUCAAUUAAUUAAUAACUAAAUUAAAUAUUUAUAUUUAACUUAAGUUAAAUUUGAAUCAUAUUCAAAUAUAACUUUAUCUCAUAAUUAAUAAUUUAAUAUGAAACAAUCCACAUUAAAUUAAUAUUUGAACCCAUUCAAACAUUUUAUCUCAUAAAUUAAUUUUGAACUUUAUCUAAAAUUAAAUUUAUAUAAUAAAGUUUCAUUAACAUAUACACUUUAUAUUAUAAUGUAUCACUAUAUAUUAUACUAAUUAAACUAAUUUCCAAAGUAAAUUUGAAUGUUUCAAAUUAGAACCAAUAUAAAUAAAUCACAUUACCAUUUUGUAUCAUCCAUUAUUUUGUAUUCAAUCAUACUAAUUGAUCAACCUAAUACAUAAAACAAUAUAGAAAAAUUAAAAAAAAAAGCAUGCACAAAUAGAGAACAAAUAGACAUUGAUAGCUAUCUAUCUCUAUCUAUCUGAAACAAGCACACAUAAAUUUUUAUAUUUCUCUAUCGGAUGGACAAAAAUAGCAGUCUAUUUAUAUCUACCUAAGAUAUAAACAUUAAAAAAAAAAAAAAAAACCUUACCAAUAAAAUUCUUGACUUUUCAUGUUAUUCUAAAUGCAACACGUUCUCAGCCCAAGAAGUCAAACAACUCUUCAUUGUAAAGUAGCUUUACUUCUUUCAUCAAACCACUUUUGCAAUACAUCUCUAAUUGAACUAAGCAUGGUAGCUACAGGUAGUUCUCUAAGAUCUUUAAAAACUAAAUUUACACUGUCUACACAAUUUGAUGUCAUCAUUCUAUAUAUGAAACUCAUUAUACCUGAGAUAGAUUCAACCAAUUUAUCAAAGAACCUUGGAAUCAACAUGUAUGAUUUAACUGUGUCACCUUUUAAUAUCUUUACUAUGUGUUCUUUUGGCCUCCAAGCUUUCUGCUAACUUGUAUUAACUCCAAGAUUUGUACAUGCUUAUGCACAAUUGCUUUUGGAAUGAAACGAUCAGUAGACAUGAACCUUAACUCAUCUAUCAAGCAACUGUCAAUUACUGUUGAAGAAGCUUUGCAUGUGACAACUAGUAUUCAAUGAACAGUCAUGUUCAUAAAUGUAUUUUCAUAGCAUCCACAACUCGCUCUUCUUAUCGUGUAAUUGAUAAUGGUAACUGAUCGUGUAAUUCCAUGUAAUUGAUAAUGAUUAAUGGAUCGUUGGAAGGUUUUUCCAUGGGAGGAAAGGACUUAGACAAGGUGACCUUUAUCCCCGUUCUUAUUUGUGAUGGUCAUGGAGGUGCUUUCUCGCAUGUUGAAUAGCCCACCUCAGAAUUUUCAAUUCCACCAGUUUUGUGAGAAGGUCAGAUUAACUCAUCUUACUUUUGUAGAUGACCUGAUGAUCUUUUGUACUGCUGAUAAUCAUUCUAUUAGUUUCAUAAAAGAGACUAUUAAGAGGUUUGGUGAGCUUUCAGGACUGUUUGCUAAUCUUGCUAAAAGCUCAAAUUUUCUUGUGGGGGUUAAUAGUUCGAAAGCUUCUUGGCUUGCUCCUAACAUGGAUUUUUCCAUUGGUCAUCUCCCUGUUCGUUAUCUUGGGCUUCCUCUCCUCUCUGGAAGAUUGCGGAGCUCUGAUUGUGAUCCCCUUAUUCAGCGUAUUACCAGUCAUAUUCGGUCUUGGUCUGCUAGAGUGUUAUCUUUUGCAGGUAGACUUUAGCUUGUUCGCUCAGUCCUUAGGAGCCUUCAGGUUAUUGGGCUAGUGUGUUCAUGCUUCCUAUGAAAGUCCACAUAUACGUUGAUAAGAUCUUGAGGGCUUUAUCUGUGGAGAGGUAAGGAGGAGGGAAGAGGUGGUGCUAAAGUUGCCUGGGAUGAGGUUUGUCUUCCUUUUGAUGAAGGAGGUCUUGAUAUUCGCGAUGGAUCUUCUUGGAAUAUAGCAAGCACGUUGAAGAUAUUAUGGUUGCUACUUGUUAAAUCUGGUAGUUUGUGGGUUGCUUGGGUGGAAUCUUAUAUCUUAAAGGGAGAUCGCUGUGGAGAUCAAUGCUGGGGUGGGUCGAUCUUGGUGCUUUAGGGAAAUCUUGCGUAAGCGGAUAUCCUUAAAGCUCAUGUUAAGAUGAAGGUGGCAAUGGAAGGAAGUGUAGAGUGUGGUUGGUUCCAUGGAUCAGGGUGGGCCGAUUAUCCAGCAGUUUGGGUAGAGGGUGAUCUAUGAUGCGGGUCGUCGGUGGAUGCGAGGCUGGUGGAUUUCAUGGGUCGGAAUGGUGAUUGGAGGUGGCUGCUUGUUUUCUUUGGAUUUGAUGGACAUUUGGGAUAGGGUUUAGGGAGUGAGGCCGAGUCCGAGUGUUGAGGAUAGGUGGGUCUGGGUGCUGGGGAGUCAUGAUAGUUUUUCGAUCACCAGUGAGUGGGAGACUAUUCGUCCUCAUAGUAGUAGGGUUGACUGGUCGGAUUUACUAUGGGGUGGGGGAAAUAUUCCUAAGCACUCCUUCUGUGCUUGGUUGGCCAUCAGGGAUAGGUUGGGUACUAGAGAUAGGUUAAGUCGGUGGGAUAGGUCGAUUCCUUUAUCGUGUUUGCUUUGUGGAGGGAACUAUGAGUCUCGUGAUCAUUUGUUUUUUUCUUGUCAUUUUGGGUGGGAGAUUUGGUCGAGGAUCCUUUUGCUUAUGUCAUCUUCUCAUAGAAUCGGUUAUUGGGGGGUUGAGCUAUCUUGGAUUUAUAAUCAGGGUAUUGGGAAGAGUGUGAGGAGAAAACUGUGGCGCCUUCUCUGGUGUGCUACAAUUUAUUUCAUUUGGCAGGAGCGAAAUCAUCGUCUUCAUGGAGGUGCUGUUCGAGAGCUUAUGGUUGUAUUCCAGCUCAUUCGGUCGUGUAUUAAAGCGCGUGCUGCUUCUUGGUCGGAUGGUGUUCAUGGUCUUAUUUAAUGUUCUUUUCGUUUGCUUGUCCCCGGGCUGUGGGGUUUCUCUUCUCUUUAUUAACUUUGUUGUCUUUCUCUCUUCUUCUUGUCCUUUUAAUGUUUGGAACACUAGUUGGUUUCUUUUGGUUUUAGUUCUUGUUCCCGAGAUGUGGGGUUGUUUUGGGUACUUAUGGGUUGUUUUGUCUAACUACUUGUUCUGUGAGUGUUGUUCGCUCUUUUGUCUUGACCUCAGGUUGUGAGGUCCACCUUGUUGUUGUAUAAUAUUAUCAUUACCUUUUCAAAAAAAAAAAAUCAAACUCAAUGUUGUGAGGUCCACCUCGUUUUCGCCCUACUGUGGAUCGAGGAGGAUUCCUCCUCUUUUCAAAGCCCUCAAUCAAACUUGAUGUUAUGUUUAAAACAGUAAAAAUAGAUGGUCUAGUUUUGGUUAGGCCAAAAGCGAUGUUUUCCCCCAAAAGCUCUAAUAGCUAGGGAACUCAACAUGUUCUACUUGACCUAACCGACUUGACUCUGUAUUUUUUAUGAGCUUUUUUUAAUGCAUAUUGCAUAUGUUUUUUUUUUUAUAAUUGUUGAUUGUCUCACUUUUUUAUGGUCUGCAUUUACGAGCCUCUUUUCUUUCUUUGUUAUGAACUGCGGUAACUAGGCAUUGCUAGAACCGAUGGGGUAACAUUUCUAUGGUUCUACACUUAGUUUCUAAGUGUGAUUGCUCACCUCUAAUUUUCAAAACACUUAAUUUCUAAGCACAUACAAUCACCUAGAAAAAAAUGAAAAUUGUUGUAGUUAAGAUCAAAACUAAAUAGUUAUGAAAUAAGACAUAAGAGAUUUGAUUUUAACAACCUUCCCGUUGUACUUGGGAUCCACUCUGGCUUUGUGCUGGAAAAUUGGUUUGGAGCUCAUCGUAAGCUUUCGGUUGCUCUUCUGUAACCUUUAGAUACUCUUCAAAGCUAUAAGCUUUUCUUCCUGACGAAGAAUCUUCUACUAUUACAAUACAUAAGAAAAUUCUAUUUCAUAAACCCUGUAUCAUAAUUGAGGCUGAUAGAAUGAUUAUUCUAUAACCCUACCGAUAGUUUCAUUCUUAACAUUCAUAAACACGAUGCAUGGCAGCUAUCAAAUUCUAUUUCAUGUUCUCGAGAAUGGCUCGGUUUAACAAUAAUGUUAAUUUUUGUUUUCUAUUUUAAAAUAAUAACGCUGCUUACUAAUCUUUUUUUUUUCCAUUUGGCAUUCUACUUUUUCUACUCAGCUUUCUUUCCCUAGUGAUAACAAAUAAUACGGGUGAUAAAAAACUUAAUCACUCACUUGUUUCAGCCACCGAAAGCCCUUCUGCUUUAGAAAUAGAAGAUGGGUUUGAGUAGGUAGAUUUACUUGCAUUGUAUGUGCUGUUCAUUGAACUCUCAAUUUCAUCGAGACCAAUUUCUCACUCAAACAUGGUCUUGCAUUCUCUAGAAACGUCCUACAAACAAAAAUGAAGAACAAAAAACUACAAUAAGGUCUAUGAAAAAGUUACAAAGGAAAAUCUCAAAAACUGAUAUGUAAGUCAUAACAACCUUAAGUCCUCUUAUCGUGGGUUAAAAUGCACGUAAGGUUUUUCCAAGAGUCCGAGCAACCAGCAUGUAAAUAAGUUAAGUCAACUAAAUUUGCUAUAAAUUUACUCGUAUUAACAUUAUCAUUGUUAUAGACUUGACAACUUCAAAUUUAUCAAUAUAAAAUAUGCUUUAACAAAACGUACCUUGAGGUUCCUCCAACCUUAUUAAAAAAGCAAAUAAUCCAACAAUUUAACAAAUUUAUAGUGCAUAUUAUGUAUAUCAAUUGAUCACAACAAAAUAAGAUCGAACAAAUACCCAUGAGUAAUAUUUAGCCACCAAAUGAAUAAUGAUGAAAACCUGAAAACAAAACCGAGAAAAAAAAGGAAACAAUUCAUCAACAAAACAAAUUUAGGGGACUAAAAAAUUGCUUACCUUAUUACACACUUCAAAAUAUUAAGAAAAGUGGAGGGAAAAAACCAACCAAUAAUCAACAAAUAAACUUCAACACAAAUAGCCAUAAAUUUUCUUCUUUAAAGGUAUCACAAAUAAGUCCAUCAGUAAUAACAAAAUAAAAAAGGGCAAUGUGCAAUUGAAUUCUGCAGUCGUAAAGCUAUGCUAAAGGCAGUAUGAAAUCAAACUUGAGCACUAACAAGAAAAUUUGCAAAACAAAAAUUACUAGACAUCAUUAACUAAAGUACCAGCACAACAAUGAAUGUGUAACCUCCGCAAGAGCAAACCCGAAUGGAGAAGAACAUGAAGAAAUAUAUAAAUAGAAGAAACAUAAAAGACAAACAUGAAACACAUGGAAAUAUACAAAGGGGAUAAAUAAAAGUACAAUUAUAAAGUGAUGAAGCACAAAUAUAGGUAUCAACAGAACCAGAAUACAAGUCUUACCCUAUCUCGACUGUCGAGGAGUGUUAACCAACCGUCGGAAGGUUGGUUUUAUUUUUUAGAAAAAAUUAAUGUUGUCUGAAUUCUUUUCCAAGCCACUAACCAGCCCCUCCUUAUCUAUGAUCGACGAUCAACUCCUCAACCUCUAAUUACAUUUAAAAGAGUGAUGCGAACAUUGUGUGAAAUCCCAAACCUUUGAUGGAUCCCACCAUCACUCUCUUUCUAUCCCCUUCAAAACCUCAUUAUUUUCAAGAGAGGCCUCAAAGCUUCUUCCAAUUAACAUAAAAGAAGAAUGAAAGAGAGAGAAUGAAAAAGAGAAAGUGGUUCAAAAGCUAUGGAAAAAAAAGUAAAAGAAAAUGGUCUACUCAUUGGCACAUCUUACACAGAUGAUAAUGUUAGGGCAAGGCAAUGAGAGACAGAAUGCAUUUGGAGCCUUCUCCUCUACUUUCGAAGAUUUUAACAAACUAAAAUAUGCAAAUGUUACAAGAAAGAUCUUUGGAGAUUUGAAAUAAUCCAAAAUAAAGAAAAAGGAAAACCCCAAUAUGUACAAAUUUCAGAAUCUAAAACUUGAAAAGUGAUUGAAUGAUGAUAUAUGUUUGUACAAUCAAUUAUAGAGACAGUGAAACAUUAAAACAAAAAUGAAACGUACCAAGAUAAAAAGAAUAGCAACUAGUAUUAUGACCUUUGUAUGUCUUCAAAAUACAAACAUCAAAAUGAAUCAAGAGAUCUACCACACAAAUAAUGGUAUCAACACAAAUAAAGCAAUUGUUUUAGUAAUAAUAUUUGAGUACAAUUACACUAAGCAUGCUAUUGUCCUUGACAAAUUUACAUUCUUCUAAUAAAAAAAAAAUAUCCCUAUAUUUUGAUGCAUACACAUUGAAUAGCCUCUGUUUCAAUCCAAUUUACAAAACUACCUCCAUAAAAUUACAUAAUGGGGGAAGUUCGACCGGAUGCACUGUGCUUUACCAGAACCACAUGAAAUUAUUGGAACAUAGUUCAUUCAAUUAACUUUCUAUUCAAUAAUUGAAACAAAUGGAAAGAGGACAAUUGAAUAUUAAAUAAAGAUGGAAUUAAUUGGGAACUCACGGAGUAAUGCGAUUUGUUCGGGGGCUCACCACUAGAGUUAGAAGAGAGACAAGUAUUAGAAAGGAAAGGAAGAGGAGCGUCUGAUAUAUAAUCCAGCGGAUUCUUUGAUGAGUGGAGUACUAGUAGUAGUAGUGGAGGUUCCAAGGACAUUGAAGUCAAUCCGGUGAGAGUGAGAGAAUCCAGAAGGUUGAGGUUGAAGAGUGUAGAAAUUGCAACCAAAAUCGGUGACGAUGGUGGAAUCGAAAUUGCGAGGGAAGAAGAAAAGAGCAUCACAGGUCGAAGUAGAGGAGGAAUCAACACUAGAGAAAGGAGGAAGAUGAGGAGAACCUGCCAUUAAUGGAAGAGGAAGGAAGUGAGAGAGAAAGGAGAGAGAAUUAAUUAAUUAAAGAGAAUUAGGGUUUGAGAAGAGAAAGGGAAAAUGGAGUGUACGAACAAAGAAGAAGAAGAAUAAAUGGAAAGGACGCGAUAAGAGAAGAAGAUGGAGAUGGAUCGGUGAAAUGGGUAUGAUAGGGUUUCUUCCUUAAAGAAACGAAAAUUGAGAGAUAGGCCUUAGGGUUUUGAAAAGAGAAACGAAAAAUGGAGUGUACGAAGAAAUGGAAAGGACGCACGAAGAGAAGAAGAUGGAGAUUGGAUCCGCGACUUAAAGAAGAAGAUGGAGAUGGAUCCGCGAAAUGGGUAUGAUAGGGAGGAGAGGGAGGAGAGGGAGGAGAGGGAGACUUGGCCGUUAGAGAAGAGGAGAAAGAAAUUUUAAAUGAGAGAGACUGUACAUAUAGGGUUUUUAUUAGAAUUUUUUUUUUUUAAAUCUUGCUUAAUUGGAUUUAGAGAAUUUUGUGUAUUCGGUUCACCGACUCGUAUUAGCUGUCCAUUGGUCCAUUGUUUUGUCAUUUUUUUUUCAACAAACUAAAUGUUUUAAGCCAUUUACAAAUUAGAUUUCGAUAAAUCGAUAAUCAUAUUUUUUUACAAUAUAGGACUAAAAAAGAUAACUAAUUUAUAUAUAUAUAUAUAUAUAUAUAUAUAUACAUACAACCUAUUUAGUUAAAUUACAAAAAAAAAUUCUUUUGAAUUUUGUACUUUGUGUAAAAAAAUAACCUUAAACUUUGAAAUGUUAAAAAAAAUUGUUUUGAACUUCUAAAAAUUAUUCAUAAAUACAUCUACAUACGUAGGAUGAAGGUAUUGGCAUGCUUCUCUAAAAAAACUUUCCAAAAAGAUGUUGUGUGACUUUUGAAAAGAAAAAUUACAAAUGGGGUCGUUUUUAAACAAAUUAGAUAUAUCGAGUUAUAUUUCUUUAAUUUUUUUUCCUUUUUUCACAUAUUAUCAAUCACAUCUUACUUUUUUCUUUUUUCUCUGGAACCCUGCAAAAAUAACAAAAACAUUUAUAAUCACAUGACUCAUGUCACUACAUCUUCUAAAUUUUAAAAGUAGUAAAUUUAAAAGUUGAUAACCCUAUGAUUAUCGUUUGAUAGUCAUCUAAUAUCACUAAUUUUGUCAUAUUCGUAAUAUCCAAAUAAGGUUUCUUGGUGAGUCUAGAGUCAAACGUGAGGACUUAUACUAAAAAUAUAUUUAUAUUUUGAAAUUAUCAUAAGGUGAUUAAUAACAUACGCCUAAGAACAAUAGCGGUAUCAUCCACUUGUAAGGGGGGAGGGGAGUCAUCCACUAUAGAUAAGGUCCACUUGUCUCCCUCACCCAACUUCAUAAGGCUGCCAAAAGAGUUAGGCAUAAUCACAUCCACACGUUUACCCUUCUCUCGAACAUAAACCAACUCUCUUUUCUUCCUAAUAACGAGUAAUUUCAUCUCGAUUACCUACCUCCUUUUCCUUAAUAUGCCUAAUGGGGGAGCUAUUAGUCUUACUUUCCUCCAACUAUUUAAAGUCUAACACCACAUCCACAAGACACAAUUGUCUGUUCCUCCUCUUUGUUUGAAACCACCUUACUCACAUCCUCCUCUCGAUGAACUUUGUUUUCCACAAUCUUAGGACACUUACCACUAGAGUGCCCAAAAGACCGGCACAAAUUACACCUUCGAGGCUUCCACUCAUAAUUCACAGCCAUAACGAAAUCCUCUCCCCUAAGGUGAAUUGUAAAUUCAGCAGGCAUAGGAGAGUCCACAUUUGAUUCAACACAUACUCAAGCAUGUGACAACCUUCGUCUUUCCUUAGUAGCUAGAUCUAAAGAUAAGAGGUUUGCCUAUAGCACUAGCCACAACAGUCAAACUGACAUCUGUCCAUAACUCCAUUGGAAUCCUACCUAGUUUAAUCCAUAUAGGAACAUAAUAAAAAACAAAGGAUUUAGGGACAAUAUGGAGUCCAUUUACAGAGGAGCAUACUUUUGCCAGCAAGAUGUCGCGAUCAACGUGAUAGGAUCCAUUCAACAAGUUUUGGGCAUCUGAAUUGGAAACAGAUGAGUCCGUUCUCAAGAAUUGUAAUCGUUGGCAUUUUUAAUUUUAUCAACAAUAACAACGAGCUAAACAAAAUCCUCUAUCCAGGACGCACUAAUGAAAACUAAAAUGUAAAAUAAGUACGAAGUAAUUAAUUAAAACAGAAGACAAAAGAAACCCAAAGUAAGUUGACAAAAUGCCCACAAUAAGCUUCAAGAUGAGUAAGAGGGAACACCAAGAGAAACAUGAAUAGCCUUGCUAACUUUUCACUACUAGCCAACUACAUAUUUUUUUACAAUACGUGUUAGGGAAAUCUUUUGUAACGACCGGUACUUUUCUAGGUAAGUCGAGGUCAUUAAUUUUUAACAAAGGUAAUAAAGGUGGCAAACCGGCGAGGGGCAGGAAGGAAGCGUGAUUGCCAUAGGAAACGUGUCAUUUUGCUUCCGCUUAUGGUUUCUUUUGAGGUUUAAGAUGUAUUAAAAACUUAUUUUACAAACUUUUAUUUGUAAAUAGUAUUAUUUUUAAGUUUUCUUGAAUAUUUCGAAAAAUCAGGCCUGACAUAAAUUUGUUUUUCAAUUGACUUACGUUUCAUUUUGUAUCAACCAAAGUCUUUUGUUAAAAAUUAAUGACCUCGACUUACCUAGAAAAGUUGGGUCGUUACAGUUGGUAUCAGAGCCUAAGUUUUAGGUUCUGUAGACUGACUUACGAUGUAAGUCUAUGUUUUUGUGUUCCUAUGGCUAACGCGACCCUUCGUCUCUCGUCAGGUAUGCUUGAUGCUUAUAUGUAUGGUUUAUUUGCAUGACUUUGCCUAAAUUAAACUAGAUUGCAUGACGAUAAAGACUUGCUUAUGCUUAUGAUUAAGACUUUUUUUAAAGAGUGUUGUUGGUGGAUAAUAGGAAUUAUGCCGCCAAGGGGAGGUGUACGUAGAGGAGGUCGUAGAGGCCGAGGUAGAGGAGCAGGUCGUAAUCAGCCUACUGAGGGUCAAGCUGAACACGAAUUCCUGCACCCGUGACUCACGUCGAGUUUGAUGCACUGUCUGCUCACAUGGAGCAGAGGUUUACGGAACUUAUGACGGCUAUAGCUCGAAACCAGCAGGCACCUGCAGCACCUGCACCUGUGGUUCCCCCUGUACCAGCAGCUCCACCUGCACCAGCAGCCCCUCCUGCACAAGGAUUGGCUGCACAACAGCCGCAGAUAUUACCGAACCAACUUUCUGCUGAGGCGAAACAUUUGAGGGACUUUAGGAAAUAUGACCCUAGACGUUUGAUGGGUCACUGGAGGAUCCUACUAAAGCUGAGUUGUGGUUGUCCUCUGUGGAAACCAUAUUCAAUUACAUGAGAUCUCCGAGGAGCACAGAGUUCAGUGUGCUGCUUUUCUACUGAGGGACAGAGGCAUUAUCUGGUGGAGGACUACAAUGCGCAUGCUAGGUGGAGAUGUGAGGCAGAUUACCUGGGAUCAGUUUAAAAACUGCUUCUAUACCAAGUUUUUCUCGGCUAACCUUAGAGACGCCAAAAGCCAGGAAUUCUUGGAGUUGAAGCAAGGACAUAUGACAGUCGAGGAGUACGACCAGGAGUUUGAUAUGCUGUCACGUUUUGCCCCUGAACUUGUUGGUAACGAGCAGGCUAGAGCUGAUAGGUUCGUCAAGGGAUUGAGAGAUGAGAUUAGGGACUUUGUGCGAGCACUAAAGCCCACUACCCAGGCUGAAGCGCUGCGUCUGGCAUGGAUAUGAGCAUUGGGAAGGAUGAAAUACGGCCAAGGAGCUUUGAUAAGGGAUCGUCGUCUGGUCAAAAGAGAAAAGCAGAGCAGAGAACUGUGGAGUUCCUCAGAGGAACUUGAGACCAGGCGAUCCUUUUCGCAGUUUCCAGCAAAGUUCUGGCAGGAGACACUACUCGAGAGAGAAGCCAUUAUGCAAUACGUGUGGGAAACGUCACCUGGGUCGUUGUUUGAUGGAACGAGAGUCUGUUAUAAGUGCAAGCAAGAGGGACACAUGGCUGAUAGGUGUCCCUUGAGAUCUACUGGGGCUGGACAGAGCAGUCAGGGAGAGAGACCUCCACAGCGGGGUACAAUCUUUGCCACUAAUAGAUCAGAGGCAGAGAAGGCCGGCACAGUGGUGACAGGUACAUUACCAGUGUUAGGGCAUUUUGCCUUGACCUUGUUUGACUCGGGAUCUUCUCAUUUAUUUCAUCGCUUUUUGUGACGCAUGCAUGCUUAGAGGUGGAACCCUUAGAUUAUGUUUUGUCAGUGUCUACACCGUCUGGAGAAAUUAUGUUGUCUAAGGAAAAGAUUAAAGCGUGUGAAAUUGAGAUAGCUGGUCGUGUGCUGGACGUAACCUUGUUGGUAUUAGAUAUGCGUGACUUUGAUGUAAUUUUAGGUAUGGAUUGGCUAGCUACUAAUCAUGCUAGUAUUGAUUGUUCUCGUAAGGAAGUUGUGUUCAGUCCCCCUACUGCAUCUAGCUUUAAAUUCAAGGGGGUAGGAACAGUAGUACUGCCUAAAGUAAUCUCAGCUAUGAAAGCUAGUAAACUACUCAACCAGGGUACUUGGAGUAUUUUGGCAAGUGUGGUGGAUACUAAGGAAGAUGAGACUUCUUUAACUUCAGAACCUGUGGUAAGAGAAUACCCAGAUGUAUUUCCAAAAGAUCUUCCAGGACUACCGCCACAUAGAGAGGUUGAUUUUGCCAUUGCGUUGGAGCCAGACACUACUCCUAUUUCUAGAGCCCCUUAUAGGAUGACUCCUGCUGAGUUGAAAGAACUGAAGGUACAGUUACAGGAAUUGCUUGACAAAGGCUUUAUUCGACCUAGUGUGUCACCUUGGGGUGCACCAGUAUUGUUUGUGAAGAAGAAGGAUGGGUCGAUGCGUCUUUGCAUUGACUAUAGAGAGUUGAAUAAAGUAACAGUCAAGAACAGAUAUCCUUUACCCAGAAUCGAUGAUUUGUUCGAUCAGUUACAGGGAGCCACGGUGUUCUCUAAGAUUGACUUACGGUCAAGUUAUCACCAGUUGAGGAUUAGAGACCGUGAUGUUCCUAAGACUGCUUUUCGUUCGAGGUAUGGACAUUAUGAAUUCAUAGUAAUGUCUUUUGGUUUGACUAAUGCACCUGCUGUAUUUAUGGAUUUGAUGAACAGGGUGUUUAAGGAUUUCUUAGACACUUUUGUGAUAGUCUUCAUUGAUGAUAUUUUGGUUUAUUCCAAGACUGAGGCCGAACAUGAGGAACACUUACAUAAGGUGUUAGAGACUCUUUGAGUCAAUAAACUGUAUGCUAAAUUCUCUAAGUGCGAAUUUUGGUUGAAGCAGGUGGCUUUUCUUGGUCAUGUGGUUUCCAGUGAGGGAGUUUCAGUAGACCCUGCAAAGAUAGAAGCGGUUACCAGUUGGUCUCGACCCUCUACAGUUAGUGAGGUUCGUAGUUUUCUGGGUUUAGCAGGGUACUACCGGAGGUUUGUGGAGGAUUUUUCACGUUUGGCUACUCCCUUGACUUAGUUGACAAGGAAGGGAACUCCGUUUGUUUGGAGUCCAGCUUGCGAGGAUAGUUUUCAGAACCUUAAGCAAAGGUUAGUUACUGCACCGGUCCUUACAGUACCAGAUGGAUCCGGAAGUUUUGUGAUUUACAGUGAUGCUUCCAAGAAAGGACUGGGUUGUGUUUUGAUGCAGAAAGGUAAGGUGGUUGCUUAUGCCUCUCGUCAGUUGAAGAGUCACGAGCAGAACUACCCACACAUGAUUUGGAGUUGGCAGCAGUGGUUUUUGCAUUGAAGAUAUGGAGACAUUAUUUGUACGGUGAAAAGAUACAAAUCUUUACUGACCAUAAGAGCCUGAAGUACUUCUUUACUCAGAAAGAGUUGAAUAUGAGACAGCGAAGGUGGCUCGAGUUGAUAAAGGAUUAUGACUGCGAGAUAUUGUACCAUCCUGGUAAGGCAAACGUGGUGGCUGAUGCUCUUAGUAGAAAAGUAUCACAUUCGGCAGCACUCAUUACUAGACAGGUACCAUUGCAUCGAGACUUGGAGAGAGCUGAGAUUGCAGUAUCUGUGGGGAGAGUCACCUCACAGUUAGCUCAAUUAACGGUGCAACCGACUCUGAGGCAGAAGAUUGUUGAUGCUCAGAGUAGUGACCCUUAUUUGAUAGAGAGACGUCGCCUUGUUGGAAUGGGACAGACUGAUGAGUUCUCCAUAUCCUCUGAUGGUGGGUUGAUGUUUGAGAGACGUUUGUGUGUGCCAGCGAACAGUACAGUUAAGAUUGACUUACUAGAUGAAGCCCAUAAUUCUCCAUUUUCCAUGCAUCCUGGUAGCACGAAAAUGUACCAGGAUCUAAAACGUUUUUAUUGGUGGCGAAUAUGAAAAGGGAAGUGGCGGAAUUUGUUAGUAAGUGUCUAGUAUGUCAGCAGUUAAGGCACCUAGACAGAAACCAGCAGGUUUGUUACAACCUUUAAGUGUGCCAGAGUGGAAGUGGGAGAAUGUGUCGAUGGAUUUUAUUUCAGGGCUGCCUAAGACCCUGAAGGGUUUCACAGUGAUUUUGGUUGUCGUAGACAGGCUUACGAAAUCGGCACAUUUUGUACUAGGGAAAUCCACUUAUACUACUGGUAAGUGGGCACAGUUGUAUUUAACUGAGAUUGUGAGACUGCAUGGAGUGCCUGUAUCGAUUGUUUCUGAUAGGGAUGCACGGUUUACUUCCAAGUUUUGGAAGGGACUUCAGACUGCUAUGGGUACGAGAUUGGAUUUCAGUACAGCCUUUGAUCCACAGACUGAUGGUCAAACUGAACGUUUGAACCAAGUUUUAGAGGAUAUGCUACGAGCUUGUGUUCUAGAGUUUCCAGGUAGUUGGGACUCUCAUCUACAUUUGAUGGAGUUUGCUUAUAACAACAGUUUCCAGGCUACCAUCGGUAUGGCACCAUUUGAGGCUUUGUAUGGCAAAUGUUGUAGAACCCCUGUUUGUUGGAGUGAGGUUGGUGAACAUAGGUUGAUGGGACCUGAAUUAGUUCGGUCUACUAAUGAGGCUAUUCAAAAGAUUAGAGCACGUAUGCAAACAGCGCAGAGUAGACAGAAGAGCUAUGCAGAUGUACGAUGAAAAGACCUUAAGUUCGAUGUGGGAGAAAAAGUAUUCUUGAAGGUAGCACCUAUGAAGGGUGUUAUGCGUUUUGAAAAGAAAGGGAAGUUAAGUCCUCGUUUUGUUGGACCAUUUGAGAUCUUAGAGAGGGUUGGUGUUGUGGCGUAUCGCUUGGCAUUACCACCAUCACUCUCUGCAGUUCAUAAUGUUUUCCAUGUUUCGAUGUUGAGAAAGUAUGUGGCCGAUACGUCUCAUGUAGUGGACUACGAACCUUUGGAGAUUGAUGAGCAUUUGAGCUAUGUAGAACAACCUGUGGAGAUUCUGGCUAGAGAGGUAAAGAUGCUUCGUAAUAGAAGCAUUCCAUUAGUAAAGGUUUUGUGGCGGAAUCAUCGAAUUGAAGAGGCGACAUGGGAGCGAGAGGAAGAGAUGAGGACUCGUUAUCCAGAGUUAUUUCAGGAUUAAAACUUUCGAGGACGAAAGUUUCUUAAGGAGGGAAGAAUGUAAUGCCCCAAAGGUAUAUAUAUAUAUUUUGUUUUUAUUUUAUAUAUAUAUUUUUUAAUAUUUAAUUUAAAUAAAAAGAAAAGAAAAAGAAAAUUUCUUUAUUUUUUUUUCCUUUUUCUUUUCUUUUCUUUCUCUCUUUUUCUUCCUCCCGUGCGCCGCGACCCCCAUCCGUUCUCUUCUCCUUCCGUUCGCAGCAACCGCCGCCUUAUCCGUUCUCUUCUCCUUCCCGUUCGCAGCAACCGCCGCCCCAUCCGUUCUCUUCUCCUUCCCGUUCGCAGCAACAACCGCCGACCAUCCCUCUCUUUUCUUUCCGCCGCAGCCAGCAACCGCCGCCCUAUUCUUCUUUCCGCUGUCUUCUCGGCCCGCCGCUGACCUCUGCCAGCGCCGUGUGACCCUCUGCCCAGUCCCGCCGCGCAACAUCUGUCUCCGUCGAAGCCAAGCCAGUCGCCGUCCAUUCCUCUCCUUUCUCCUCUGUUUUCAGCCAGCCGCCGCCGAUUCCUUCUCCUCUGUUGUCUGCAAUGCCGCGCGACUCUCCGUCGUCUGUAUACGGUCUUUCCGUCACACGUCGUCUCUUCGCAAAGCUACUGCUCGACUUCUUCCGCGAAUAACAUCUGCCGUGAACCGAACUAAAGACCCCAGAUCCAACUUUCUACGCGUCGAGUUCCUUCUUCGUCCUGCCAGGAUUGGGUCGUUAGCUGUCGUUCCUGCUUUGCCACGAGUCAUUAAAUUCUGAUUGGUAAGAUUGAAGUUAUGAAAUUCGUAACUGUUUCUAAAAUAAACUGAAGUAAUAUUACAGGACUAAUUGGUUGGAGAAAUCGUUUACUGUUCGAUUAUAGGUUGAAGGUAACGUUCGAAUUCCUUGGGUUCGCAGCAAACAAUUGAUUCUAGUUAGAACUAGUUUCGCGAAGAUUUGGGUAAGUUGUAAAAAAAAAAUUCACAUUGGGUUGAAUUUAAAUGAUUGAUGCGUUGAAGAGAAUUAUUGAGAAAUUGUCUUAAUGUUUAGGUUCGUUCUUCGUAGACUUCAACGUGGUUAAGGAGCUUAACUAACUUGAAAGUAAGGGAUUUUCUACUGGACUCACUUAUGAUUGUGAAUUGUAUGUGUUGAAUGUAUACUGUGGAUUGACUGAAAAUAUAUAUAUGCAUAUGAAUUGAAGUAGACUUAAUGUUGAAUGCAUAUUGUGAUUGUCAUGGAAUAUAUAUAUAUGUGUGUGGACGUGGACAGGACGAAAAAUUGUAGAUUGUGUUUGUAUGAGAUGCAGAUGUGAACUUGUGAUUGUCGUUUAGAUUGGGUGUACGUUACGCUAAAGUAUGACUGUGUGCUGGUGAACUGAGGGGUGUAUUGACUGUAUAGUUUGAUUGACUGACGUAUUAGUAUAUUAUUGACAGACAUAUGACUAAAGUGAGAUAAGUUGACUGUUAGGACGUUGAGAGAGAGAACUUUAUGUUUUGAAGUAACUGAAAGAUGGAUUGAAUGGAAUGAGGGGAAAAUUGUUAGCUUUUAUUGGGAUGUGUGCCUUGUAGGUGUCCACGGGAUCACCAAUUUAUUUUGCACCUUCGGGAGCAUUAGACUAAUAUGUGUUUCUGCAGAACACUAGACUGAUAUGUACGUCCCUCGGGGCGUUAGACUGAGAUGUGCAUCCUACGGGAUCACAAGACUGCGACUGUACAGGGUGUCCCAAUAGAACGUUAACAAUCUAUUUUCCCCUGACGGGACCAGUAGAGGGUCUCUUACUGAGUAUUGUUAUACUCACCCUUCUUAUGUUUAAUUUUCAGGUAAAGGUAAUAAAGGUGGCAAACCGGCGAGGGGCAGGAAGGAAGCGUGAUUGCCAUAGGAAACGUGUCAUUUUGCUUCCGCUUAUGGUUUCUUUUGAGGUUUAAGAUGUAUUAAAACUUAGUUUACAAACUUUUAUUUGUAAAUAGUAUUAUUUUUAAGUUUUCUUGAAUAUUUGAAAAAUCAGGCCUGACAUAAAUUUGUUUUUCAAUUGACUUACGUUUCAUUUUGUAUCAACCAAAGUCUUUUGUUAAAAAUUAAUGACCUCGACUUACCUAGAAAAGUUGGGUCGUUACAUCUUUCCCUUUGCAAAACAGACCAAUAUAUAAUCAAUCAUUGGCUCCUUAUGGGAAAAUACAGAAGCCCUAUACAUGUCUGUUUCAAGCCUGUGUUGAACAACUUUUAAUUCCCUAAGAUAAGGAGAUUUAUCUGAAGGUUCAAGAAUAAUGACAUGUCCUAAACUAACCCACCAGUUCGCAACAGUGAACCAGUUUGAUCGUUAGGGGCAACUUUUGAUAAUAAGCGCACAACCAUGCCCCAAUUCCAAUGUUGCCCAAAAGUAAAGGCCUUUCUUCACAAUGCUCCAUAAAGAAAAGUUCGACUUUCACAUAAAGAUCUUAUUUCUUUUUUAUUGCUCCAAGAGAUCUAAUAGAUCUAUUUUCACCACAAAUCCCUUUUGUUAUCAUGGAAAAUGUGUUGGUUGUGCUCAAACCAAAUCUCUGCUAGCAACACUUUUAUCAAAUUAACCAUAUUUUUUUUAAAAAAAAAGAGGAUAUGAGUUUCACUAUUAUUAAUAUUGAAAAAUGAAGAGACAAAGCUCAAUGUCAUGAGGAUUAUACAAAGAGCAAUAGGAUAGAGGAUCAACAGACGCACCUGGACAUCUCAACUAGGUUGACACCCCUUAGCGCCUCAUCACAUCCAAAAGCGACAACACAAGAUCAAAACCAAAAGCCACAAAUAGAAGGCUUUUUUUGUGUUUGUUUUGCCUUUGGACAUUACUCCUUUGUUAUGGGUUUUAGCUUGGUUGGAUAUGAUGAGGGUGCUAUGGGGUGUCAACCUAGUUGAGAUGCCAAGGUGCCCCCUGAUCCAUGGUUACAUAUUCAUUGUAUAACUCUCUUGUACUAUGAGCUUUUGUCUAAUUAUUAUUAUUAUUUUAAUAUUAAUAAAGAGGUUGUCUCCUUUUCAAAAAAAAAAAAACAAAACAAAAAAAAAAAAAGCCACAAAUAUAAAACCAAACAAAAUCAUAAAAUAAUAUGUCAAAAAAAAAUCAUAAAUCAUAGGUAGCAGGUCGAGAACAAAGAAGAAUAAGCCUUGAUUGAGCAAAAAAUCCCAACAAAUAUUGAAUGUUUGGAGAAGAUGGAACCAACAUUUCGAUAUAAAGACAUAGUCAAUUAAAAGGUGCUAAAUAUUUUUCAUGUUAUCAACACAAAUGGGGCAGACAUGAGGUGAGAGGACAUGGGAGGGAAGUUUUCUUUGAAGUACUAAAGCACAGUUUAAUUUUCCAAACAACGUAAUCCAUAUGGGGAUAUUUAUCCAAAGAGUGAGCUAAAUAGCCCAAUGAGUGAUUGUUUUAUAAAACAUCGUUUUGAAAUAAUAAGUAUUUAACAAUUAACUCUUACAUAAAUGAAAUCAAACUCAAACAACUUAUCUCAAACUUUCCCUUUCAGUUGCUAUACCUAGAAUCGUCGAGACGAAAAACAAUAAACUAGGCAUAGAAGCCCUAUCCGUGAUACGAUACUUACGAGAUGAAACUCUAGGGAUCAAUUGUGCCUUAUCUCGUUAUAACUACAAUGAGAUGGAAAACUAGGCAUUCGUACAGGCUCUUGUCCCUUGAGAUGGGAAACUAAGCAUCUUUAGAAGUCUUAAUCUCUUAUCUAAUACCAAUGAUGGAAAGCUAGGUAUUUACUGAAUAUUCAAAUCAAAUGACCUCUAUGCACAAGAAAAUCUCUCUCGAAGGGUUGCUAUAUAUCUUAGAAUAUUUUAGGUAUAGACUAAAACAUGCUAAUAUUAUUUUCAAGCUUAAACAUUUUGAAAACUUAGCACAAUCAUAAUUGCUUAUAAUUUUCAUUAGUAAAUUCAUCAAUAAAAACAUGUUUACCAAAAUGUUUCUAAAUUCAUGUUUGGAAAUACUUUAUAUGUCAGUAUCCUCAAAUAUUCAAACAUCAAAGCAUGCUUGAAACAUUUGAUAGUAAAUUCAUGUUUAGAAAUCAACUUUAAACUCAUUUUUGUCACUUAUAGAGAGUAGCUUGGACCCUUGUCUUAUAAACUUGUUCGAUCUCCUUCAUAUCUAAAAUAAUGUAAAAUAAUGGGAAAUAAUUCCAUUUAAUUCCGUUGAUCAUAAAAAUAUCAAAACUUUGCUUAAAAUUUCCAAAAACCACAAAAACAGCCAAAGACAUUAGCUUGCGUACAAAAUUUGUGGCAAAAGUUGGCAGGCGCGCGUAGGGCUUACCUUGCCAUGUCUCAUUCUAACCUCAUGUGCAGCGUGUCACACUCACAACUUUUCAAACACGGAACAGACUAUUGUGCGGCACUUGUUGUAACUCGAUGAACACUUAGUUGUAUGAAAUUCGAUACGAUGUAGCCUCCCUACAGGUUUUAAGAGAAAUUGGUUUUAUUAAACAUGAGAGAGAAAGGAAAACAUUGGAAACAUCGUUAAAAAAAACUUUGAAGACUGUCCAUUGCAAAGAGAGCUUAAAUUGCAAAGAGUACCUCUGUGAUGAGAUUGGUUUGUGGAACUAAUUGGGAUGGGAAAAGUUUAGAGAUAUUUGAGAGAAACUCUUUUCUUUUGCAAAGCAAUAGCGUUAGCCUUAUUUUUUCUUUUUUAUUAAUUCAUUUUUUUAAGAAAAUUGUUUUCUUCUAGAUAUUUAACUCUCUUUCCUUUUAGAAAUAUAAAAUGAAGUAGAAGAGAACCAUGAGAUUCUAUUAAUUUACAAAUAAUUAAAUUAAUAUAUAUUUCAAAUCUACUGAUUAAUUAAACAUUAAUCAAUUAGUUAAUAAUUAAUGAAAUCGAAUUUAAUUAAAUAAUAUUAAACCAAACUAUUAAUUAAUUCUCCAAUUAACUAAUAACACUAAAUUAUUUAUCUUAUAUUUAACUUAAAUUAAUUUUAUCAAUCAUAUUAUAAUAUUUUCUCUCAAUAAUUUUAAUAUGAAUCCAAUUCACAUUAAAUUAAUAUUUGAACUCAUUCAAAUAUUUUAUCUCUCAUAAAUUAAUUUUGAAUCCUCCCCAAAGUUAAAUUUAUAUAGUAAAGUUUGAUAAACUUUAUAUUAAAUGUAUCACUAUACAUUAUACUAAUUCCCAAGUUAAAUUUAAACAUUUUAAAUUACAACCAAUAUAAAUAAAUCUCAUCACCCUAUACGAGCUAGGAAAGGACCUAAAGGACCUACAGAUUAGAAGCUACAACGAUCUAAGAUUAAUCGGCUAAACUCAUUAACCACAUUAAUCAAUAUUCGUUAGUUUGUGUACACUCCACUAAAGACUCACAACUGAACUCUUCUCACUAAAAUAUAUUUCUGUGUCCACGAAUAUAGACCAAUAAUAGUAAGUUAGUCAUUCACGAGUGUUUGUAACACCAGUUGGAUCAAUUUACCGCUUUACCCUAUGUUACCUCUAAUCCUUAAAAACCAGUGCUCCUCUAAUGAACAACUUCACUACUACAAAAACUGGCUCUCUUGACGUUUUAAAACUGUCAAGAAUCACUAUUCUUGACGGUUUUAAAACAGUCGUUGAAGCUAGUGUCAAGAAAGUGAAAGUUCUUGAAGGUUAAUAAAAACGUCAAGAAUAGUGAAAGUUGACGUUUUAUAAUGUCAAGUAUACAAAUUUUCAUGACAGUUAAAAACCGUCAAGGGUGUGAGUGUUCAUGACAGUUUCAAAACCGUCAGAAUAUGAAUGUUCAUGACAUUUAAUAACCAUCAAGAAAUUGAUUGUUUAUGACAUUUUACAACCGUCAAGCAUGUUUCAUAGUUUUUUUUUUUAAAUAAUAAUUUAAUUGUAUUUUUGUUUGUGCUCCCAUAAUUCUGUACAGUGGUCUAACAAUAGUUUCAUAUAUAUAAAUGGACGAUAUUCAUCAAAUAUAGUUUCAAAACUUCAACAUAUAUAAAUAAAACGCUUCACCAUAUUUAUAUAUAAUCAUUUCCAAAACAAUACAUAUAUGAAUAUUUCUUAUCCUUUGCAAAAAUAAUAUAAACAAUUCAUUAGAUUGUCAUAAGUUCAACUCAACUUCUUAACUAACUUAUCUAAAACUAUCCAAAAACUUUCCAAUAGCAGUUUGAAAAAAGCUCCAAGUCGCGACGAAAAAGCUCUAAGUCAUCGAUUCUCGCAGCCUAAAAUUUUUUUUUGAUGAUAAUUAAUAUAACAUAGCAUAAUAGAAAUCCAUCCAUCACUAUUCAACUCAUCAUAGUAGAUUUUGUGUUUGCACAUUUAUUCAUUCACUUCAGCUUGUGUAAUUGUUUAGCGAUAGACCAUAAAUAAAUUAACUAGAAUUUCAAUGAAGUUAUUAGUAAGCCAGAAAAUACUAAUAAUGCACACAUGAGGGGAAAGUAAGUACAUUGUAUAAUUAAACAAACACCACAUGUUUUUCUACACACUUAUAAUUAUAAUGCACGGAAGAGUAAGACAUAAUGAAAUUGCAAAUCUAAGGUGGCCAAGCCUCUAACACUUUGAACUAUAACUUUCUUUCAACACAAUCAAACAAAAAGCCAAUACAAAUAAAAAUAUGCAUAAAUCACAACUGGAUAUCCAACCAUUGUUGUUUUAAGUUCUAAAAAAAUAAAUUUCUUGUUACCUAUUUUCGAAACUAUAGUUAAUAUGAAAGUGUAACACAAAAAAAAUUAAACAAUAUUGAAAGUGCAAACAUGGUUAAAAAAUUAAACAAUAUUACUCACACAUUCAUAUCAAUAAUAGCUGAAGCAAUAUAUACAAAAAUUCAAUUAUAAAUCACAACGAGCAUCAUACACCCAAUUAAUAAUUAUUAAACCAACUGAUACCAAUAUGUGCAAGGAAGUAACAAAUCAAAACCAUCAUGAUCAUUAUCAAAGACCACAUGAACACCAUAAAAUUCAAUCCUAGACAAAGCAAGCAAUUCAUCAUCAAUUAAACAACAAUAUUUGAGCAAAAAUUCUACACAAAAUCCUAGGAGGAACCACGAUAUUGAUUUGUAGAUUCCAAAUUCGUCAUCAUUUGCCAGAAUUCAUACAUAACAAAAUCAUCCAAAUCCAUGAACGUGAUAUAAAAAAACAUCAAUGAAGGUAGCUAUUUACCAAGAAUCGCUUGGUAACCCAAAUGUCCUUGGCAACAUGGUUGGUGACCAGAGACAAUGGGUGGUGCAACUAUAUUUGAUAGAGAAAUUCCAGCUAAAAGAAUUAUGCAUAUAAAGACAUGUUAUAACAGAGCAAGCACUGAACAUUAGUUACAACAUUUACUCAAAAAAUUAAAUCUAGAACACACCAAAAAAACAGAAAAAACUAUAUUAUGCACGCAACUUAAAGCAUCAAAUAUUUUGCUAAUGAUCUGCCCCAAAAAGAGAAGUUAGACAAGAGUAGAAGACAGAACAACGCACCUUCAGUACUGUGGUCAAAGAAGAAAAUGGUUCGAUGUCCUGAGCUUGUAAUUAGACUACCUAAUAAAGUCAAGAUCAAAACAUAAUACGAGAUCUAAAUAAAGAAAUGAGUCGUUUAUUCCAGAGAAAUGAGUCUUAGGGAAAAUAGUUACAUUACUCACCUACUGUGUGACAGUAGGGAAAAUACGGUCCCGUAUAAGCCAUAUCUCCCUUUAUCAAUCUGUAUCUUCUCAUAUCAAUCAUCAACUCCAUUGGAUUUGUAAGGAGAACCCAAAGCACCAUGUGAUAUAUCGAUUUUAUAUUAAUCAACAACAUUUUAUGUGAAUCUUUUUACAACUUACCCAAAUCUUCGCGAAAGAAAUCGAGCAGUAGCUUUGCGAAGAGACAACGUGCGACGGAGAGACCGUAUACAGACGGCCGGAGAGUCGCGCGGCAGUGCAGACAACGGAGGAGAAGGGAUCGGGCGGCUGGCUUGGACGGCGGUUGUGAGCGGCGGACGUGGCGGUUACUGCUUCACACGGUGGCUCGGCUUCGACGGAGACAGAACAAGACGCGGAAACGGUUGCAGCGGCGUGAGGCUGUGCACGGCGACGCAAAUCUGGACCGGGCAGCGGCGGAAGGGCAACGGCGCGGUCUUGCGGUGCAGAUCUGGAAGGCGGCAGAUCUGGACGCGUACGGCUGCUUUGCGAACUGAAGAGAAGAGGAAAGGGUCGCGGCGCUCGGCUUCAGUAGGGGAGACGCGGCGGUUUGCGGCAGGGCUGCGACGGAAGAAGAAAAUGGAAGGGAAGGGAGGCGACGGUUUGCGGCGAGGCUGCGAACGGGAGGAAGAGGAAUGGAGGUCGGUCGGUGGCGGUUUUGCUUCGCGAACGGAGAGAAGGGGAAGGAUGGGGCGGCUGGGUGCGGCGGAAAGAAAGACGGAAGGGAAGGGCGGAAGGAAAAGAGAAAAGAGAAGGAAAGGAGAAGGGAAAGGAGAAGGAAAGGGGGGGUCGCGGCGCGCGAGGAGAGAGUGAGAGAGAUUUCUUUUCUUUUUAUUUAAUUAAAUAUAAAUAAUAAAUAUAUAUAUAUUUAUAUAAAAUAAAAAAAAACAAAAUAUAUAUAUAAUAAAUAUCAUUAUCAUUAUUAUUAUUACAACGGCGCGCGCGAGGGAGAGGUUCUUGACGUUUUAAAAACGUCAAGAAUUUUUAUAAAUUUCUUGACGUUUUAAAAACGUCAAGCAAUUUUUACAAUAGUCUUGACGUUUUAAAACCGUUAAGAAUAUUUUAUAAAUUUCUUGACGUUUUAAAAUGUCAAGGAUUUUUUUAUAAAUUUCUUGACGUUUUUCAAACGUCAAGAAUUUUUUUAUAAAUUUCUUGACGUUUUUAAAACGUCAAGUAAAAUUUUAAAUUCUUGACGUUUAAGAAACGUCAAGCAUGUCGAAUUCAUACGCUUCUUGACGUUUUAAGAACGUCAAAAAAUUAAUAGAUAUUUCUUGAUGUUUUAAAAACGUCAAGAAAAAAUUUAUUUUUUCUUGACGUUUAAUAAACGUCAAGAAUGAUGUUUCAGAAAAAUUCUUGACGUUUUUUUUAUUAAAAAUGAAAUCUUUCUUGACGUUUUCGAAAAAAACGUCAAGAAAGGAAGACAGCAACCGUCAAGAAAGCCUAUUUUUCUAGUAGUGCUUGUUUAUGGUUCUACUAAUAAACAAAAACCCUCUCAUGUCAUAGAGAGGGUACGUGCCCUUUGUUCAAGUUUUGGAGACACCAUUUAAGCUAACAUUCAUCUACUUACCCUAAAGUAGGAAAUGAGUGAAUUCCAUUUUGUGCAAUUAUAAUCCCAACUCCCCACUCAGUCUUGUCCCCAAAAUCACUACUACAAAAAUAGGCUCUCUUGACGGUUGUAGUUUUCCUUUCUUGAUGUUUUUGAGAAAAAACGUCAAGAAAGAUGUGAUUUCAAAUAAAAAAACGUCAAAAAUUUUUAUGAAAGGCCAAUUUUCAACUUUCUUGACGUUUUUCUUGACGUUUUUUAUGCAAUUAAACGUCAAGUAAGAUGUAUUUUUUCUUGACGUUUUUUAAACAUCAAGAAAUAUCUAAUAAUUUUUUGACGUUUAAAAAACGUCUAAGAAUGUUCAUGAAUUCAACAUAAACGUCAAUAAUAUAUAGUUUUCCUCGACGUUUAACAAAUUCUUAACAUUUUUAAAAUGUCGAGAUAAUUCUAAAAAGUUCUUGACAUUUUUAAAAACGUCAAGAAAUUUAUAUUCUUGACGUUUUUAAAACGUCAAGAUAAUUCUAAAAAAUCAUUGAGAGAAAUUUUAUUUUGUUUUUGACGUUUUAAAAACGUCAAGAAAUUUCUAAAAAAUUAUUGUGUUAAUAUUCUUUUACAAACACAACGUUUCAUUGAUCACUUCCCUUUUCUUAAUUAAACCUAAUUCGCCGCGACUUUGUCCUUCUCCACCCGAAAUCAAAAGCCGUCGUUCACCUAACCUUCCCUUCACGUUCAUCAUCUUGCAUUCAUCUGCGUUAUCGCCGAAAAAGACUUCCCUUCGCGUUCAUCAGCGUUCACUUCAUUCAUUUGCGAUUUCAUCGUCCGUCAACCGUCCGUCUGCUUUUCGUCUCCCUUCACCUUCGUCGAUUUGCGUCCGUCUGUUCACCGUUCGAAAUGCAGAAACACAUUCUCUGUUCAAAAAUGAGUAAACACGUUCACCGUCCUUCUGUCGCAUUCCACUUUCGCUAAACCUCUAUUCGUUUCCAAAUCCUUCAUGGUUACUCAUUCAUUUUUCUUCCCUUUCUAAAGGUAAUAAUUUUUCCUUUUUCCUUUGUGAUUAAAAUUUGUAAUUUGUAAUUUAAAAUUGGAAUGCAAAAUUAAAGAAGAGGAAAUAUGCCUUUAGAGAAUGGAAGAAAGGUUUUGCAUUUUAGGCUUGAAAAGGGGGGAUACAAGUUAUUAUAAUUGUAAUAUAUAAUUAUUUGAACAAGGCUACCAGCAUGAAUAUGAUUCAAUUGGUUAGUUUAGGGAUUGGAAAGAGAAGGAUUGUGGAGUUUGUGAUAAUAUUUUGGUACACUGGAGCUGGAAACAGAGAAUAUUAAAAAAACACAUACUGUUAUACACAGUAUUAUAAUAAUACGAAUCACUAGCUUUUCUUCUCCUUGAAUUUUUUUGGGUAUUAUAUUGAGUUUUGUGUUUUAGAUUGUGAAGUAUGGGGUAGCUAAACUCUUAACCUAGGGAUAGAUGUAGACAAAGUUUAUGAAUUAUUCUUUGUAAUGCAUCUGAUUAUUUGCUCUUAAUCUUUUCAUGUUUUUAUGUGAAUAACGUUCAUAAUAUCUUAAUCACAGAUUAAUUGUUGAUUGGCCAUUGAACCUUAAUCUUUGCAUGACUAGAGUGGUUAUGAACUUGGAUAGAGAUAAUUAAGGAUCCUUGAGGAGGUUGUUGAAAGAAGUGGACCUAAAAACUUUUGUUUGUUAAUAAAAAGAAAAAUGAACAGAGAUUCAUCUUCGUCAGGGUCUUGAUGUUUAAUUUAAUUUAAAUUGUGUAUGAAUUUUUAAUUACGAGAAUUUAAUAUGUUGCAAGAGCACUAUAGCCAAGGUAUAGAGUGAGGGAGAUAAGGUUUAUAUGUCUUAGAGAAUGGAAAGAUGGAAUUUGUGCUAAAAUCAUUAGUGUUCCAAAUACAAUUAUGAAUUGGGUAUAGUUGCAUUCCCCCUUCUGGAUUGCAUAGCACAUAAAUAUAUUCUCAUGGAUUGCAUAGCACAUAAAUAUAAUGUCAAAAACAAUAACAUAAAACACAAACUUGAUUUAGUUUCAUUCACACUUGUACACCAACAUGUUUCAAGGAAUGAUCAUAUAUUAAAAAUCAUUUUCAAAUUUGGUAAUAUAAAAUGGAAGAAGUGAGACCUUGAGGUUUUGACCACCAAUACUAUCUAACUGAUGAGUUUAUGAUUUUUGUUUCUACUGUGUUCUUUCCUUAAGCUUUAACUUGCUUUAGGGGCAAGAUGGUGAAGGUCUAGUCCACAACCUUUCCCAAGAAUUUAAUGAUGUUUGGGUUGACCCAAUUAUUGUUAUUGGACAGCGUUUUAUGGUAAUUGGUUGUUAUGGUUUUUAAGUGUGUUUUGAUAUCUUGUGUUAAAAAAUAAUUGCAAAAAGUCGGAAAAGUUUGUUAAAGAUUAGGUGUUUUUAAGUUUGUCAUUCCACUUUAAUUCUCACCAGUACUUGCUGAAUGGAAGCCUCUUGUCUAAGACAAUUCGAGUGGAAUAACUCUCGUGACUACCACAACAUUUGGGAACUCACCAAAUGUAAGACUAUUCCUUUAUCCUAGCAUUUGAUCUCUCUCUAUAAUUUGGUUUGCUAUCGUAAGUUUGAUUAAAAUAAAUGUUGAUAAUUCAACUCCAAUGUUCUUAUUUUCUUAACUCUCAUUCAGUCAGUUAGAAUCAGAACUCAUUUAUUUAUCUUGUCUCCAUAAUUUGGAUUCAAAGAUUCAUCACAAUAAUCUUCUCAACAACAUUCUUGAAAAGGUAUUGAAUUUUCAACUGUGUGACCUUUAUACACAAAUUUCUUCAAAGAAAUUUACAUUCUUUAGAGUUUAGAGCUUUGAAUUCUAGUACAACUUAUAAAGCUUUUGAUACUUGUUAGACUUUUUUGCUUGGUGCGGAUAAAACCUUAUUUACAUUCUUUCUUUCCUGCAUGUUCUCUUUUGAUAUUUGUUAGACUUUUUUGCUUGGUUGUCCUUAGUGUUUUCCUCUUUAGCUGAAAUUUCUCAAUCUUGAAAAAAAUAGAGCUUUAAAAUUCAACUUUAACUUUAUUUGAUACUAUCUUAGUCCAUACUUAUUUUGGUAUUUCUUUCCUUUCUCACAAACACAUCUAAGAGGUUGCCUUCACAAUAUGGCCAAAUUAACAAUAUGGCAACCCUUUUCAUUGCAAAACAUAUUAGACGUUGGUUACUUAGUUAGCCUUAUUGGGUAAAUAAUUGACAUUUAGGUACUUUUUAGUUUGUAUAUUUAUAGAUGCCAAAUCGAUAUGUGAAUUUUAAUUGUUGCUUAUUUGAAACAUUGCAACCAUUUGAUAAAAUGUUGCUAUGUGAAUCCAUCUUAACUUGAUAUAUUAUUUUAUUUUGGUUUAGGUUGUGGAAUCCAAGUUUGUAUUUGAAGUCAAAUUCAUCCAAGAUCAUUGAGUUCAUAAUACACUCAAGAUUAAGACUAAGUUAUCUAGGUCAUCCUAGUGAAAUAGAAACCUAACUAGUUAAUGUAGUAACACCAAGUGGUUACUAUUUCACAGUCUAGUCUAUUGCAAUCUCAUUGCAUAGGAUACCUUCACUCGCAUGUCAACUACAUGAACACAUUGGAUCAUUGUAUUUGUAUCAAAUACAAAGUGAGUCGUAUUCAUAAUGUUACCAGGAUAAAGGUACCCAGUCUUAUCCGUAUACUAUAGACCCUUUAAGCUGAUCUCGAACAUUGAUCCUUGUAUGUCUCUACAUACUAUUCAAUACUUAUUAAACAGUUUAGGAUGUUAGUUUAUUGAUUUGAGUUAUUAAGACAAAACUAAUAAUAUAAUCAAUAACAAUUAUUACAAUAAUAACACUUUAUUAACAAUGGUCAAUGGAUUAAAACUUGAUUCCAAGGCUACUCAUGUUUAUUCUCUUGGUGAAAAUGAAUUGUCAGGUGAUACUGGCUGAACCUAUCAAAAAUAAAUGAGUCAUAGUUUGUUUGAUCAUUCAUUUUCUAAUCUUUCUUCUUUAUAUUUAAUUAGUUGUUUAAUUUCUUAAAAAAGAAUUCUAGUUUAUUUAUAGUAUAUUUGGUAGUAUGCAUGCCUCAGCUCCUUUAAUGCAUGUCUCUUACAGUAUAUUUGGUAGUCUUUUAUAAUGUUACACCUUUUUUUUAAUUCCUAAAACCUUUUAACUUUCCAAAUUUUCAUUCAUUCUUUUAGAAAAUUAUUUUCAUUAUUUUUUUAUGGUUACAAAACCAUCCAUUAACUACAUUAAUUAGACAAUUCACUCCAAUAAUAAAUAAAUAACUUUUUUGGAUCUAAGGUCUUUUCUCAUUCUACAAAUUUAAUUUACUAUAUAAAGGUUAUUAUGCUAAUUGAAAAAUAUAUUUCUCUCAAGUAUGUAAUGACAGAAAAUUAGGUUAUAAAUAUAAAAAAAUAUAUUUUUAGGUAUUAUAAUUUUUUUUAAAAAAUUAUAUUUUAAAUUUUUAAUAAAACCUUGCAUUUGGGGAUUCACAUGUUGUUACUUGUCGAACCAAAAAAGAUAAAUUCGCGGUGAAAACUCUUUAAAACCCAAUUUGUGGAAGGAAAAAUUGAACUGUGGCGUUGAGUUAUUUUGUUGUUGAAGAAGAUCAGUAAAAAACCCACAACAUUAAAACUUCUUUUUGUUUCUUUAAGUAUAUUUUAGAUUGCAGCGUAUUUUCUAUUUGGGUUUAGUUAGGGUUUCUCUUGUUUAUUCCAAGAUAUGCAUGGAUAGUUCAUGUUCGACUAUUUGGAAAGAGGGAUUUAUGUAGCACGGGUAUUAUAUUCUGGUUUUGGAAGUGUCGAGAUAAAUUAAGGACUUUUUUAAUCUUCUUCAAACAAACCUAUACGAAGGCGAAGAAUAAUUUAUGCUUGUAUUUUAGUCGGAAUAAGAAGAAACAUGAAGAGAAUGCCCACGAGGAAAAUGACCACGAGAAAAAGUUGUGUAUUCCUCCAUCCUUAACUGAGCUCUCUAAUGUGUAUUCCUCCCUCCAUAACUGGCUUACUUUGGAUUGUUUGGAUAGAAAGAAACAAUAGAAUUUUUAAGGAUAAAUCAAGGUUUAUUGUUAACUUGUGGGAAGACAUAUGUAACUUGAUCGGAGUUUGGUCUAGGCGUCAUUCAUCUUGUAACCAAUAUGAUGUUACUACCAACUCUUAACUUUAAGCUUUGUUAGAUUAGGUUGCUUCGGCUUCCCUCUAGCCUUCAACCUUGUAACUUUAACUCUAUGUUAAUAGGUAAUGACUCUUAUCCUAGGUUUAUCCUAGUUUGAAGGAUUCGGUUUCUUCUUAAAACAAGUUGUAUUUCGACUACUAUUUUGGAGGAAAAUGUGCUUAACUAACUAAAAAUCUAAUGACACUUCCAAAACCAGUCAUUUCGAAAGAUGUUUCCUCAAUAAUAUAUUUAUAAUGCUCUUCCUUUAUAGAGUAAAACAGUAAAGCAACAAAACCAUUUUAAUUCAUUAUAUAUAUAUAUAUAUAUAUAUAUAUAUAUAUAUAUUUAUAUAUUAUAUAUAUAUAUAUAUUAUACGUAUGUCAUUACUACAAAAAAGGCCUUUCUUGACGUUUGUUGUUUUUCUUUCUUGACAUUUUUUUCAAAAAACGUCAAGAAAGGGUAGUUCCAAAGAUAAAACGUCAAGAAUUUUUACGAAAAGGCGUGGGUAGGUCAAUUUUCAGAUUUCUUGACGUUUAUUAAACAUCAACUAAUAUGUAUUUUUUCUUGACGUUUUAAAAAUGUCAAGAAAUAUCUAUAAAAAUUUUGACGUUUUUAAAACGUCAAGAAUGUUUAUAUAUUCAACAUUCUUCAAAAUUUUCAAACGUCAAGUAAUAUGUACUUUUACUUGACAUUUUAAAACCGUCAAGAAAUAUCUUAAAAAUUCUUUAUGUUUUAAAACGUCAAGAAUUUUUAUAAAAAGCCGGAGAAGAGUUAUUUUUAAAAUUUCUUGACGUUUUAAAAACGUCAAGUGUUAUUAAAUAUAUAUAUUUAUAUAUAUAUAUAUAUAAAAAAAUAUUGGGUUGAAUCCUUCGAAGCCCUAGACUUGUCUCUGCCGCAUUCGAAAAUGCCAAGUUCUCUGUGAGGAUCUCUCACUUCUGCCGUGUUCACCGUCCGUCCGUCCGCAUUCACCACGCCCUCUCCGAAAAUGCGUACUAGAUCCUUCGCUUUCAGUCGUUCACCAUCCACUGAGUACGAGAUCCCUAAGACUUCCGCCAUCUGCCAUCCCUAAUACUCUGAAAUCGUCAUUCGUUGUCCCUCAAAAUUGUCGUCCUUCUGUACGAAAAAGUCGUCCUUCUUUUGAGUCUUCAUUCCCCUUUAUGUCGUCCUUCUGUAUUUAGAGGUUAUACUUCAUUCCCCUAAAACUUCCACUGGUUUCCAUAUUUCAAGAAUUUGAAAUUUUUAUAGGAUAUUGCUAGUGGAAAUUAAGUCAAUUCUGUUUGCUCCCAAACUACCUCCUAAUUAUGCUGUCUGGUUGGGAGAAAUAAAGUCUUUGUCAUAUUUCAAGGUAGUGUAUGUUAACCAACACUUAGUGCAUUUUCGUGUUUAUGAGCUUAUUUUAGUUAAUAUGUUUUUGUAGGAAAAAUAUGAUGUCAAUAUGGCAUAUUAUACGAUGAAAUUGUAGUCGUUUAACACAAAAUUUUGAGGUUCUUUUUCAACUAAUUAUGCUUUAUCUAAUAUAUUUUUCCAAAUCUUAAAGAAGAACUUUUGAUUUCAUUGGAGUUUAUCAUUAGAGGCAUUACUAUAUUGGCUGCCUCUCAGUGGGCUAUAGGUUUUCCAAUGGUCAUUUGAGACUGGUUGAUAAUAGCAAAAGUUAGAGCUUGAGAAGAAGGAGCGAAGAAAGUAGUGAAGACAAAAGAAGAAAGAAAGCUGAGUGAAAAACGAAAAUUGACAAGGUAGAGAUGUGACAUGAAAAUGAUGAUGAGAAGUGAAGGAGGCACGACACAAUACUGGUACACAAUAACAAAGCCUUGAUAAUUAAAAAAAGGAUGGUGCCAAGAAAAUUUAAAUACAAAAAAAUGAAGGUUCUUGCAAGUGUAUUGAGUGAAUGGGAGAAAGAAAGGAUAAAAAAGGUAGAAAGAGAGAAAGAGAAGUCAAGGGUAGAGAUACAUAGCUUUGUAUAUAGAAACUUUAUGUUUAUACUCCAUUAUACGUUGUGGAGAAUAUAACAUCCUGAUAUGUCUGAUUCAAUUUGAAUGAUGCAAUUAUUUAUUUUUCUGCAAUAAUUCUACUUCUAGAACCUAAAUUUUGAAAGCCUACUAAUUUUUCAGAAUUAAUUCGAGACCCCACUUUUGCUCCUUCCUACCUACGGUUACUUUUUGCUUAAACUUUAAAAGUUGUUUGAAAAUUUUUGCUGAAACUUGUAAAAUUUGUUUGAAGUUCGUAUAUCUCUCACAUAUUGCAAGGUUUCUUAAUUAUUUUAUUGAAUUUCCUACAUAAAUGCAUUCAAACAUGAGUUGACAUUAUUGGAAAAGAUCCGUCAUCCUAAAGUAGUUCAGUUUUUUGGUGUCGUUACUCAGAAUUUGCCUAUGAUGAUUGUUUCUGAAUACCAUCCGAAGGUAUGGAUACAUUUUCUUACCCUUUAUUUUAUUCUAAUGAAAAUUAUUUCAUCAUGUUUCAUUCCAAGCAUUUCAUUACAUAUUUUGUUCAUAUAUGAUGAAUGGUGAUUAGUUUUUGUAUCAACUUAUUCCCUCUUUCAUGUAUAUUUCAUCUUCCAGGGUGAUAUAUAUCAAUUUAUUCCCUCUUCAAUUGAUUCUUGUUUUUACUCUUGGCUUAUAGGUUGCUACAUGAUCGUAUAUUAGGAGCAAAAUUGUGCAAUUAGUUUAUAGUUAGGGAGAUUUCAAUAGUAAAAAGCAAAGAGAGUAAAUGGUAACAAAAUCAUAUUGUUCACAUGAAAUGAUAAAAUAAUCAUUACACAUUUACAAGAACAAUAAAUAAAUUAUGUGAUUUUCGUGAGAAAAAUGAAGAAGAAAUAGCUUCUAACAAAAGUGAAUAUAAAUUAAAGGAGAAUAUAAAAUUGUUUAAAAUAUUUAUUUUCAAUAAUUCGGAAGUUCUUUGGCUAUAUAUAAUGGAAGAGAGCCUUUCCAAGGUGUGAUGUCUGGCGUCAACAACGACGCGCUUAGCACAGAUACGGAACCAGACACCAUCUUCUUGGUGUUUGUCUAUGCAAAAGCCUCGAGUGGCUAUGGUCUCUUCUUCUCUGUGAGGGAAAUGGUUGAAGUUGCUAGACUAUUUCAAUUACUAUGUGAGAGGUGGCUGAAUUUUAUUGGACCUCUCUUCUUGGGCUUACUUUUUACAAUUGUUUAACAAUCUCUCUCCGAAUAUACCUUCGUCCCCUUAGCUGCUUCCCACUUUGGUAAAAUCGCCAAAGCUUUAUGUGUAAAUUGCAAGAGACAGAGGAGCAAGGCAAAAUAAGGUUAUUGGAACAAGGCGAAAGUUAUCAUUGCUAGCUGCAACUUUCCUCAUUCUUCUCACUCCUUCAAACCAUAUUUUCUGCUAUGUAUGCAUUUCCUAGCUAGCCUUCCCCCGUAUAUUCUAUUUUAGCUUUUUUCCUCUCCAGUUUCUGUUAUGUAUUUUUACUGAAUAUUGAUCUCCUUUUUGCUAUCAAGAUAGUAUACCAUACAUGCAUGUGUAGGACUUUUAUCCCUUAUAUUUUAUAAUUUGUCUUACUACUGUUAUUGACUGAUAUACCAAUAUACAUGUGUAAAGUAUUGAUCAUAUAAUUAAUAUUAAAUUUAUUACAUUCACUCAUCAAUUUAAGUUUUUUAGUCAAUGUAUGUUCAUGAUUUAAAACAAAUAAUUCGAAGCUUUCAUCCCACUUGUGAACAACGACCGAAAAAAACCUUACUUCAUCCCACAUCGUCGUGUCUUUCUCUCUCGCAAAUGCUCUCUGGCGACGUUCCCCCCUCUCUAGCAAAUACUCUUCAUGACUUUUUCCUCUUAAAAUUAAGCUCUUCGCCCACCGUUUGAAGGAACUCACCAAAUUUGCAAGUAAUUGAAGAAUUUGUGGUCCAUGAGAUCGAUUAAGUCCAUUUAUGAGUUAGUUUGAUUAGAUUAUGUCACAUAUACAUGUAUUACAAUUAAGGACACUUGCGAAAAUGGCAAAAUAAGUUAUAAUAAUUAAGUCCAUAGAACACAUACUUUAUUAUUUGAGAAAGUGACAAAAACAAAGACCAGCUCACACAUCAAGAGGUAAAAUGUCACAAAUGCCCUCGUUAUUGAUGUACAUUUGAUACACCUUAUACACGUCUGAUACACCUAAUACCCCUUGAUACACUUGAUACUUUUUACUGAUACACUUGAUACAUUUGAUAGAUACAAUUCAUGCACUCGGUACUCAUUGAUACACUCGAUACUUUUUGAUACACACCUGAAACAUCUUCAUACACAUAAUACUUCUCGUUCUACAUAAUACUUCUCGUUCCACAUAAUACUUCUCGUUACACUUGAUUCUUCUUGAUACACUUGAUACCCCUGAGGCCUUGAUACACUUGAUUAGUUUGAUACACUUAAAGACUUCACUUAUAAGUUUGAUACACUUGAUACACCACUAAUAAACUUGUUAUACUUCAUUGGUACACUUAACAAAUUUGAUAUGUUUGAUGUACAUGCACUACAAGAAAUUUACCCUUUGUCGAUGACAAAUAUCGUCAGUAAAUCUUCAAAAACUAAUCGACUUUUCUUUUGCCAACGAAAUUAAGCUGUCAACACACACCGUCACAUAGGUCUGUCGGAAGAUCCUCUAUCGAUGGCAAAAAAUAAACUGUCAGCAAAAAUAGGAACUAUUGAUGAAAUUGAACCAUCAGUGUGCGUGUGUGUGUGCGCUCGCGUGUGCGCAUCCACGUGUGCUUGGGUGUGUGUAUGCGCACAUACAUGUGUACGUCAGUAGGUGUGUGCGUGUUUGCGUGUGCAUUUGUGUGCGUGUUGUUUGGUGUGUGUGUGUGCAUGUGUGCGUUUGUGUGUGUUGCGUACGUUCGUGUGUGUGUGCUUGUGUGCACGCGUGUGUGUGUGCGUGUAUGGUGCACGCGCGUGCAAGUGUAUGUAUGUGUGCGCGUGUGAUUGUGUGUGAAUAAGUUGAUAUUUUUUAAUGUUGAGUUUCUCCCAAUUUUAAAACAAUAAUUUAAUUAUCUUGAUAUUCAAGCCAUUAAUAUUAUUGUGAGAUAAAGAUAGUGAAUAAGUUGAUAUUUUUUAAUUUUGAAAUUCAAUUAAAGUUAUUUUGAUACAAAAUCUAUUGCUGAGAUUAUCAAAUUCUGAAAAAUAAUAAUUUUGUUAUUUUGAAAUUCAAUUUGGUUAUUUUGAAAUUCAAAUUCAAUUAGGUUAUUUUGAAAUUAGUAAGAUUAAAUAAAGUUAAAGUCUUGAAUCCAUUAGUUGAGUCCCGAGAUAUUAAGAAAAAAGUGCGAUAGAGUUUAUGUAUCUUUUCAGGUAAAAAAUAAUUAAAAGCUGAUAAAUGCAUAAUAUAAAUUAAAUACAACAUAGAAACAAAAUAAUUUUAGUUGGAGAAUGUGGAUAUUUUGGUAUUUUAUAAAAUAUUAUGCACGUGCAAAAAAUGUUAUUUGCUACAAUUAAAAAAAAAAUAGUUUUGCCAUUUUUCAAAAUGACCCAUAAAAAGGUUGCUAUAUCUCUUAUGACAGAGUGUAUAUCUACUGGUUCAUAUUCGAUCUGUUUGUUGCUAAUAGAAUUGGAUAAAAUCGCAUUGCAUUAUAUUGAAAUAAUUACACGAAUGACACUUUUAAGCCAAUAUUGAUAGAAAUUAUAGUUUAAUUAAUGUUAUUAAGUCAAAUGAACAUAGUUUAAAAGUCCUUCUAAACACAAUUAAUGUAGUUGUUUUUAAAUUUUAACUCAUUUAUACAUCUUUAUGCAUAUGUGCGUGUGUACGUGUGCGCGUGUAGGUAGGUGUGCGUAUGUGUAUGUGCAUGCGUUCGUGCGAGUGUCCGUGUCGCGUGUAGGUAGGUGUGCGUAUGUUUAUGUGCAUGCGUUCGUGCGAGUGUCCGUGUGCAUGUGUGUGUGGGUGUGUGCAUGUUUGUAUGUGUUUGUGCGUGCGUGUGUGUGCGGGCUAUUGCGUGUGUGCUUGGGUGUGUGGGUGUGCUCGGCGUGCAUGUUUGUGUGCGUGUGCGUAUGUGUUUACGUGUGUGCGUUUGUGCAUGUGUGUGUGCUUGGGCGCGUGUGGAUAGGUGUGUUUGUGUGCAUUUGUGCGCGUUUGUGCGUGUGCGUUUGAAAUUAGUAUGAUUGAAUAAAGUUAUUAAUAUGUUGAAUUAAUUAGUUAAGUCUCGAGAUAUUAAGAAAAAUAUUAUGAUAUGAGUUGAUGUAUCUAUUUCAAGUAAAAGAUAAUUAAAAGCUGAUAAAUGCAUAACAUAAAUUAAUUACAAUGUAGAAACGAAAUAACUACAGUUGAAGAAUGUUGAUAUUUUGGUAUUUUAUAAAAUACCAUGCACGUGCAAAAAAUGCUAGUUGCUAAAAUUCAAAGGAAAAAGUAGUUUUGUCAUUUUUCAAAAUGACCCCUAAAAACGUUGUUAUGUCUCUUAUGACAAAGAGUGUAGAUCUACUGAUCCAUAUUCGAUUUAUUUUUUGUUGGUAAAAUUGGAUAAUUACACGAAUGACACUUUUAAGCCAAUAUUGAUAGAAAUUAUAAUUUAAUCAAUGUUAUUAAGUCAAAUGAACAUGGUUUAAAACUCUUUCUAAACACAAUUAUUGUAGUUAUUUUUUAAUUUUAAUUCAUUUAUACAUCUUUGUGCAUAUGUGCGUGUGUGCGUGCGUGUGCGCGAGUGCGUACGUGUGUGCGUAUGCGCGUGUCCACGUGUGCAUGGUGUGUGUGUCUACGUGUGCGUGGGAGUGAGUGUUCACGUGUUCGCGUUUGUGCGUGUGUGUGUGGGUGUGUGUGCGUAUACACGCGUGUGCGUGUGUACCUGAGUGGGUGUGUGCGCUUUUUAUGCUUUUCUUCCAAUUUUAAAAUAAUAAUUUAAUUAUCUUGAUAUUCAGGUCAUUAAAAUUAUUUUGAGAGAAGAUUAUUUUGAUAUAAAAUCUAUCGUUGAGAUUCUCAAAUUCUAAAAAAUAAUAAUUUUGUAAUUUUGAAAUUCAAUUUGGUUAUUUUGAAAUUCAAAUUCAAUUAGGUUAUUUUGAAAUUAGUAAGAUUGAAUAAUGUUAUUAAAAUGUUGAAUCAAUUAGUUGAGUCCCGAGAUUUUAAGAGAAAAGUUAUGAUAUGAGUUGAUGUAUCUAUUUCAAGUAAAAAUUAAUUAAAAGUUGAUAAAUACAUAACAUAAAUUAAUUAUAACGUAAAAACAAAAUAAUUAUAGUUGGAGAAGGUGAAUAUUUUGGUAUUUUACAAAAUACCAUGCACGUGCAAAAAAUGUUGUUUGCUAAAAUUGAAAAGAAAAAGUAGUUUUGCCAUUUUUCAAAUUGACCCCUAAAAACGUUGGAUUUUUGUGUAUUCCCUUGGGCUUUCUUGUUCAAUAUUUAGUCAAAUUGCAGUAUACAUAAAAUUUAUGUUUGUUACGUCACAAGAUUUCAUUCACUAUUUGUGUCUGUAUUAUUUUAUAUUUUAUACAAGAGACUCCGUUUGAGUGUUGAGCUAGUAAUGGGAGGGACUACUGUUGACCCCAAAAUUACAAGGUUUCAUGUUGCUUACUGGAUCAUUAAUGAUUCGUCUCUAUCUUUGGCCUCAGCGCGAGUGGUGGAGUUGGAAGCCCCUGAAAGUGUAGAUUUAGACUUCUCUACCGUUGUCAAGAGCUGUUAAGUAUGCAAAAAUGGCCUUGAGAAAUCCUAUAAACUCUCUGAACAAGAGACAUUCUAGUGUAAGAAGAAAUGCUCAAGUCCUUGAAGAAAUUGAGGACACAACUCCAAUUCCUAGCAUGCUUUCUCCCUAAGACUAUGCUGGUCCUAGUCGGGGAGUGGCAUUUACAUCCCAGAAAGACACACAUGUAUCACCUCGUGUUGGCACUUCCAUUGCAAUGCACAACUCUGACAUAUAUAGUGCCGACAUUUCCUUCCUUAAGCUUGAAAAAAGGUGAUUUGAUGUCCAUAAAAAAUUAACUGAGCAGUUAGAUAUUUUCUAAUACGCAUCUCACGUAAUUUGGUGCUCAUUGAUACUGCAUUACUGUGUCAGGAACGUGUUGAUGUAAAAUCUUUCAGUUUUGAUGGAUCUUAUUACAAGAUUUCAACUCUUCUUAGCACGACUUCUGACAGAACAAAGGUUUUAUAUAUCUUUACACGAUCGCAUAUCACAUAUGAACGAUCGCAUAUCCCAUCUGAAAUAUCGAUCACCCCUGGUAAAACAACCGUUUAGAUAUUCUACACGAUUGUUUGCUUAAGGAUACACGAUCAUUUUGUAACUAUUUUUUUUAUUAUCCUUUUUUCUUUCUAAACUAGAAUCAGAAUCAAUUGUUUGAUGAUAUUAACAACAUGUAUGAUGAUCUUCGUGAUGAUUCUAGUCAUCACAAUCUGGACAAGAAUGAUGACCAUCAAAAUAACAAACAUGUGAUCAUCCAUGAGAAUUCAUCUGUUCAAGAGCCACAUCUUCAAGAAUCUACUGUAGAAACUCAACUGUUAGUGUUUAAUUCAUUAGUUACUGCUUUAUAUUGUUUAAAAUUGCUUAGAUUAUAAAUAAACAACAAUAAUUUUUUUUCUUUUCUGUGUAGGGAACAAAAAUGAACAACGCCUCAACAUCAAGAGCAGUCAGGCAGUGAUAUUAGCAUAUAUGGCAGAGAUGCACAUUUGAUAUUAGCUAUAAGUAAUAUAGCAGGAAAAUAUGGAAGGUCAUACUCAAACAGAAAAAGAGACUGCUAGAAAUGAUUGAAAAUCUUCCGUUGGUAAGCCAACCACUUCCACUUUGUGAGAUGCUACCAUUAACUACUGUCAAAGGUCUUGCAUUAGUUUAAUUGGUAUGUGUGCCCUAAAGGGAUAAAAGCUCUUGGCAGUAAAAGACUUUACAAAACCAUUCAUCAAUUUUAAUUUGAAAAUUCCAAAAUACAAGUACAUUGACAAUAUUUAGAAUCAAAGUUCUAAAUAAAGAACUAAAUAUGCUUUUAAAUUAAAAGAUACAUAGAACUUACUCUUGUUGACGUCUCUGAAUCUAUAAUCCACCGAAUUGGGACACCACCCGUUAGAGACCUUCCUAUCUUCGAAGAUGAGAUUGGUUUGUGGAAAACAAUUGGAAUGAAAAAAAAAAUUUAGAGAGAAACUAUGUAACACCCCCAAUAUCAAGGUAUUUCUCUCAAGCUAAAUUUUUUAAAUUUUAUUAAGAUUUUAAGGAAUUUGGUUGUGGUGUGGAUUUUAGCAGGAAGUGAAGGGGGCUUUUAUGAAAAAAUAUACUAAUACUAAAGGUUAAAUAAUAAUAAUAGAAUUAAUGUUAUUAUUAAUUUAAAAUAUCAAUUCUUUAUUGAUUCACGUGCAACCCCAUCUCUUUCUCCUUCACUCUUCCUCUUCCCCGUGCCCACUGCCGCUUGCCUCCCUUAGCCAUUUUAUAUUACUCUUGGACGUCAACCGGCCACGCCGUCACUGAUCGCUUCGUCUCCGUUGAAGCUGAAGCACCGUUUGUCGUGAGUUCGAACUCUCGGCAUCGCGUCUCACCUAUGUUUUCCAGCUAAGCUGUGAUUCAUUCGCGCGUAGCUCCUUCGACGUUCGCGCCACCACAUUCUGCUCCAGGUGAUGAGUAACGUCACCGAUUGACCUAUCAUCUCACCGGCGUUGUUACUUAGUUGAAGCAGCCGUCGACCAGACCUGAGCCCGUCGCGUCUGUUGAAGUGCCAUCGCGCGACUCUUCAUCUUCCAGCCAUGGGUUGUAAGCUGAAGUUUGUUUUUCGUUUGUUGAUUAGAUGUGAUCUAUUACACGCGUCGAUUCUAGUUAUUCGAAGUUGUUGCCCCCAUUUUACUCUAAUUUUUGGGAUUUUUGUGGUAAGUUGUAUUGGUGAGUGUGGUGGUUUUACAUUGUAAUUAUCCUUGGGUUGUAGUUUUGGAUAAUUAGUUCAAUUGUUAAUUGAUUCUUGAAGGUAGCAUUUGAGUUCUUUGGAUUCACAACUAAAUUGUAGAUUUGUUGGAGUUCAAUUCGCCAAAUACCUUUGGUAAAGUCUUAUGGUUAAAGGACGAAUCUAGUCUUAAAGUAAUAACUUCAUCUUAAUUCGAAAAAUUAGGUCGUUACAAUCUAUUUUGCAGAAAAGAAAAUCAUCGAUUUUAUUUUGGUUAAGAAAAACUGUUUUUCUUCUACAUAUUUAUAACUCUCUUUCUUUCAUUGAGUAGGAGACGGGGUAGGAGAAAAUCAUAGGAUUCUAUUAACUUAAAAAUUAUUACAUUAAUAGAAGUUUCAAAUCAACUAACUAAUUAACCAUUAAUCAAUUAGUUAAUAAUUAAUUAAAUCAUAUUUAAUUAAUAUUUCACUUAAAUCUUAUUGAAUGAAUAUCUCUCCAAUACCUUAUAGUUUUAUAUUAAUUUAAUUAAAUCAAAUUUAAUUAAAUAAUAUUAAACUAAACUAUUAAUUAAUUCUUCAAUUAAUUAAUAACUAAAUUAAAUAUUUUAUAUUUAACUUAAGUUAAAUUUGAAUCAUAUUCAAAUAUAACUUUAUCUCAUAAUUAAUAAUUUUAAUAUGAAAUAAAUCCACAUUAAAUUAAUAUUUGAACUCAUUCAAAUAUUUUAUCUCUCAUAAAUUAAUUUUGAACUUUAUCUAAAAUUAAAUUUAUAUAAUAAAGUUUCAUUAACAUAUAAACUUUAUAUUAUAAUGUAUCACUAUAUAUUAUACUAAUUAUACUAAUUUCGAAAGUAAAUUUGAAUAUUUCAAAUUAGAACCAAUAUAAAUAAAUCACAUUAUCAUUUUGUAUCAUCCAUUACUUUGUAUUCAGUCAUACUAAUUGGAUCAACCUAAUACAUAAAACAAAUAUAGAAAAAUUAAAAAAAAAAGCAUGCACAAAUAGAGACAAAUAGACAUUGAUGAUAGUUAUCUAUCUCUAUCUAUCUGAAACAAGCACACAUAAAUUGUUAUAUUUCUCUAUCGGAUGGACAAAAAUAGCAGUCUAUUUAUAUCUACCUGAGAUACAAACAUUAAAAAAAAAAAAAACCUUACCAAUAAAAUUCUUGACUUUUCAUGUUAUUCUAAAUGCAACGCGUUCUCAGCCCAAGAAGUCAAACAACUCUUCAUUGUAAAAGUAGCUUUACUUCUUUCAUCAAACCACUUUUGCAAUACAUCUCUAAUUGAACUAAGCAUGGUAGCUACAGGUGGUUCUCUAAGAUCUUUAAAAACUAAAUUUACACUGUCUACACAAUUUGAUGUCAUCAUUCUAUAUAUGAAACUCAUUAUACCUGAGAUAGAUUCAACCAAUUUAUCAAAAAACCUUGGAAUCAACAUGUAUGAUUUAACCAUGUCACCUUUUAAUAUCUUUACUAUGUGUUCUUUCGCCCUCCAAGCUUUCUGCUAACUUAUAUUAACUCCAAGAUUUGUACAUGCCUUAUGCACAAUUGCUUUUGGAAUGAAACGAUCAGUAGACAUGAACCUGAACUCAUCUAUCAAGCAACUGUCAAUUACUGUUGAAGAAGCUUGCAUGUGACAACUAGUAUUCAAUGAACAGUCAUGUUCAUAAAUGUAUUUUCAUAGCAUCCACAACUCGCUCUUCUUAUAACGAGAUGUCCUAAUAAACCAUUUGCACUCUUCUAGUAGACAUCUAAAUUCAAGAGACCUCAAAUUUGAUAUUGUAGUUCUAAAUUGAAAGUUGUUAUUCACUUCUAUUAUGCCAAAACACUUUGAAAGCAUCUCUUUACUUUCAAAUAAACUAUUUUCCUUCAAAUCACCAUGAUACGAGAUGUCUCUUAUAAUUUCAUCAUUUGAAACAUAAGAAGAAGAACCUACAUUCAAUGACAUAUCAACAUUCUAUCGUACACUACUAGAAGAAGAAGACCUUCUAAAAAAAUCAACAGUUACAUGGGCAACUAAUGGAUGUAUAUUAGUUGCAUCAUUAGCAAAAGAUAAAUACCAAGCCACAUCAUUGUCUUUUUUUACUGGCACCACAGUUGGACCUUGCUUUUACCAAAAUCAAGUAAAACAGAUAAUUCUAUUUAUCCAUCCAAUUGAAUAUGUUCACAUAUUAAAUCAACUAGAGAAUUAAAGCUCACUCGGACAUCUACCAAAAUUUCAGCAACUAAGUAAUUCUCAUAAAUAUUACAUCCAUUCCAUUGACCUCCAUAAAAAACAACAAUAGGAAAAGACAUUAUAAUCUGUAAAAAAAAAUAAUAAUAAAAUUAAGUAUUUAAUUGUGAUAGAAAGAAAUAGAUAGACAUAGAUAUACAUUUAUUACUGAAUAAAAUAAUAAAAUGUACAAAAUGAUAAUACUAAACACAAUGCAAGAAUAAGUAAACGAUCGUGCGAUGAAAUAAUAUACAUUAAACGAUCCUAUUAACCGUGAUAAACGACCAUUUAACAACGGUAAAUGAUAAUAUUGAUUAAAAAUAAAUUAUCGUGUUGACAUGGGUACACGAUCAUAUGAUAUUGGUGAUCGUAUUGAAUAGUGUAAACAAUCGUCUUGUUAUCGGUACACGAUCGUGUUAAUAUUUGUAAGUGAUAUUCUAUUGAUAGUGGUAACUGAUUGUGUAAUUCCAUGUAAAUUAUCGUCAAAAACUUUAAUAUUUGAAAAUAUGUUAUUUUAGAAAAACUACAAGUGUUUGACAACUCUUUGAAAGCUAUUGAAAUACUCUCAAAUUGUAUUUUAAGGAAUUUUAGUAAAAAGAAAGUCUACAUAAAAAAAUUACCCUUUUUAAAGGAACAUUUUUUCUCUAAUCACUCCAAUUGAACUCAAACACGUACAAGUUAAUUCUGGUAUCCAAGAAUCAGUCUCAUCUAACAUAAACAAGAACAUUCAACUUGAUAGAACUUCAUUACCUCAUUUUUAGAAUUCCCAAAGUUACUAAAUGAAGGACCAUUCCUAAAACAUACUUACAUCCAACUUUCUCCAUGAAUAAACUUAUCGUCUUUUAUGUACUGAUGAAUAUAGAGAUGGAGCGAUCAGAGUUUGUUUAUGUACCAAAUUAGAGUGAGUUGAGAAAAGAGUGGAUUUACACAAGGACGAAAUGGCUGGCUGCUGCUUGUUCAAAACUGAAAGUUAAGGUGACCUUGUUUCUCAUAGGGACUCAGCAAAUUGAAGGGCCUCCAAAUCUACUUCUUGUCUCAUUAUACAUGCCAUUAGCCAUUCAACGUUGAAAGUCCAUAUCCCUUUUUCUACGGCCACCAAGGCUUCCUCCACGUCUUCCUCACAAGCCACAAAGAUCGUCUUUCAUACAUUGUUUACUUUAUCUAGCUCAUGAAUCACCUAAAUUUUCAAGCAUAAUGAAUUUGCCAAAUGAGAGAAAAAAUUUUGUAUAUACUACAAGGAAAUUGCAAGAAUUCACC